rnacentral:lncRNA from 1 species
UAGAGGGUGUUGCACUGGAUGUCAGAGCAUCAGAAGCUAAAUCACUGAGCACAGGAUCAUUUGCAAAAAUGAAAUGCUUAAAUUUACUCCAAAUCAACGGAGCACAUCUCACCGGAUCCUUCAAACUGCUUUCUAAAGAGUUGAUGUGGAUUUGUUGGCUUCAAUGUCCUUUGAAAUAUUUUCCAUCUGAUUUUACCUUGGACAAUCUAGCUGUUCUUGAUAUGCAGUACAGUAACCUUAAAGAACUAUGGAAGGGAAAAAAGGUGAGAAACAUGCUGCAAUCCCCAAAAUUUCUCCAGUAUGUAAUUUAUAUUUACAUGUUACGACUUCUUAAGAUUAAUUUUCAUUAUUUUGCGCUCUAUUAUACAGAUUCUCAACAGGCUAAAAAUCCUUAAUUUCAGUCAUUCUCAGAACCUUGUUAAAACACCAAACUUGCACAGUUCAAGUCUAGAGAAACUAAUUCUGGAAGGUUGCUCGAGUUUAGUUGAGGUGCAUCAAUCAAUUGGACAUUCGACGAGCCUCGUUUUCUUGAAUCUGGAGGGAUGUUGGAGUCUGAAGACUCUCCCUGAAAGCAUUGGCAAUGUAAAGUCUCUUGAAACUCUGAAUAUUUCUGGGUGUUCACAACUUGAGAAAUUGCCAGAACGCAUGGGUGAUAUGGAAUCCUUAACUGAGCUGCUAGCCGAUGGGAUUGAAAAUGAGCAAUUUCUCUCUUCAAUUGGACAAUUAAAGCAUGUCAGAAGGUUAUCAUUGUGUCGAAACCGUUCGGCUCCACCAAGUUCUUCUUUGAUUUCAGCAGGUGUUUUGAAUUGGAAACGGUGGCCGCCAACAUCUUUCAUUGAAUGGAUAUCAGUGAAACGUCUUGAGCUUUCUAAUGGUGGUUUGUCUGAUCGCGCAACUAACUGUGUUGAUUUUAGGGGUUUGUCCGCUCUAGAGCAUUUGGAUCUAGAUGGAAACAAAUUCUCUAGCCUUCCUUCUGGGCUCGGCUUCCUUCCCAAGCUAAGGUGGUUGUCUGUUCAGGCAUGCAAAUAUCUUGUAUCAAUCCCAGAUCUUCCCUCAAGUUUAGACUUUUUGUUUGCAGCUCAUUGCAAAUCAUUGAAAAGAGUAAGAAUACCAAGCGAGCCAAAAAAAGAACUAUAUAUAGGACUAGAGAACAGUCAUUCGUUAGAAGAGAUUCAGGGCAUCGAAGGUCUAAGUAAUAGUUUCUGGUAUAUUCGUGUUGAUAAGCACAAUAAUUCACCAAAUAAAUUACCGAAAAACGUUAUUGAGGUACUAUUUCUUUCAGUCUCUCUUGCACAAAAAGUAAACACACAAUUAGCACAUGCAUCGAUAUUUAUUAUAUGUCAUCGAUAUUGAAUAAUGAUUUAUUUUCUAGCAUAAAUUAUGUUUGAAAUAAAAUUGAUAAAAAACAUGAAUACACAAUUAUUGAUGGGAUGGUAUAUAAAAAUAAUUAAAUUGAAAUUUUUUAAUUAUUUUUAAACAUAUCAUGGUUUUAGGUACAUCAUUAAAUUAUAAAAAAAAUUAUGUAUUUUUCUGAUAUAUAUAUAUAUAUAUAUAUAUAUAUAUAUAUAUAUGGCAAUAACAAAUUAAAUGAUUAUAACAAGAAAAUAGAAAUUAGUUUGAAUAAAUGUUACCAGUUCUAUUAAUUUGAACGGUACAUCAUUCACCGAAUAAAUUACAGAAGAGCGUUGUUGAGGUACUAUUUCUUUCCGUCUAUCUUUCACACAAAAAGAAACACACACAAUUGGCACAUACAUUGAUUAAUGUCUAAAAUCUCAGCAUUCCUUGAAAUCAAUAUGUAUAUAGGCAAUAAUUAUUAUUAUUAUUAUUAUAUUUAAAAAAACAAAUAUCAUCUUUAAUAAUAUUUUUUAUUUUUCUUAUUUGAUCUAAAAAAUUAAAUAUUAUCUUUAAUAAUAUUUUUUUAUUAAAUAUUUAAAGUCUGAUUGGUUUUAUUUUUUAUUUCUUGAUUUUAUGAUAAUAUAUUUAUACAGUUAAUGUGCAACGGUCGUCACGGGUAUUCUUUCUUUUGGGAUGUCGCCGGGAGUUUAAUUUCCGAGUGUAAAAAUUAUGUAUAAAUUUCUAUUCUUUCCUUUCAUCCAUUACUUGUCCUCUAUGAAGAUUCUAUGUAUGAAAUCUCGGAAUCUUUUCGAGUAUAACUUGGGAUCAACAGCUGAGAUAGACGUGGGAUCCACUUGUAAGGACUUUUAUGCAUGCUCUAGCUUUUUGCUGAUAUCAUAAUCCUGGAGGAUGUCAAUGAUACCAAAGUGAAGAACUACAUCGAAGAUCUCAUUACCAUUAUGUGAAGGUGUUGAAUUGUUACUUCCACCCCCCAUGCACUGAUCCAUUUCAGUAGUCCUCAUUACACUCUCGGCUCUUGCAGGCACAUUUGCCCCCAGCCGGAUGAAUGGCCCCCUGGAACAGAUUUCACAUGAGUACUACAGAUAAAAUCUAGACAUUGCAUCACAUAAUCACCAAAAUUCAAAGUAACAAAACGAAGAACAAAAUGUGAUAACAAUGACAAUGAUCACUCAACCACAGCCGAAUCUUACGCUUUGAAGACACUUUUCAUCAUUAAUUUUCCUUUUCACAUUGAUUUUCAAUGUUCCGGGCAGAUAAAAUAGCAUUGAUUUACAACCAUGGUUUUAAGGCAUCAUUAUUGGCAAAAACAUUGUAGGAUCAUGCACAUUUAACUAGUUGUUAAUUGAUUUUCAACCAGAUAAAAUAGCAUUGAUUUUCAAUGUUCCUUUAUCCUUGUAGUCUAAGAAAAUAUUAUUUAAUUCUUUUGUUUUCAUAUUCAUCUAUGAUUUAAUGUGUUGAUUGAAAUUGACAAUUGAGUUGUUAGUAAUAGCAAAAGGCAUGUACAAUCAUGCACAUUUAACUUUCUUUUUAAAUUUAAAAGUUCUAUUGAAUUUGAUGGUUUUUUAGGAUACAAAAGACUUGAAUUGACGUGAGAGUACAAGAUCAUUUUACGUGGAGAUGCUUGGAGUUGCUCCAAAUCAGUACAGUACUUCUACCUGACAUGUUGAUAUGUAUUUGUUGGCUUGAAGAUCAUUUUCCAAGUUUGGAAGUUUUAUUGAAUUCUCUUUCAAAUCUUUUCCAUCCGCUUUUAUGUUGGACAACCUAGUUGUUAAUUAUUUUCCAUGAUGUAAUUUAUAUUUUCAAGUGUUGAUCGAAAUUGACAACCUAGUUUUAUUUAAUUAAUGUGUUGAUUGAAAUUAAGAAUUAAAGGUUUAAUUAAAUGAAAUACAGCUUUAAAGAACACAUCAACUACAUUUCAUAUGCUCAACUCUCAGCAAAUUGAAAUUUCAAGGCUAUUUGAAUCUUGAAAACACAAUCUCAAUAAUCUUAAUGUGAUGAGUGAUUUCUUUUCUAUUUUUUUUUCUUUGGAUCAAAAGGGUCUUAUUGAAUUAUUAUUUGUUAGGUAACUAAGAUUUAUUGAUGUUAAAAAUAGCACUAAGUUUUUGGCAUGACAAUUGGUGAGAAGCAAAAGCAACAGCAAUCCAUCAGGUUCAUCACCAUCCUAUCGCUUUGCCGUACUGUUUAUCUUCUUGGCAUUGUUCAAAGGAACGCAAAAGACAUUCCAAGUGUGAAAGUGUGUGUGAAAGUGUAUUAUUGUCAUAAAGUUUUUCAAACUUCCAAUAUAGAGAGUGAAAUAAAGAGCAAAAGGAAACAUCUUUCUUGUUCCCUUCCCCUUCUUUACAUGGCUUACUCAAUGAAAAAGCAAUUAAACACCCCAUUUGAUUUUCAAUAAGUAUGAGAAUGCGAAAGAGAGAGGCCAAGGGGUUCCUUGAAUAUUUUCUUCUUUUUUAUCUCGCUCACUGGGGCAAACCAUCUUUUUCAAAAUUUUGAAUAUUAGCAUGCCAUCAAAAAGAAUUUUGUUCAAUCCCAAUCCCACAUUGUCUGUAGAAGUAUUUACUUUUGACUGUACACUUUGUUAUUUUCCAAUCCCUCCCCAGUUCUGCAACCAUUUCUCUACUUUCUAUGCUCUUGGCUUGCUAAAAACUUUUAUCCUUGAUUGUAGUUAGAAAUAAAUUGGUUUUCUAGGAAGAGAUUAUUGAUUGGGAUAUAAUAUUUAAGUUGGUUCUUCAUCAUUUAAUGUUAUAAUUUAAAAUAAUUGAUGAAAAUUACUGUACACAAAAAAGUUGUGAGAACAUCCUUAAUUAGUCUAAUAAGUAAAGUGUUGUUAGUUUUGACUAUAAGAUCUUGUUAUGUAUUAUUGCAUAGUUUUUACUAUUUUUUCGGUAUUUUUUCUUUUUUAUAUACAACUUUUAUUUUUCUUGCCAGUUUGUCAUGGCACCAACACCAAUUAAUAAUAAAUCUUAGACUAUUAUUAAAUAAAGAAAAAACAUAAACAUGGUUAAAAUACCAAACUUGAAUUGCUCAAACCUAAAGAAACCCUAUGACAAUAAUCUAAUUUAGAAAAUAAUUAAUUUAUCCUUGUAGUCCAAGAAAAUAGUAUUUAAUUCUUAUGUUUUCAUAUUCAUAUAUGAUUUAAUGUGUUGAUUGAAAUUGUCAAUGGAGUUUACUCACAUAUUGUUAUAUUGAUUUUGAGUUCAAAUAGAUGUUUAAAAAGAGAGUUUUUUCAUGAAUGCAACCCUUCAUGUAGUCCAAGAAAAUUAGAAGAAUUAAUAAGUUUGCGGACUUAAUUAAACUUUGAGUUAAUUAAUCAAAUAAAUUCAGGGAUUUAAUUAAAAUUAACCUAAGGGCACAAUUAGAAAUCAAUUAUUACUGAUUAGGAUCCCAAUUGUUGAGAUUAAAUUGAUUAGGGGUCAAAGUGAAUAUUUCCAUUCCUGUCGAAAUGACACCGUGGUUGGGGAACAGUCGUGUAUCUUCUUCAUUCCGAUUCAACAGGGAAGCUGGAAAAUCGGCAGUAAAACCGACCCAAUCGUGACCACGUUCUCUGCCCACAAUCCCGUUCGUGGAGGGAUAACAGUCCUGCAAAGCCAGGACUGGUUUGAGGGGCAAGCUCUUAGGGGCCUUAUAAAAGGCAGAGUAGAGCAGAAAAAGGGAGGGGAAGAACACCGGGAAAAGACCAGAGAGCCGAAAAAUCAACCCAGAAAAACAGAGUUGAAAAAAAAAAGGGCAGAGAAAACAGAGCACAAAUCCAAAUACAGAGAGAAAGAGAGAACAAGAGGGCAGGACACAGUGAGGAGAAUUAUCCUUGAAAUUGUCUUCGGACCUGCAAACAAAGAAAAACCCGGAUUCAGCCAAAGAACACUCACAACAAGCCGGAAUCUUCUUUGUAGCUGUCACACCCGGACAUCGCGGCGACCAAUUAAAAAUUAUUAAAUCUUUGGAAAAGAACGGAUUUCUGGCAUCCUGUUCUUUAAUGGGGAAUGGUCUUUGUUUAAGGAGUCGCCACCUAGUAUUAUGGUCACUAGGAACACUAACUGGUCAACAGAGAUUCUAUGGUUCGAGACUGGUUACGUAAAAGGGAAGAUAUUAUCACCCCUUAAACGUCCUGCCUAAGGCAGGCUGCAUUGCUAGUUUCGUCUUAAAUUGCUAAAUGUUUAUUACUUUAUGCUAUGAAAAUUUGCUUAUAAUAUUCCUGACUCUGGCGCCAGUGAAUAUUCAACUAUGAAUAUUUCCAACUCUGGCGUUGGUAAAUAUUACGUAGCUAUAAAAUAAAUUAGAUCAAUAUUUUAUUUUAUUCCCGACUCUGGCGCCAGUGAAUAAAUAAAUAAUAAUAAAUUUAUUUUUUACAAAUGCAAAUAUUUUUUAUAUUUCUAGCUAAAUAAAAUAAAAUACAAUGAAUAAAAAUAAUAUAAAUUUAAACCGGUAUUUUUAUUCCUGACUCUGACGUCAGUGAAUAAACCAAUAAAUUUACAUUAUUUUUAUUCAUGCAUACACAUUUUUAUUUUUUUAUUUUUUCUGUUUUUUUAUAUAUGUUUAUUUUUUUUUUUUUAAAGGACUAAGCUUCACACGUGUAUGCAAAAGUAGUGAAUUAAAUUUGCCUAUGUACAGUACCCAUGCCCGACACCCCACGUGAAUAAAAAAAAAAAGAAAAAAAAAAAAAAGAAUUGCAAAGCAAAGGGAAAUGAAGAACUUACCUGUGCAGGAGGCGAAGUCGAAGACGGUGGCGAAGGUGUGCUGAAUUGCCAAAGCUACCUUCUCUCCUUCUCUGUUUUUAUUCUUCGUCCGCUUCUCCUCUGGUUUUGCUUUUCUUUGCUUUGAUUGCUUCUCUUAUUCUUCCUGUCUCCCCCCUGUGUUUGCUUGUUCUCAGUUCGCUUGUGUUUUCUUUUUUAUAUGUUGUUCAGGGAAUGGAGGAGCUGGUGUAAGUGGAGACAAAGCAGCUGAUGCCUGAGAGGGCGUUGUACUGCUGCUGGAGCUGGAAGAGGCGCGCGUUGCUGGUUGCUGAUGCAUGCUCACGAUGCAUGGAAGUGGCUGAGUUGCUACUAAUCUUGACGAUACUGGUUUCGUCCGCUGUAAAAGUUUUCGUGCCCCUGCAUCCGAUCAAAGCUUGUGCUUUUCCAAGCAAAAGCCAUGGUCCCUUGAAACUCAGCAGAUUUUCGGAGCAAGGAGGAUCGCAUGCCAAUGUAGUUCAUGGUUCUGGUUUAGAGGCAGACGUGGCGGAGAUUAAUGGUGAUUGGGACCACAGCCUAGAAGGUGACCGGGAGGAAGAUGAUCUCAAGCCUUUAUUUGCUUUUUUUUUUUUUGUGAGGAGUUUGCAGAUCCCGGGGGUUGAGAAUGAAGAAUGAAAAAUCAAUUUGAUGGGGAAGAGAUUGAGGCCAGGCAAGAAGGGAGGAAAAGGCUGGGGGGAGGGGGAAGCGACGGCUAGUCUAGGACUCGGCCGCGCCCUCCUUUUUUUUUUUAAAUGUCUUUUGUUUCUUUUCUUUUUUUAUAGGUUUUUGGUAAUGGUCUUCUCUUGGGUUUUUUUUUUUGUGUCGUUUAGGGUUCCUCUCUAAUCAUCCCCUCUCCUUUUCUUUCCCCUGAGAUCUGUAUUUAUAGUGCCAGAGUCCCUUCGCUUGUGAGAAACCAAGUUUCAAUCAAACUCAUUCUUUUUUUUGAAGUUUGAAUUUUAUUAAGAAUCAAAUUUGAAAGCGGAUAACUAUCAUUAUCUUAAAGACAAGGAUUAUCUCGAAGAUAAAGAUUAUCUUGAAGAUAGGGAUUAUCUUGAAGAUAAAGAUAGAAUGAUAAAAGCACAUUGUAGUCCUUAAUUUUCACGGAAGUUGACAAAUCACACUUUUCAUUGAAAUAAAUCUCUGAUCUUUUAAUUUUUCAUUUUAAACCCUGUAAAAAUUAAAUUAAAAAUCAAAGGGCCAAAAUUGGGUUAUGACAGUAGCUUUAGAAGUUACAGAGAAAUCAAGAAGGAAAGCACAGACAAGUGGUCACAGAAGGAAAACCAGAGGAGCAUUAGGCGAGAAUCAUCAAGCAGCGCUGCAAGCAUCUUCGGUCUCCAGAAGCAGGUAUGACUUCGUCCCCUUUGCAUCUUCAUUUCAAAAAGUGAUUCUGUGUUACAAGAACACUGUGUGAAGGUAAUUUAAUUACCUUCACUAGUGUUCGGGCACGCGUGAACAAGUCACGCGUGCCUUUAGUUUUUGCCCAGCCGGGUCACUGGCUUGGGCCAGUGACCGGGCUGGGCUGGCUAGGCCCAGCCCAGCCCCAAAAUUUUUUUGCUGGGCUGGGCCCACCCCACCCAGUUCAAAAAAUAAUAAAAAUAAAAAAUAUGUAUGUAUAGAUAAAAAAUAAUGUAAAUUUAUUGGUUUAUUCACUGACGCCAGAGUCAGGAAUAAAAUACCAGUUUAAAUUUAUAUUAUUUUUAUUCGUUGUAUUUUAUUUUAUUUAGAUGAAUAAAAAUAAUGUAAAUUUAUUGGUUUAUUCACUGACGCCAGAGUCAGGAAUAAAAAUACCGGUUUAAAUUUAUAUUUUUUUUUAUUUGUUGUAUUUUAUUUUAUUUAGCUAGAAAAAAAUCAAAAAAAAUGUGCAUGCGUAAAAAAUAAAUUUAUUUUUGUUUAUUUAUCACUAGCACUAGAGUCAGGAAAAUAAAAAAAUAUUAAUCUAAUUUAUUUUAUAGCUACGUGAUAUUUACCAACGCCAGAGUUAGAAGUAUCCGUAGUUUAAUAUUCACUGGCGCCAGAGUCGGGAAUAUUAUAAGUAAAUUAUCAUAUCGUAAACUAAUAAACAUUUAGCAAUUCAAGACGAAACUAGCAAUGCAGCCUGCCUCAGACAGGACGUUUAAGGGGUGAUAAUAUCUUCCCUUUUACGUAACCAGUCCCGAACCAUAGAAUCUCUGUUGACCAGUUAGGGUUCCUAGUGACCAUAAUACUAGGUGGCGACUCCUUAAACAAAAAUCAUUCACCAUCAAAGAAUAGGAUGCUAGAAAUCCAUUCUUUUCUAAUUUUAAUUUUUUAAGACCGCCGCGAUGUCGGGUGUGACAAGGAGUGAUUUCUUUUCUAUUAUUUUUUUUCUUUGGAUCAAAAGGGUCUUAUUGAAUUAUUAUUUGUUAGGUAACUAAGAUUUGUUGAUGUGAAAAAUUUGGCAUGGCCAUCGGUGAGAAUCAAAAGCAGCAGCAAUCCAUCUGUGAAGCCGUACACCACAUCAGGGCCCCAACAUUUAGACUUUUGAUGGCAACCAAAGCUAAAUUUAAAAACAGGACCAUCUGAGAAGCCGGCAUACAACAACAGGUCAAAGAUCCAAUUUCCAAAAAUAAACCAUGUAUCAUGUAGUUUAACAUCUCUAAGCAUGAUUUUUGCAAUAAUCAUCUAUGCUUUACCAUUCAUAUCUUUCACCACAGUUCUCUGUCACCACUUCACAUGCACACAUUCCAAAAAAGAGAUAGCAUGGAAAAAUGUCUUUGCUUGCCGUAAAAAAUACAAGGGCUAAAACCUAACAUAAGGAAAAUAGAUUGGGAAAAGGAAAGCAGAACCAAAGCAAGGCACUAACAAUUAGGAGGGGCAAAAACAUGAAUUCUGAAAAGGAAAAUACAUUCCGGCCUUCCAUGACCCAAUCCAUAUUGGGCAGCAAAUGAUAACCCCGCAUCGAUGUUUCCUCGUGAUGUGAAUUUCUUUUUUCUGAUACAGAAACACAAAACCAAAUUACCUCAAGGUCUAUUGUUGUUGUAAAUUUUUAAGGUAGCAGAAUUACAGGAUAAAAGUAAUUUACCAAAAUGCUUAUGGAUAAUUGGCUCUUCCAUCCAGCAUUAAUUCUAUUAUCAAUUAUAGUUCAGUCACUGGUUGUAGAUAAAUUUUUUUAAGAUAUUAUCAAGUUUUAUUUUUAUCAUUAAAAUUUAGAAUUAAUUCUAUUACGUAUUUAAAUGUGUUUAGUUACCUUGUAAACCGUAUGGUAGAGUCCCUCAAAUAUUCUGGCCACAGCAAAUUGUAUGGGGCUUGCAACCACUAUAUUUUAUGCCAAGCUAAUAAUAUUUUUUUUUCUAAAUUAAAGAUUAAUAUUUUUUGUUCGCAUCAAAUAAUUAAAAAUGAGAAUUUCAGAGCAGAGGGUUUAAGAAAUAUUAAAAGAGAAGGUUUUACGUAAUUAUUAUAUAAUUGAAAUUGUCACUAAUCUCCUUUGUUCAUUUUCUUUUUCUAUUACCCCUUCCAAUCAGCAUGCACGAAACUUUAUGUCACUCAAAUGAUACAAAUGCUUUCACCGUUUUAUGCUGAUUGUUUAUUAUUAUUUUUUUUUUUUUAAUGAAAGUGAUUGUUCAGGCCAGUUUAUAUGUAUUUUGAAGUUAACGAUCAUAUAAACUUCCAGUGACCUUGAAGUUUGUAGGACUCGAACUGAUAAUUUCUAAAAAGUAAACUUAAAGUCUAAUUAGUUGAGUUAUACCUUUCAGAAUUACAAAAUUACAUUGCUUGUUAAAUUAAUAAAGUUAUUAGUUGCUAUAAAGUAAGAGAUAAGAAAGUAUCUAGGAAUAUGGUAAAUAUUGUGUUUUAAAAUAUAUUAAAAUAAUAUUUUUUUAUUUUUAAAAUUUAUUUUUAAUAUUAUUACAUCAAAACUAUAUAAAAUUUUUUUCAGAAUAUCAAUUCAACCGUACUCCAAAGAACACUCAUACUCCAAUAUCAGCAACCACCACGAAAGUUACCACUCAAUAAUUUAUUCUUUGACAAUUAUUGCAUUGCUAAUAAUUUGCAAGGAAACAUACUUUCUAACCGAUACUCAAUCGAUCUGCACCUACCACGAAAUUACCAAUAAGAGUCUGUUUGAUAUUUUUCCAACUUUUACUAUUUUACUUCAAAGUUUCAAUAAUUGUUUUUUCAUUACAUAUUCUUUCCAACGUGUAAUAAUUUGGAACCACUCGCAAUAAAUAAAGCCAGCAAAGCCAGAUGUGUUUGUCUAUAUAUACAUGAACUGCUGAUUCGAUUUGAACACCCCAUUUCUCCGAUUCAAUAACUUCAGUUGCAAAACUUCUCUCUCCGAUUGCUGCAAUUUCAAAGCUAACUCUUUAUUAUACAGAGGUAUAUAUGGCUAACUCUUCUUUGCUUCUUUCUCGUUUUAAUUUCAUGUCUUUACCAAGAAUAAUAAUGUGAAAGCUUUGCUUGUUUCAUGUUUAACUUCAGUUGCUAUUGUCUUAUGCUCUCUCAUUAUUAAGCUUAAAUUGCUGUAUUAUCUUCGAUGAUCACUUCACAUGUAUCAGCAAUUGCUAAUUGAUUGUUCCUUAAAUUCUGCAGCUGAAAUGACAGAGCCACAGUCUUCUCAUUCUAGACCAGAAGGGGCCUAUGAUGUCUUCCUGAGUUUUAGAGGAGAAGAUACCCGCAAGACAUUUGUAGAUCAUCUAUAUACUGCCUUAGUCCAAGCAGGAAUCCACACUUUUCGAGAUGAUGAUGAACUUCCUAGAGGAGAAGAAAUCUCCGAGCAUCUUCUCGAGGCAAUUCGAGAAUCAAAGAUAUCCAUAGUUGUCUUCUCAAAAGGAUAUGCUUCUUCUAGAUGGUGUCUCAAUGAACUUGUAGAGAUUCUGAAGUGCAAAAGGAAGAAAACCGGUCAGAUUGUUCUUCCUAUAUUCUAUGACAUUGAUCCUUCAGAUGUGAGAAAACAGACUGGCAGUUUUGCAGAGGCAUUUGAUAAGCAUGAAGAAGAGCGUUUUGAAGAGAAGUUGGUGAAGGAGUGGAGAAAAGCUCUUGAGGAUGCCGGAAACCUAUCUGGAUGGAGUCUCAAUGAUAUGGCAAAUGGGUAUUCCUUCUCUCUCUAAGAUUCACUUGCACACGUUUAUGGAGUAAUUUUACAUUACAUUUUUCAAUGUGAAGUAAUAAAAUAUUUCUUUUUAACAUACUUAAUUGACUUUCUAUCGAUGACUUGCCUUUUUUCUGUGAGCAGGCAUGAAGCAAAAUUUAUCAAAGGGAUAAUCAAGGAUGUGUUGAAUAAAUUACGUCGCGAGUGCUUAUAUGUUCCUGAGCACCUGGUAGGUAUGGAUCUUGCUCACGAUAUUUAUGACUUUCUAAGUACUGCAACAGAUGAUGUACGCAUUGUGGGCAUACAUGGGAUGCCAGGAAUAGGAAAGACAACUAUAGCAAAAGUUGUAUUUAAUCAACUCUGCAAUGGACUCGAUGGAAGCUGUUUUCUUUCGGAUAUCAAUGAAACAUCAAAACAAUUCAAUGGUCUGGCUCUUUUACAAAAGCAACUUCUUCAUGAUAUUUUAAAACAAGAUGUUGCUAACAUCAAUUGUGUCGAUAGAGGAAAGGUUAUGAUCAAAGAUCGACUUUGUCGCAAAAGAGUUCUUGUUGUUGCCGACGAUGUGGCUCAUCUGGACCAGCUAAAUGCUUUGAUGGGAGAGCGAAGUUGGUUUGGUCCCGGAAGUAGAGUAAUUAUUACAACAAGAGAUUCAAGUUUACUUCGUAAAGCAGAUCUAACAUAUGAGAUUGAAGAAUUGGAACCAGACGAGUCCCUUCAGCUUUUCAGCUGGCAUGCCUUUAAGGACACCAAGCCAGCAGAAGAUUAUAUUGAGCUUUCGAAGAAAGCUGUUGAUUUCUGUGGAGGACUUCCUUUAGCUCUUCAGGUUAUAGGAGCUCUUCUGUACAGGGAAAACAAUGAUAAAUGGGAAGGUGAAAUUGACAACUUGAGCAGAAUUCCAAACCAAGAUAUUCAAGGAAAGCUUCUAAUAAGUUUUGACGCACUUGAUGGUGAACUACAAAAUGCAUUCCUUGAUAUUGCAUUCUUCUUUAUUGGUAAAGAGAAAGAAUACGUCGCAAAAUUGCUAGGAGCCUGUUGCCGUUACAAUCCAGAAGUUUUGGAGAAACUCCGUGAAAGGUCUCUGAUUGAAAUAUUGGAAGAGACGGUAACCAUGCAUGAUCUAUUACGAGAGAUGGGAAGGGAGGUCGUUUUUAAAGCAAAAGGAUGCAUGGAAUGUACUUCAGAAAAACAUUAUGGAAUGUACUUCAGCAGCAGAAGGUACGAGCUCAAUGCAUACACAUAGCCAUGCGUAUUUUCUAGUCAAACUUAUUACAAAUAAUCAUAUAAAAGUUUUAUUGUUUUUUUUUUUCAGGGUACGGAUGUUGUAGAGGGUCUUGCACUGGAUAUGAGAGCAUCAGAAGCUAAAUCACUAAGCACAGUAUCAUUUGCAAAAAUGAAACGUUUAAAUUUACUCCAAAUCAAUGGAGCACAUCUCACCGGAUCCUUCAAACUGCUUUCUAAAGAGUUGAUGUGGAUUUGUUGGCAUGAAUGUCCUUUGAAAUAUUUGCCAUCUGAUUUUACCUUGGACAAUCUAGCUGUUCUUCAUAUGCAGUACAGUAACCUCAAAGAACUAUGGAAGGGAAAAAAGGUACGAAACAUUUUACAAUCCCCAACAUUUCUCCAGUAUGUAAUUUAUAUUUACAUGUUAUGACUUUCUAUGAUUAAUUUUCAUUAUUUUUCUCUCUAUUAUAACAGAUUCUUGACAAGCUUAAAAUCCUUAAUCUCAAUCAUUCUCAGAACCUUAUUAAAACACCAGACUUGCAUAGUUCAAGUCUAGAGAAACUAAUUCUGAAAGGUUGCUUGAGUUUAGUUGAGGUGCAUCAAUCAAUUGAAAAUUUGACGAGCCUCGUUUUCUUGAAUAUGAAGGGAUGUUGGAGGCUGAAGAAUCUCCCUGAAAGCAUUGGCAAUCUAAAGUCUCUUGAAACUCUGAAUAUUUCUGGGUGUUCACAACUUGAGAAAUUGCCAGAACGCAUGGGUGAUAUGGAAUCCUUAACUGAGUUGCUAGCCAAUGGGAUUGAAAAUGAGCAAUUUCUCUCUUCAAUUGGACAAUUAAAGCAUGUCAGAAGGUUAUCAUUGUGUGGAUACAGUUCGGCUCCACCAAGUUGUUCUUUGAUUUUAGCAGGUGCUUCGAAUUUGAAACGGUUGCUGCCAACAUCUUUCACUGAAUGGAUAUCAGUGAAACGUCUCGAGCUUUUUAAUGGUGGUUUGACUGAUCGCGCAACUAACUGUGUUGAUUUUAGUGGUUUGUCUGCUCUAGAAUUUUUGGAUCUAAGAGGAAACAAAUUCUCUAGCGUGCCUUCUGGGAUCGGCUUCCUUCCCAAGCUAGAUGUCUUGUUUCUUCACGGAUGCGAACAUAUUGUAUCAAUCCUAGAUCUUCCCUCAAGUUUAAGUUGUUUCAGUGCACCUUAUUGCAAAUCAUUGGAAAGAGUAAGAUUACCAAUCGAGCCAAAAAAAAAUCUAUAUAUAAAUCUACAGGAAAGUCAUUCGUUAGAAAAGAUUCAGGGCAUUGAAGAUCUAAGUAAUGGUGGCUGGAUAAUGUGGGUUGAUGACAGCAGUCAUUCACCAAAUAAAUUAUCGAAAAAUGUUUUUGAGGUACUAUUUCUUUAAGUUUCUCUUUCGCACAAAAAUAAACACACACAAUUGGCACAUACAUUGGUUAAUGUCUAAAUUCGCAACAUUUCUUAAAAUCAAUAUGUAUACAGGCAAUAAUCAUUAUUAUUAUUAUUAUUAUUAUUAUUAUUAUAUUUUAGAAAAUAAAUAUCAUCUCUAAUAAUAUUUUUUAUUUUUCUUAUUUAAUCUAAAAAAUUAAAUAUUAUAUUUAAUAAUAUUUUUUAUUAAAUAUUUAAAGUCUGAUUGGUUUUAUUUUUUAUUUCUUGAUUUUAUGAUAAUAUAUUUGUACAGACAAUGUUUAACGGUCGUCACCGGUAUUCCUGGUAAGAUGCCAAACUGGUUGAGCUACAGGGGAGAAGGAUGCUCAUUGUCAUUCCAUAUACCUCCAGUCUUCCAAGGCUUAGUUCUUUGGUUUGUCUGUCCAUAUACCUCAUUGCUCCUUCUCACCAUAUGCUGUAAAGAAAUAAUUCUUAGAUGGUCAUCAUAAGUAGGAUGAAUUACAUCUUAAAACUCCAUCACCGAAACAACGUGGCAAAAAUAAUCAAAGGAAAAGGUGGAUGAAUUGUUUCACGUGUCAAAAUAGAUUUAUACCAUGAUUUUGAAUUCAAGUGCUAAUUGAUAUUCAGCUUAGGUGAUAUCAUGUGAAGCAAUUAAUUCGUCCACUUUUUGUUAUGCAGAUCUUUCUCUCUCCAAAUCCAAUCUUACUAAAUAUAUAUAUAUAUAUAUAGUAAUUAGGAGAUCAAAUCUUAUCCUCUCAAUACUUAUCAUUCAACUAAUUAAUAACUUUAUUUAGCAUAAAUCCAUUAAUAAACUCACGAAAAGAACCUAACAUCCUCCUGAAUUCCUUAGCCGACACUCUCGUACACUGCUGAAUCAUUGAAAAAAUCAGUAGAAGAUCUGAAGUUAGCAUCUAUAACAGUGCCUUAGAAUUUAGAAAGAGAAAGGUUUUUUCUUUACUAUAUAUUCCAUUAUAUAAAGCAACUAAAAAAAGGUGGGUGUUAACUAUACAUUCCAAUGUUCAUCCUCUCACAAAAGUUUAUUUCUCCUUUAGGAAGUCCUUGAAAUUUUUAUUGUUUUAUAAUUUGGUUGCUGAACUUUUUUUCUUUUUCAAUUAGUCCUUUCAAGUCGCAUUAUUAUUAUUAGGAUAAGAAAUAAAAGCAAUGGUAUUCAAUUGUUUGAAUGUAAACGAAUAUCACCAAAAACUGAGGGAUGGAUAAGAUACAUAAGUAGAAGUGAAAUGGCAAUGGAAGAUUACUGUGGAGAUGACGAAUUGGAACUAUACAUUUCUUCAGUGCCAACAGUGGAUAAGAUAUAUUAAAUAUUUAAGGCUUUUCGGUAAGAAUACAUAUUUUCUUUAGUUAUUUAUAUUUUAUUCUAUUUAAUUUAAGAGAUUAAAUAUCAUCUUUAAUUAUUUUAUUUUUCUUAUUUAAUCUAAUAAAUUAAAUAUUAUCUUUAAUAAUAGUUUUUAUUAAAUAAUUAGAGUCUGAUUGGUUUUAUUUUUACUUCUCGAUUUUAUGAUAAAAUGUUUCUUAAUUAAUUUAAAAAAUAAAUAUUAUCUUUAAUAAUUAGAUCUAUUGAAUAUCACUUAAAAAAUAAAUUGUAACUUUAAUAAUUAUUUUUUGAAAAACAAAAAGCCAACAAUCACUAACAUAUUUAUUAAAAUCACUUUAGUUUAUUUAGAAAAUAUUGAAAAUUGAUUUUUGUUUUUUUACAUUAAAAUAAAAAAAUUGAAUAAUGUUUUUAUAUUUUAUUUCAAACUCGAUAUUUUAAAACAAAAAUGAAAAAGAUGUGAUAUUAACCUUUUUUUAUUAUAAAGUAAGUUUUUUAAUUAAAAGUAAUAGGAAUUUGUUCGUAAUAACAAAAUGCAUGUACAAUCAUGCGCAUUUAACUUUCUUUUCAAAUUUGAAAGUUCUAAUGAAUUUGAUGGUUUUUUAGGGUGCAAAAGACUUUGAUUGACGUGAGAGUACAAGAUCAUUUUUCAUAGAGAUACUUGAAGUUGCUCCAAAUCAGUACGAUACUUCCAUCUGACAUAUUGAUAUGUAUUUGUUGGCUUGAAGAUCAUUUUCCAAGCUUGGAAGUUUUAUAAAUUGAGCGCUCUUUGUAAUCUUUUCCAUGAUGUAAUUUAUAUUUUCAAGUUACAAAUUUUGAUGAAUAUUGUUUCAUUUUUUUCCUCACUUCAAAAGAUGAAAAUCCUUGAUUGUAGUUAGAAAUAAAUUGGUUUUCUAGGAAGAGAUUAUUGAUUGGGAUAUAAUAUUUAAGUUGUUUCUUCAUCAUUUAAUGUUAUAAUUUAAAAUAAUUAAUAAAAAUUAUUGUACACAAAAAAGUUCUGAGAACAUUCUUAAUUAGUGUAAUAAGUAAAGUGUUGUUAGUUUUGACUAUAAAAUCUUGUUAUGUAUUAUUGCAUAGUUUUUACUAUUUUUUUAGCAUUUUUUCUUUUCUAUAUACAACUUUUAUUUUUCUUGUCAGUUUGUCAUCAGCAUCAACACCAAUUAAUAAUAAAUUUGAUACUAUUAUUAAACAAAGAAAAAACAUAAACAUUGUUAAAACACCAAACUUGCAUUGCUCAAACCUAAAAAAACCUAUGACAAUAAUCUAAUUUAGAAAACAAUUAAUUUAACCUUGUAAUCUUAGAAAAUAGUAUUUAAUCCUUAUGUUUUCGUAUUCAUCUAUGAUUUAAUGUGUUGAUUGAAAUUGGCAAGUGAGUUUACUCACAUAUUGUUAUAUUGGGUUUGAGUUCAAAUAGACGUUUAAAAAAGGGAGUUUUUCAUGAAUGCAACCCUUCAUGUAUUCAAUAUGAAUGAUGGGAGAUUUUAAUGUCUUGUAAAUGCAUUCAUUUAUAUAUGGAUGAUUUUGCUAAGAAUUGGUUGGUUAAAAACUUAAUUUCGUUAUAUAAAAACUGAAGAGAUAACAAUAAAUAGCUAAUAAUUGAUGUGAUAAAAAUGAUUUAUAUGCGUGUAUAAGCUAAUUCAAAUGAAGAUUAAAAUAAAAAAGACAAAAAGAAAAAGAAAAAGGAAAGACUCGUUAAGAUUUUAUGUUAGUGUUCAACAUAUUUUUUCUUAUUUUAUUUUUUUAAUUGGAUUACCUUUGUCUUUCAUGUCAAGUAAAAUUCUGGUAUAUAACACUAAAUUAAAAAAAAUAAGAGGUGAAGUAAAGGUCUAACUAAAUGAAAUACAAGUACAAAGACUACAUCAAAUACAUUUCAUAUACUCAACUCUUAGGAAAUUGACAUUUCAAGGCUAUUCGUAUCUUGAAAACAUAAUCUCAAUUUCAAGGCUAUUAUUAUUUUUUUCUUUGGAUCAAAAGGGUCUUAAUUGAAUUAUUAUUUGUUAGGUAACUAAGAUUUGUUGAUGUGGAAAAUAGCACUAAGGAACACAAAAACAGCAGCAAUCCAUCAAGAUCAUCACCAUCCUAUCGCUUUGCCGUAUUGUUUAUCUUCUUGGCAUUGUUUAAAGGAACGCAAAAAGACAUUCCAAGCGUGAAAGUGUAUUAUUGUAAUAAAUUUUUCAAACUUCCAAUAUAGAGAGUGAAAUAAAGAGCAAGAGCAAAAGGAAACAUCUUUCUUGUUCCCUUCCCCUUCUUUACAUGGCUUACUCAAUGAAAAAGCAAACACCCCAUUUGAUUUUCAAUCAGUAUGAGAGUGAGAAUUAAAGAGAGAGGCUGUCACAGUGUCAAAUGUGCACGAGGUGCACGCUUCGGCAGGCUGGCCAAAACAAGGCCUGAGGGUGCUGGCAGCCAUGCCAUCAGUGGGAGAAAUCGUCAGCGCAGAUUUAUGCGGCUGUAGGUUCGUCAAAGGGAAAAUCAGCAGCGCAGAUUGUUGACGAACAUGGGCUGGACGAGGGACUGUCCAAGCCUCGUCAGGAGGAUAGGCUGACGAGAAUUGGGGCUAUCGCAGAAUUCAGCAGCGUAGACAGGGGCAGCCUGCACGCAGAUGCGAAUUCGGCAGCGCAGAGAUUGGCAGCACGCAUAUGCGAAUUCGGCAGCGCAUUGGCAGCCUGCCCGCAGAUGCGGAUUCGGCAGCGCGCAACAACUUGUGCAAGUCAGGGGCUCGACUUGGCACGAUCUAAAACUUGGGCGAAGGAUUGUCCAAGGCAUGGGUAAAAGAGCUCUAGGCGCUGGGACGCGCCAGCGAAGGCACACUGCCUAGAAUUCGGCAGCGAUGGAUCGCGGCAGCCUUGCAUAGGCAGAGAUGAAUUCGGCAGGCAGCAUGCAAUGGUCUAUGCGAGUCUUUGAGCUUGCGACUUGGCAUGGACGUGGGGGCUUAGAUGAUGGACCUUCUAAGUCAGCAGCUGACGCAGCAGAAGCUGGCAGCUGGGGCUGCCAAGUAGACAGCCAAGAAAUGGGGGAAGUGGCAGCUUCAUGGGAGGCAGAACGUGGGAGCAUAACUGGGGUGCUUUCCAGGCCACUAUGUCCUGAAAACAUGGGAUCAUGGGUGAGAGGUAGUGCUCCACCAUGUCCUGAAAACAUGGGAUCAUGGGAGAAAGGUAGUGCUCCACUAGGUCCCGAAAAUGGGGGAUAAUGGGGAGGAGCCUUUGCAGCUCCUUUGCUUGUCUAUAAAUACAAGAUGUAGCUCUUGGUUGUGAGGGAGCAUUCGGGUGGGAAUGUUCAGAUGUAAGGGCAUUCGGUUGGGAUUGUCCAGCAUGUAGGGGCAUGCAAGAACAUGUGUAGAACACUAGUUAGAGGUAGCUUAGUGUAGCAUGCAAUCUUUGUGCAUAGCACACAUACGGAUUUGUGUAUAGUUUCCUUUGUGUAUGAGAUUAAUAAAGGUUGGGAAAGAGUUCCUGUAAAGCUUGUUGUGCACUAUGAUUCUUAUCCUUGCUUGUGUAUUCUGCUUGCUUAGUUAUUAGGCAAACACGAGUGAGAUUGGUGAGGGAAGGCUGAGUCUAGUGAGGGACUAGGCUGCCGCACGGGUUUAUUCGCGUAGCGAAAAAUACCCCCGUGACAGUUGGUAUCAGAGCGCGGUUGCUUUCGUGGCAGGAUGACGAGAAGAAUUCUGCGGCCAAAUCAACGGACUGAUUUGGGAGAGCUACUGCUUCUGCCGAUGGAGAAGCAGAUUUCAGCGCAAUGAUCAGCGACGAGAAUGCUGGUGUUUCUCGGGACAAAUCGAAGGGACUGAUUUGGGAGAAACAUUGCUGCUGCCGAUGGACUGGCAGAAACUUUGGAGCAAGAGCGCAAUAUGCGUUCAUGACGAAACGAUGGGCUGUUUCGUAGCACAGACGAUGGGCUGUUCUGUGGGGGCAGAUCGAAGGGCUGAUUUGUUCCAAGCCAUUUGAGGGAAAAACUUGCUAGCGUUUUGGGCAGUGUUGGUGUUCAAAAGGCCUGCGGAGUUUUAGGGGUUUAACUACUCCAUGGGCGAUGCAAAGUGACGACGAAGGGAUCAGCUCAAGAUGGGUGCUGAUUCGGCCAUUGAAACUGUCAGGUGGACUGGCAGGCUUGAGAGUAGGGGCCAGCGGAGGGGCUGCUGGGCGCUUCUGUAUUUUCGUCAAAGCCUUGAGGGAAGGAUGGGGCGAGACAGAAGAAGAAGCAAGUCAAUGUGGAGAGCCUAAACUUGUUGCUGCUGAUGAUGGACAGUCAGACGAGAAGGCAAAUCGGUAAGGGUUCGAAACUGAAACUUGCAUUGUUGUUCUCUUGCGAUGGAAAUUACUUUGUGCGAGAUUGUUGCCCAAAGGAGGGGAAACCUUGAUGUUGUCAUUGUGGAAGAUGGUGUUUGAGAUUAGGCAUACGUAAACCUUAUACGUUUGCUAGAUGACCGAGAUGGAAUUCAGUCAUCAUGAGCCAGCAUAUCGGAGUGGAUGCGGUCUGGCCUUGCUUGCUGCCUUGGUGGCAGAACUUAGGGAUUGUUGUGCAUCUCAAGGAAGGAAUGUUCAGGGAGAUGAAUGUUCAGGGAGGUGGAAGCAAAAUCCAGAGACCAAGUUGAGGACAGACGAAUCUAUGAGGAUUUGUUGUGGCUUUGCUGCCUUUGUGGAGGCAGAAUUGAUGUCUUCGGUGGAGACCUUGAUGAUGGACAGUUCAGGGUGAAGAAGACAGAACAGUGGCUGAGAUAGACUUUAGUCACGUUGAGACCAGGAUUGGAGGCAUUAAAGAGGAGGCAGUACCGUGGGGGUGUGUCUCAAGGAGUCUGCACGUUGUCGAGGGACAGACUGGGUGACAGAUUCGGCAGCCGAUCCAGUGGGCUUGGCGUGGAAGCCAAAAUCUUCGAUGAAGAUGAUUUUGUGUAUUGUCUUGGAAUCAGUACGAGUGGCUAUUCUGUGCAUUGUGAUGGUUGGCAGUGAUGGAAGCAGAAUGGUAAUGACCUUGUUGGGACAAAGUGUUGCGAGUUUUCGGUUGACGAAACAUGCAGCGAAGGUUGAAAACAGUAGGGGCUGUUUUGCGUCAGCGAAAUCUUGUGUGAUGGACGAAGUUCUAGCGCAUGACAGUAGCGCAUGGGGGAACCAGGUCAGACGAAACUUGAUACUGGGAUGCUAUGUAUUGGUGCUAUGGCAGGUUACAGAUGGACUUAGAGGGACUUGCCGAAAGACUUCGACAUGAGAUGGAGUUGAUCAACGAAACUGAGUCGGUGCUAGGUUCAACAGCACUGUCUCAUUCUUAUUUCUUGCAGGUGGAGAACCUAAAAGGGCUGACGGCAAUGGGAAGUCAGAAGCCAAGGGCAAGGAAAAGGUUUCGGAAUCAUGUUUGGGCUGUUUUAUUUGUGAGGGGAAGCACUUCACAAGGGACUGCCCGUUAAGAGCACAGUUUAGUGCUACUUCCGUGGAGAAGAAUGGAGAAGGAACGGCAUACGUAAAUCCUAUACGUGUGCUAAACACUAAGUAAAGAGUUAGUGUGAAGGGGCCAGCACAGUUGAUGAAGACUUAGGCGUGGCCGAACUGCCUUGUGCGAGGCAGAUUUGGGGGAGUUUCAUAACUUGGACGAUGGACAGAUCAUGGUUUAACUCCAGGCGUGAGGAUGCGCCAACGAAAAACACACUGCAUAGAAUUCGGCAGCGAUGAACAGCAGCAGCCUUGCAUGGGCAGAGGUGAAUUCGGCAGGAUGUGUUGAUUGCUGAGAAGCGGACAAGUAAGCAAUAUUGGUAAUACUUGCAGUUUUGGGGCACGCAGAAUGGUUGGAGAACUAGAAUGUUCGUAUGGGAGCUCAUGCGGUUCUUCGAAGUGAUUUUGUGUGGAUGUAUUUUGUGAAGGAAGGGACGGAUUCCUUGGGUGCUAGGCGUGGCAUCUAAACUUUGCGAAAACAUGCUUGCGAGUAUGAUGUGUUUGACAUUUGUGGAAAACUAACGAGCCAAAACAGAAUGUGUCACAGCUUGGUUUUUCGAAACAGGUUGACAAAGAUUCGGUGGACUGAAUUUGUUGUUGAAUGUGGGAAAAGCUAAGGGGUUUCGUGCGGAGAAACGUGGAUUGUGACGAGGAACAGAUGCGGUGCAAGGGUACUUCAAUUCUGUCCGACGAGGGCGUCGGGUUCUUUUGGUGGGGGUGGUUUGUCACAGUGUCAAAUGUGCACGAGGUGCACGCUUCGGCAGGCUGGCCAAAACAAGGCCUGAGGGUGCUGGCAGCCAUGCCAUCAGUGGGAGAAAUCGUCAGCGCAGAUUUAUGCGGCUGUAGGUUCGUCAAAGGGAAAAUCGGCAGCGCAGAUUGUUGACGAACAUGGGCUGGACGAGGGACUGUCCAAGCCUCGUCAGGAGGAUAGGCUGACGAGAAUUGGGGCUAUCGCAGAAUUCAGCAGCGUAGACAGGGGCAGCCUGCACGCAGAUGCGAAUUCGGCAGCGCAGAGAUUGGCAGCACGCAUAUGCGAAUUCGGCAACGCAUUGGCAGCCUGCCCGCAGAUGCGGAUUCGGCAGCGCGCAACAACUUGUGCAAGUCAGGGGCUCGACUUGGCACGAUCUAAAACUUGGGCGAAGGAUUGUCCAAGGCAUGGGUAAAAGAGCUCUAGGCGCUGGGACGCGCCAGCGAAGGCACACUGCCUAGAAUUCGGCAGCGAUGGAUCGCGGCAGCCUUGCAUAGGCAGAGAUGAAUUCGGCAGGCAGCAUGCAAUGGUCUAUGCGAGUCUUUGAGCUUGCGACUUGGCAUGGACGUGGGGGCUUAGAUGAUGGACCUUCUAAGUCAGCAGCUGACGCAGCAGAAGCUGGCAGCUGGGGCUGCCAAGUAGACAGCCAAGAAAUGGGGGAAGUGGCAGCUUCAUGGGAGGCAGAACGUGGGAGCAUAACUGGGGUGCUUUCCAGGCCACUAUGUCCUGAAAACAUGGGAUCAUGGGUGAGAGGUAGUGCUCCACCAUGUCCUGAAAACAUGGGAUCAUGGGAGAGAGGUAGUGCUCCACUAGGUCCCGAAAAUGGGGGAUAAUGGGGAGGAGCCUUUGCAGCUCCUUUGCUUGUCUAUAAAUACAAGAUGUAGCUCUUGGUUGUGAGGGAGCAUUCGGGUGGGAAUGUUCAGAUGUAAGGGCAUUCGGUUGGGAUUGUCCAGCAUGUAGGGGCAUGCAAGAACAUGUGUAGAACACUAGUUAGAGGUAGCUUAGUGUAGCAUGCAAUCUUUGUGCAUAGCACACAUACGGAUUUGUGUAUAGUUUCCUUUGUGUAUGAGAUUAAUAAAGGUUGGGAAAGAGUUCCUGUAAAGCUUGUUGUGCACUAUGAUUCUUAUCCUUGCUUGUGUAUUCCGCUUGCUUAGUUAUUAGGCAAACACGAGUGAGAUUGGUGAGGGAAGGCUGAGUCUAGUGAGGGACUAGGCUGCCGCACGGGUUUAUUCGCGUAGCGAAAAAUACCCCCGUGACAGAGGCCAAGGUGGUCCUCGAAUAUUUUCUUCUUUUAUGUCUCGCUCACUGGGGCAAACCAUCUUUUUCAAAAUUUUGAAAAGCAUGCCAUCAAAAAGAAUUUUGUUCAAUCCCAAUCCCACAUUGUCUGUAGAAGUAUUUACUUUUGACUGUACACUUUGUUAUUUUACAAUCCCUCCCCAGUUCUGCAACCAUUUCUCUACUUUCUAUGCACUUGGCUUGCUAGAAACUAAAGAAAACACAUUGCUCUACUUGCCUGCCUUCACUCUUCAGAUUGCUCAACAAAUCCCUUGAGACCUUCUCCAUAGUUAACACAUCACAUAAUGGCUAAUCUCAAAAAUUUAGCCAUAAACAUUGAACACCUUAAGCAAUCAACGUCCCUUCCUUCACAAUAUGCAUCACCCAUAAAUCUUUCUUUUGGGAUGUCGCCGGGAGUUUAAUCUCCGAGUGUAAAAAUUAUGUAUAAAUUUCCAUUCUUUCUUUCCAUCCAUUACUUGUCCUCUAUGAAGAUUCUAUGUAUGGAAUCUCGGAAUCUUUUCGAGCAUAACUUGGGAUCAACAGCUGAGAUCAUAGACGUGGGAUUAAUUGACAAAAUUUAUUUUUAACCAUCAAUAUUGAAUAAUGGCUUAUUUUAUAAUAUAAAUUAUGUUUGAAAUAAAAUUGAUAAAAUUAAAAGACAUGAAACACAAUUAAUGACGACAUAGUAUAUUUUGAGACUAAAUUGAGGUUUUUCAAUUACCUUUAAACAUAUCUUGGUUUUAAUAGUGGACGGUACAUCCUUUGGAUUUAUUAGAAAAAACAUGCAAUGUAAAUUUAAAAAAUAUAUAUAUUUAGUUUUCAAAUACACAUAGUAAUAAAAAAUUAGAUGAUAGUAAAAAGAAAAUAAAAAUUAGUCUGAAUAAUUGGUAUCAGUUUCUAUUAUGAUAUAUCUAGCGAAGAAGUUCAAAGAAUAGAAUGAAGUAAAAUAUUCUUAAUAAAAAAGAAAAAAAACCACAGAAAAAAAUAAAAUAUGUUUUUAAUAAAUAUGAAAGAUGGAUAAAAUUAGAGAACAAGAAAGAGAAAUAGAAUCUCUUUGUAAGAACUUCUAAAAAUUUAAUUAUAAUUUAGUAUUUCUUCCUUAUAAUUAUUCAACGCUAGGUUUUAAUAUAUAAUUAAAGAGUCUCUCUCCUGAACCAGAUAAUAAAAAGAUUGUAUAACUCUUUUGUAUGAAUUGUAAAUCCAGGGACUGUUUUGGUCCCUGACUUCGUUGAUUUGAUUUGAAUAUAUUAUUUAUAAAUUAGAUAAGAUUCAAACUAAGGGGAUUAAAGUGUAAAAUAAAGAAAAACACCCUUGGCAAUCUAAAAUAAUUGAAGUAAUGAAUGCAUGAAGCAAGAUAAUUAGUGGUUGAAUACAGAUUAUAACUAAUUAUUUGUUCUGAUGAACAUUACCAAAUACAAAAAAAAAUGUUUCUAAAAUAAUAAGAUAUGAAUUAACUAUAGGCGGCAAAUAAUUAAAAGAGAUAUAAAUUUUGUGAUGAGUUAUGGUUAAUGCAGAAGCAAAUAAAAGAGGAACAGAAAUGAUAGGCAAAUAUUGUUUCUGGGGUAGUGUUUGUCACUGCGGUUAGAAAAUGUUUUUAAAUUUUUUUUAUUUUUUUUAUUUUAAAUUAAUAUAUUUUUAAUAUUUUUAAAUCAUUUUAAUAUGCUGAUGUUAAAAAUAAUUUUUAUAAAAUAAAAAAAUAUUAUUUUAAUAUAUUUUCAAAUAAAAAACACUUUAAAAAACAAUCACUCCAAACUUUUAAACACUUAAUUAAAACCCAACCUUACAGCUUCUCUCUCCAUAUAUCGUCUUCUUCUGCUUUUGUCAUGGCAUCAACUCAUCGAGUACAGGUAGAGAUACUUGAGGUCUGUCAAGUCAUCUCGUCCUUGAACUCACUUGACCCAGCCACCGAGUUAUCUUUUCUGCUCAUCCUUUUUCCUACAAACUCACCAAGGCAACACCAGAUUAUUUUAACUAAGUGAUCCUUCCAGGUAGCCCCAGGCCACAUUAAUUCUGUUUUUUUUAAAACAAACUCGGCUUAGUUAUUAAUAACAUGUUGCAUCCACAGUCUUACCACUAUAUUAUAAUUAUUUAGGAGGAUAGUUGAACCAUACUUUUUAAAAAAAUUAAUUUUUUUUUUAUACUUUUUAAACAUGUUAUUAUAUUCAUUUCUAAUUUAAUUUUUAUCAUCCAUUUCAUCGUUUUAUUUAUUUAAUAACUAAAUUUUUAAGUGAAAGCAUAUAGUCUUACGAUAAAAAGCAUUUUUUUGAAAUAAAAUAAUAUUAAAUUAACCAUGCUCAACAUUGUUCAAAUUAUUAAUUAAUUAUAAUUAACUCGAGGCCUUUAGAAGAAACAAAAUGGAAAGACAAAAUUAUCUUCCCCACAACCAUAGUUGGGAUUUUUAAAAAAUUAAUUUUAUUUUUAAUUUUUUAAAAAUAAACAACCAAUAAUAAUAUAGUUGGGAUUUUUAAAAAAUUAAGAUGAUUAAAAAAUCGUAUAAAAAGCAAUUUGAAACCAAUUAAUGUUAAAAACAAAAAAAACAAAAUGAAACAUGCCAUGAAAACAAGAGGGUCUUAUUGAAUUAUUAUUUGCUAGGUAACUAUAUAAUAUAAUCUGUUGAUGUGGAAAAUAACACUAAGUUUUUGGCAUGGCAUUGGUGAGAAGCAAAAGCCAUAGGACCAUCACCAUCCUAUGGCUUUGCCGUGCUAUUUGGUUCAAAGGGACGCAAAAAGACAUUCCAAGUGCGCAGUGUUUAUUGUCAUAAAGUUUUUCAAACUUCCAAUAUUGAGAGAGAAAUUAAAAAAAAAAAAAAAAACCAAAAGGAAAAAACCCCCACCCCAUCUUUCUUGUUCCCUUUUCCUUCUUUACAUGGCUUACUCAAUGAAAAAGCAAGCACUAAUGCACCUUCUCCACAAGCUACCCCCUAUUUGGCCACUAUAUAAAUAUAUUAUGGAAAGCAAGAUAAAAAGAAAUCUUUGAUGACUUGCAUUAUCAAUGCAAAAUCUAUUUAUAUAAUUGCUAAAUCUAUAAAGAUAAAUCGAAAAUAACUAGUAAAAUCAGUGACUUGCAUUAUCAAGCUUGACGAAUUUUAAGCUUAAUCUAUUGUAUUAUCUUUGAUGAUCACUUCACAUGCAUCUCUUGCUUGUAUUUGCAAGAGAGUGGAUACCUUCUGCAAUUGCUCAUCGCUAAUUGAUUGUUCCUUCUGCUCUCUCAUUAUUAAGCUUAAACUGUUGUAUCAUCUUAUCUUCCACAAUAAGGAUAUAAUUAAUCAAUCGGACCGACCAUUAUGUUAAGGAUAAGAGAUUGUUGGCACCUCUUUUUUCCUGUUGACAACUCAUGAUUUAUUUAUAGCAGUUAAGGAUAUAAUUAAUCGGACCCACCAUUAUAUAUGUUCCACAUUAAAGAUAUAAUCCAAUGUUUCAUAAUGAUCAUCUUGAAGUUGUUUUUUUCCGCCUUAAUGUUCAGCAUUUUUUAUUUUAUGAUCAGAUAUUAUUUGGAUGUGAUAAUAUAAAAAAUAAUAUUUUAAAAUUUUAAAAAUAAUUUUUAUUAUAUUUUUUUUAUAAAAAAAAUACUUUAAAAAACAGUUAUUAUUACUUACAUGUGAUCUUUCAAUCUUUCAUGAUUGCCUUGUAUUGAUUAAAAGGAAGAAAUAUGAAUACCUCGGCAUUCUGCCACUCAUCAUUUAUCCCUAGGGGAGGCCAGGUAGGUCUGGCCAUUGCUUGCUUCUGUUAAUAAUGAACCUCAUUCAGCUUACGCAUCAACUAUUCAUAACCUAAUUUUAGGUUAUUUUUUAAAAUUUAUUUUUUUUUAAAUAAAAAUAAAAAUAAUUAAAUAAAAAUUGACAGUGCGAAGAAAACAGGUCGGGAAAUAUAACUAUAAUUAUACCCCAUUAUAUCUAAAAAUUAAAAAACAAUGUAAAUUCAAAGUUAAAUUAAAUAAUUAUUGAACGAAUUUGCAUAAAUAUAAAGUCCAAUAACAUAAUUAAAUUUUUAAUAAGUCAAUUUAAUUUAAUCAUAGACCAAAAUGAUUUUUAAUUACGUUUAAGAAUUAAUUUUAAUCCAAUUAAAAGGUUUAAUUAAGUGAAAAGGUUUAAUUAUACUUUAAAGAGGUUAAAUUAACUUUAUUAAAGAUUUAAUUGAUGAAAAAUUGAGUUUAAAAACUCAAUUUAAAUUUAAUUAAAAAGAUUAAUAUUUUAAAUAAUCAAAUUUAAUUUUUAUCAAAUUAAUUAAUUAAAAUCAGGAUGCAAAAUCACAAUAAAUUGAAGUUUAGCUUUUAUCAUUUCAAAAGUUGCAGCCUCAUCUUCACUACUUGUAAAAUUGGGGCAGAUUAUGGACUUAACCGAGCAAUUACCACUCGAAAUUCCUCGCAAUUUAUGAAGGAAAUUUCCGUGUUCUUUCUCUGUAUAUUAUUAGAAAAACUGUCAUUGACUAAUUUAAUUGUAAAGUCUUUGCAAGAAAGCUAAAAGAAUUAGAGUUUUUUAAUUUCUAAAAUUAUAAUUUUAAAUUGUAAAAAGAAUUCAAUUAUUUUUACAAUUCAUCAACAGGUAUAAAAAACAAUUAUACCACUAGCUGUCUUCUCCCAAUGAUCUUUGUAACACUUCCAUUUCCACAUCAUGCAUGAUCAAUUUAUCAGAAUUUUAAUUAGUGGUUGAAUAUAGAUUAUAACUAAUUAUUUGUUCUGAUGAAGAUUACAAAAUUAAAAUGAAAUUACAGCUUCUCUCUCCAUGGUCUUCCUCUGCUUUUGUCAUGGCAUAAAUAAUAGGAAAUAAAUUAACUAUAUAAAUUUAGUGAGGAGUUAUGAUUAACGUAGAAGCAAAUAAAUUAAAAGAGAUAUAAAUUUUAUGAUUAACGCAGAAGCAAAUAAAAGAGGAACAGAAAUUAUAAGCAAAUAUUGUUUUCGGUUUCGACUUUAAAUCAAACCUAUAAAACCUAACCAUUACAUCUUCUCUCUCCAUCGCCUUUUCCUCUGCUUUUGUCAUGGCAUCAACUCAUCGAGUACAGGUAGAGAUACUUGAGGUCUGUCAAGUCAUCCCGUCCUUGAACUCACUUGACCCAGCCACCGAGUUAUCUUUUCCGCUCGUCCUUUUUCCUACACCAAGGCAACACCGGAUUAUUUUAACUCAGUGAUCCUUCCAGGUAGGCCCAGGUCACAUUGAUUAUGUUAAAAAAAAAAAAUCUAAUGUCUUACCAUUAUAUUAUAAUUAUUUAGGAGGAUAGUUGAACAAUACUUUUUUAAAAAAAUUAAUUUUUGACGAGUAAAAUAAUGUGGAACCAAUCGCAAUAAAUAAAGCCAAAAAAGGCAGACGAGUGUGUCUAAUUCAUGACUUGCAUUGACUAAAAAUUACCACUAGAAAUUCCUAGUUUUAUCCUAUAUAAAGAAUACAAAAAAGGCAGACGAGUGUGUUUCGUGGUGCUUUCUCGGCCUGCAAAUGAAUAGAAAGCAUAUCCUUUUAUCCUAUAUAAAGAAUAAUACAAUUAACAAAGCAUAUUUCAAUAUCCUUGCUUUACUCUCCAGCCAUAUGGCCAUUGAUAGAAAGGUGUGUUGAAGCAAAAUCUUUUUUUAUCUGUAGCGACCUCAAUAAUGUUAUCGCGUGGGACCCAGUUGUUGCGACCACCACGAAAUUACCACUCCAAAUUGCUUGUUCUUUCUCUUUCUCCGUAUAUUAUUAGAAAAACUGUCAUUACUAAUUUAAUUGGAACUUAUUUGAGAGAAAGCUAAAAGAAUUAGAUUUUUUUAAUUUAUAAAAAAAUUCAAUUAUUUUUAAAAAUAAAACAUCAACUAUUUACAUAAUAGCUAAAUAAAUCUAUUAAAAUAAAUUGAAAAUAACUAGUAAAAUCAAGCAAAUAAUCCAAAAAUAAUAAGAAAAUAAAUAUAUUUUCUAGAUCUGAUUUGAGUAUUUUUUUAUCUUGAUUGACUGACUUGUUAAGUCUCACUAAGUAUAAAUGAAGUCUGUUUGAUAUUUCUUCAUUUAUUAAUGAAAUAUUACUUCUAUUAUAUAGUUAUUGGGUUUCGAGUUGAUCCAUCGGGUCAAUAGGUAAAUAGUAUAUUCUUUGAAUUUAUUAGAAGAAACGUGUAAUGUAAAUUAUAGAAAAAUAUUUAUUUUUCUGAUAUACAUAAUAAUAAUAAUAAAUUAGAUGGUAGUAACAAAAGAAAAUAGAAAUUAAUUUGAAUAAAUGGUAUGAGUUUCUAUUUUAAUAUAUCCAGGGAAGAAGUUCGAAGAAUAGAAUGAAGUUAAAUAUUUUUAAUAAAAAAAAGAAAGAAAAAAAUAAAAUAUAUUUUUAAUAAAUAUAAAAGAUGGAUAAAAUUAGAGAACAAGAAAGAGAUAUAUAAUCUCUUUGUAAAAACUUCUAAAAUUUUAAUUACAAUUGAGAAUUUCUUCCUUAAAAAUAUCCAAAAAAUUCCUAUUAUUUAUGAAUCAAGACAACAGUAGAAUAACUUUUACAUAUUUUUCAAGUCUACUUAGAAUAAUUAUUUUAAUAUUUUAAAAUUAAAAAAAUACUGUGUAGUUGUUUUGUAUAAAUUCUAAUGUUGAGAACUCUUUUGUGCUUGGUAAAAUAUGAUUUUCAACUUUCGCAGGCGAGCACUAAAGUCCCAAACUUGAAGAAUUUCUCUUCUUUUCCUUUUGUAUUUUCUCAUUUUUUUGGCAUGCGCGCAGCUGCUUCAUGGAAAAAACGUUUCAGAUGCGGAAAAUAAAGAUAAAUGUAGAAAAUAAAAGUGGAAAAAAAAUCCCAAAUAUCGACAAACAUCACAAGAGAAGCUUGAUAUCAACCACAUGCUGCAGUCCACAGUCUUUCCAUUACAUUAUAAUUACUUCUAAAAAAAAAUUAAUUUUUAUUUAAUUAUAUGCCAUCAGCAACUACCUCAAAAUUACCACUCUAAAUUCCAGCUCAAUAUCGAUUAACAUGUGGCUAAAAAAUUUGAUAAUCUCUUAUAGGAAUCUCUUUAUUUAUUAAAUCAUCAAAAUAUCAGAGUAUAUUUCAAAAGACUAUGACUACAGUUUAUAUAUAUAUAUAUAAAAAUAGAAACAACUAAAUAGAAAAAUUAUUAUUUUUUAAAUAAAAAACUAGAAAAGCCUGAUAAUAUUAUUGAAUAAAAAAUAAAAUAGAAAUUUAAUCAAUUAAAAGUUAAAAAAAAUACUGUUUAACUGUUUUGUAUAAAUUCUAAAGUUAAAGAGCCUUUUGUGCUUGGUAAAAUACGUCACACUAAAAUUAAUAAAUAAUAACACAAGAAAGGACCAAAGUUAAUAAAUAAUAGCAUGCACGAAACUUCAUGAUACCCAUGUUUUCCACGUUUUACACUGCUUUAAUAGAUUGUUACAGCAAGAGCACAGAGAGAGGAACGGUUCAAGACAGAACAAUAAAGGAGGGGCUGACGCUCAGUGAGGACAUCCUCCAGCUCAUCUGAUCCAGCUCAAAUGGUUGCAACCACCACGAAAGGAACGCAUUAAUGUUAACGCGUGGACCCAGUUGCUGCACCAGCAUGAAAGUACCACUCCAAAUUCCAGCUCAAAUUGAAUAAUGAUUUAUUUUCUAGCAUAAAUUAUGUUUGAAAUAAAAUUGAUAAAAGACAUAAUUACACAAUUAUUGAUGGGAUCGUAUAUAAAAAUAAUUAAAUUGAGAUUUUUUAAUUAUUUUUAAACAUAUCAUGGUUUUAGGUACAUCAUGUAAAUUAUAAAAAAAAUAUUUAUUUUUCUGAUAUAUAUAUAUAUAUAACAAAUGGUGUGAAAGGGGGAAGUACUAUGAGAGCUUUAUGCCACUUUCUAUCUUUGAUGUAAUGGCUUUGGCAAAAAGAAGCAAACAAAAGUUAGUGUUCGCACUACUUUAGCCGAAGAGUCUUUCAUGGGUGCCUUGGAUUGAUUGAUAGGAAGAAGUCUGCUUUGUUUUUAGAAAGAAGCAGUCUUCAUUGCUUUAAUAAAUUAUUACAAUAAUAGCACUAAGAGAAGAGAAGAAUGAGAGAUGAUCCGAGUUUCAAAACUAUAGUUUAUAUAUAAAAACAACUAAAUAGAAAAAUUAUUAUUUUUUAAAUGAAAAAACCAGAAGAGCUUGAUAAUAUUUAAUAAAAAAAUAAAAAUGAAAAAAUAUGCCUUUUUAAGUACAAACAAAAUUAUAAAGAUUUAAUAAUACUGUAUAAAAAAAUUAAAAAUUCUAACCUAAAUUAAAAAAAAUAAAAAUAACUGAAAAAAUAUUUAUAAAAAUUACGGUAUGUAAAUCUAGGGACUAAAGAUAAUACAACUGCAUUGACCGGAGAUUUCACUUAGAAUUUCUAGUAAAUUAUAAAGGAAAUUUCCUUGUGCUUUCUCAUAUACAUGAAUUUAAAAAUUAUCGUUGCUGGAUUGACUUGCAUUGACUGACUUGCUAAGUAUUUGCUGCUCUUGUGCUCUCUCUUGUAUAUUAUUAGAAAAAUUGUCAUUGACUAAUUGACUUGCAAAAGUAUUUGCAAGAAAGCUAAAGAAUUAGAGUUUUUAAAAUUUUUAAAUUAUUAAAAACAACCAAUUAUUUAAAAAAAAAAUCAAGAAUACAACAUCAACUAUUUAUAUAAUUGCUAAAUAAAUCUAAUAAAAUAAAUCGAAAAUAACUAGUAAAUAAUUCAAAAAUAACUAGAAAAUAAAUAUAUCUCCUCAAUAUGAUUUGAGUAUGUUUUCUAUCUUAAUCGACUGACUUGCUAAGUAUUUGUUAAACAUAAAAAAACUUUACUUUAAAAGUCUAUUUAAUAUUUUUCUUACUUUUAUUAUUUUACUUCAAAGUUUCAAUUUCAUAUUUUUUUACAAUGUAUAUUUUAUUUGAUUAAGGAUAUGUUAAGCAUUGACUCGAAAUUACUACUUGAAAUUCUGGACUGGAAACUAGCUUAAACGCUGGCCACCAACUCUUUUUUGCUCGAUUCAUAGGGAGAGAUCAGGGUAGAAAAUGUGAUUUUUUAUUCAAGAUCGUGGAUAGUACGUUUAAGAUUAUGGAAAUGUGUUUUUUUGUUUACUAGAAGGAUUGGGUCGAAAAGAGGGAAAAAAGUGACAACCUUCCAUAUACGUUUAAGGAAAUCUAGAUUUCUGUAAAUUUUAGGAAAAAACAAUGUCAUUUUUGUUUUUCUUUCAAUAUCAAAAUUUUUUCUUUCCCUAAAUUAUGAUAUAAAAACUCUCAAACUUAAUUUUUACGUAUAAUAUUUAAUUAUUGGUCUAAUUUCAAUACUAACUAUAUAUUUUAUUAUUAUUAUUUGUGUAUUUUUUUUCUGAUUAUUUCUAACCACUUAAAAAAUUAAAAAAAAUAUCAAAAUAAUAAAAUAAUUAAAAUGAACUAAAUUUACUGAAAAUAUUUUUUUAUAAAAAAAUGAAGGGUAAAAAAAUUAAAUUAUGACAUAUAUCAUUAAUUAUUGAGAUUCUUAUAACAAACACGGAACUUCAUGUCACUUGAUGAUACCCAUAUUUUCAACGUUUUACACUGCUUUAAUAAAUUGUUACAAUAAUAGCACAGAGAGAAGAAUGGUUCAAGAGAAAACAAUAAUGGAAGGGAAUCAAAAUCUUUGUUUGAUUUUCUGUUGUGUUUUUGGUACAUUGGUCAACAAUAGCUUGGAAGAGUUUGGUAGCAGUAAGUAACCUUUUCGACCUCAAUAAUGUUAACGCGUGGACCCAGUUGUUGUGGAAACUUUGCAGAGGAAGAAAAAUGAUUGCAUUGCUAAUAAUUUGCAAGAGAGAAUUCUUUCUCUGAAUAUAUAGAAAAAACUAUUAUUUUUAAAAUAAAAACAACUAUAUAGAAAAAUUAUUAUUAUUUAGGUAGAAAUGAUUUAAUUAAGGAAGUAUGUUAAAAAAUAAUAUAAAUUAUAUUUUAGAGUUUAUUUUAAUAGUUUAAAUUUUUAGAUGGAUAGUUUUUGGCAUGGCCAUCGGUGAGAAGCAAAAGCAGUAGCAGCCCAUCAGGACGAUCACCAUCCUAUCGCCGACAUUCCAAGUGUGAAAGUGUAUUAUUGUCAUAAAGUUUUUCAAACUUCCACUAUAGAGAGAUAAAUAAAUAAAUAAGUAGAAAGCGCAAAAGAAACAAUACGAUAAAUUUAAACUAUACUAAAGGUCAGUUUUUCACUCUGUGUGAAUCUACAGUGAAAGUUUGAUUUUGCACAUGGUAGAUAAAUUUAGGUUUAGGAGUAUAAUUUUUUAUAUAUAUAAUUACACUAAAGAAGAAUAUUAAUCAAAUAACCCUUAAAAAAUUCCUUUUAAUUUAUGGUUUAUUUUUUUUAUCUAAUUUAAAGUGAAUUUUAUACCUGAUAAUAUUUUAUCUAAUUUUAUUACACGCUAAAAAAAUUAUGAAAACUGUAGUUCUUGUCGGAUGUAUUUCGUACGUAAUGGAAUUGUAGAUGGUUUCAUGGAAUAAUAAAAAAUAUUUUAUAUAAAGUAUAAUUUAUUUCAUGAUGUAAUAGCAAUAGUUAAAUUCAUAAUAUUUAAAUUAAAAAUCAUCAAUAUUAAUAUAUAUUUUUUAAAAUUAUUUUAUAACCUCAAUUUUAAAAACAUUAUUAACCAAACACAUUAAAUUACUUUUUCUUCAGCCUCAAUUUCAACCAUAAUUUUAACCAAACACCUAUUUUUUCAAACCAACUUCAACUAAAAGUACUUUUUAUAAAACAAUUUUUUUCAAAUCAUAACCACAACAGCUACCGCAAUACCAAACACACUCUUAAUCAACUUAAAUUUGAGUGUACCUUCCGAGUAAGACAAACCCUGUAUUUUAAAAUACUAUUGCCAAAAGAUCCCCUUAUAUAUGGAUCAAGACAACAGUAUCACUCCCAUUUUAGUAAUAGAAUAAGUUUUACAUAAUUUUCAAGUUUAGUAGAAUAGUAGUGGAUUAAUUUUUUUAAUAUUUAAAAAUAAAAAAAUACUGUGGAGCUGUUGGUAUAAAUUCUAAAGUUAAGGACUCCUUUGUGCUUGGUAAAAUACGUCAAUUUAAAGUUAAUAAAUAAUAGCAUGCACGAAACUUCACGAUACCCAUGUUUUACACUGUUUUAGAGUAUGUUUGGUAUUGCGGUAGCUGUUGUGGUUGUGAUUUGAAAAAAAUUAUUUUAUAAAAAGUACUUUUAGUUGUGGUUCGUUUGAAAAAAUAGGUGUUUGGUUAAAACCGUGGUUGAAAUUGAGGUUGAAGAAAAAGUAGUUUAAUGUGUUUGAUUAAGAAUGUUUUUGAAAUUGAGGUUAUAAAAUAAUUUAAAAAUAUAUAUAUUAAUAUUGAUGGUUUUUAAUUUAAAUAUUAUGGAUUUAACUAUUGUGGUAACAUCAUGAAAUAAAUCAUACUUUAUAUAUAAAAAAAUUUAUUGUUCUAUUAAACUAUCUACAAUUCCAUUACGUACAAAAUUCAUCCGACAAGAACUACAGUUUUCAUAAUUUUUUAGCGUGUAAUAAAAUUAGAUAAAAUAUUAUCAUGUAUAAAAUUCACUCCAAACUAGUUUUUUUUUAAAAAAAAAUGUUAAAAAAAUUAACAAAAAAAAAACUUAACACACUAAAAAAAAAAAGAAAAAGAAAAAGAAAAAGAAAAAAGAGUCCACGCAGUGCAAGUGAACAGUGCAAGAGAAUUGCACCGUUCACUAUUUUUAAGUGAACAGUGCAUCACUUGCACUGUUCAAUGAACAGUGCAAUUAACGUGAACAGUGAAAAAAGUAAGAAAUGACUGCUUUUCCUUUCCUGCGUUGCUAACGCAGAAAUUAAGUGGGGCCCAGUAAACAGUAAAUCAAUUUUUUUCUUAACCAAAUAGCUGCGAACUGCAUUUUAAAUAAAACGCAGCCGCAGUCGCAGAGCCAAACAGGCUUAAUAGAUUGUUACAGUAAAAGCAAAGAGACAAGAACGGUUCAAGACAGAACAAUAAUGGAGGAACGCAAAAAGACAUUCCCUUUCUUGUCACUAAAGAGUAGCAAAAGUAGUAGUGAUGUUUUUUUCAACUUGCAUGUCUGUUAUGACUAUUUAUUAUGGGCUAUGCAUGACAUGGUCAGGGCAGCCUCUAAAAUCAUCCGAUCAGUCAAUUAUGCCAAGCGAUAGGCCUAGCUGAAGAGAAAUUUGUUGCCCAAACCUUGACUAACCUAGCAUGUCUAAGAGGAGACUUUGACUCCAAAACUAGCAAGUAAAUUUCCUCGUCUUUUGUUUAAUUUUUCUCAAGAUGAAGAAAUGGCUGGAUUAAUUUUCAUAUACGAAAAUCAAAAUUUUCUUAAUGGGAUCUUAAGAAAAUUUCUUUUCUUGUCCAAAUCAAGCCUCGAGAAAGCAUGUGCAAUUUAUAUAAGAAGCAAAUUCUAUUUCUUGACUUGUAUUUGCCUUUUGGAAUUUUCUGUACAAAUUUCUUGCCAGGAGUUGGAGAUAAUUCAAUGAACUUCCCCAAAUUUUGAAUUCCCCUCCUGUUCUGCGGUGGUAUCAUAGGACUUCAUUGCACUAUUCUGUGCAUGGAUACUUUGGAAAACAAAGGCUCUUAGCUGAAACCAAAGAACACUCUCUGGCACAUUCCAUUCACUAUACCAGUAAAUAGACAGAUAGAAAUGAAAAUGUUGAUGGAAAAUAUUUUAUUAAUAAUUUCAGAUAAAAAUAACAAUAAAAAAUUUCAAAUCUCUUAAAAUUCUGACCACAAUAGCAACAAAAUAGAAAAAAAUAAAACGGAUCAGAUUGCUUUUGAUGCAUACUGUUUCAUUCUUUUUCUCACUUCUUCGACGUAUUUUCAAGAAGAUGGAAAUUCUUGAUCUUAGUUAGAAACAAAUUGGUUUUUCAAGAAGAGAUUAUUAGUUGGGAUAUUGCAUUUGAGUUGGUUCUUCACCAUUUAAUGUUAUAAUUUAAGAUAAUUGAUGAAAACUAUUGAUAUAUACAGGAAAGUUCAGAAAGCAUCUUUAAUUGAUUUGAUAAGGAAAGUCUUGUUUGUUUUGGCUAUAAGAUUUUUCUAUGUAUUAUUGCAUGCUUUUUACUGCUUUUUGGCCUUUCAUUCGAAGGAUAUAAAAAUAAUAAGAACAUUUUUUAUUCAUUAUCAAUGCUUGAUUUUAGCACGAUAAAAUCCAAGGGAUUGAUGGUCUGGUGUUUGUGGUGCUGGUAAAUGUAAGAACGGACCGAGAGAUGAAAUAGGAAAAACCCAUGUCUAUUAGUUGGCACCGGUGAUCAUUAGGCCCUUGCCGCCCACGAAAUCGCUUUAUCCUGUUGUUAAUUUUUUAAUGAAGCGUAUCAAGUGUUUGAUAAAAUUCCUUAACUGGAAAAAAAAAACCUUUUUUUAAUGAAGCGUAUCAAGUGUUUACACUUUACAGUGCUUUAGAAUAAGUUUGGUUUUUAAAAUAUUUUUUAAAAAAAUACAUCUAAUUAAUUUUUUGAUGAUUUAAAAAUAAUAAAAAUAUAUUUUAGAAUAAAAAUAUAUUUUUUUAAAUACUUUUACACCACAAAAACAACUACUUUUCAAGUCUUCCUACCCAUCGUUAAAUCAAACCUAUAAAACCUAACCAUUACAGUUUCUCUCUCCAUCGUCUUCCUCUGCUCUUGUCAUGGCAUCAACUCAUUAAGUACAGGUAAAGAUACUUGAUGUCUGUCAAGCAUAGGUUUUAGAACCGGCUUGAGGGCCUGGUUAAAUAUUUGGGUUUCAAGUUUUUAUCUGGUUAAUUUUUUUAAAAAAAUUAAAAUAAUAUUGUUUUAGUAGAAGAAUAAAAAUUAACAGGUUGUAAUUAGGUUUUUGACCGGAUCUUAUCAAGUUAAUCUGCCGGAUCACACCAGGUUUUUUCUUUCUUUUUUUUUCCAACCCGGCUCAGUUCCAGUUGCAAGUCAGCCGGAUCCUGAAUCAACCUACCAAAUCAGGCCGGGUUUCAAAUCUAUGCUGUCAAGUCACCCCGUCCUUGAACUCACUUGACCCAGCCACCGAGUUAUCUUUUCCGCUCAUCUUUUUUUAUAUCCUGUUCUUGAAAGUCGCUCCAGCUGAACACGCUUAUUCCUCUACAAACUAUUGCAUUUACCAAUACACGCUUGAGAAAUUUCCUUGCUUUUUUUUCCUUGCAUGUGUUACAUUUUUGUCUUUUAUAAUUAUAAUUAUUGCAUUGCUAAUAAUUUGCAAGAAAUAAUAUUCUUUCUCUGAAAAAGGCUUGAAGCAUUAUAGAUAAUCUCUUAUAGGAAUCUCUUUAUUAAAUCAUCAAAAUAUCAGAAAAUAGCGGAAAUGAUAAACUGUGCAGAAUUGAUGCAGUCUUCCUUAAUGCUUUCAACCUUUUACACUGAUUGAGUCCUCUAGAAAACUAUUAGAUGCCAUAAAGCAAGAGAGGAAUAUAUUUUGGAGUGACAUAGAUAUUAUGUUUUAAAAUGAAAUGUAUUUAAAUUUAUUUUUAAAAAUUUAUUUUUAAAAAUUUAUUUUUAAUGUUAACACAUCAAACUAAUCUAAAAAUAUUUAAAAAAUCAUUUAAAAAAAUAAAACAUUCAGCAACCACCAUGAAAUUACCACUCUAAAUUACCACAUAGAUUGUUGCUUGCUCUUUGACAAUUAUUGCAUUUCUAAUAAAACAUACUUUCUCAAUUUCCUUCUUUUUUUUCUUUUUUAACUAUACUCAAUCUGCACCUGCCACGAAAUUACCAAUAAGUAAAUUCCAGCUCAAUAUUUUCCAAUACGCACUUUUGAGAAAUUUCCUUGCUUUUUUCUUUCCUUGUACGUGUUACCUUUUUAUCUUUUAUAAUUAUAAUUAUUGCAUUGCUAAUAAUUUGCAAGAAAUAAUAUUCUUUCUCUGAAAAGGGCUUGAGAAAACCCGAAGCAUAGUAUAUAAUCUCUUAUAGGAAUCUCUUUGUUAAAUCAUCAAAAUAUCAAAGUCUGUUUCCAAAGUUAUGACUACAGUUUAUAUAUAGAAACAACUAAAUAGAAAAAUUAUUAUUUUUUAAAUAGAACAACCAGAAGAGCUUGAUAAUAUUUAAUACAAAAAUAAAAUAGAAAAAUUAUUCCUUUUUAAGUAGAAACAAAAUUAUAAAGAUUUAAUAAUACUGAAUAAAAAAAAUUAAAAUUUCUAAACUAAAUUUAAAAAAAUAACUGAGAAAAUAUUUAUUAUCCCAAUAGUUCUAAUAUUAAAAUCUCAUUUAUCAUAUGUUAGAUCUAUCAAAUAAUAAUAAUUGAACAGUUUUUAGUGAAUUAAGUUCAAUUCAAGAUAACAAAAUAAAGUUUGUUGAGGCUUAUCUUGGAACCGGUAUUAAUUAGUGAGAAUAAGAAAAUCCUAUACAAAUUAUACAAAAUUAAUUAUUAAUUAUCGAUAUUUAUUAUUGAUAAUCAAUAAUGAAUAAUAGCUUAUUUUCUAGUAUAAACUAUGUUUGGAAUGAAAUUGAUAAAAGACAUGAUACACAAUUAAUGAUGGGAUCAUAUAUAUAAAUAAUAAAAUUGAGAUUUUUCAAUUACCUUUAAAUAUAUCAUGGUUUUAAUAGGUGAACGAUACAUUCUUUGAAUUUAUUAGAAGAAAUGUGUAAUGUAAAUUAUAAAAUAAUUUUUUUUUUAUAUACAUAAUAAUAAUAAUAAAUUAGAUGAUAAUAAUAAGAAAAUAGAAAUUAAUUUGAAUAAAUGGUACGAGUUUCUAUUCUAAUAUAUCUAGGGAAGAAGUUUGAAAAAUAGAAUGAAGUUAAAUAUUCUUAAUAAAAAAAAAAGAAAUAAAAUAUCACAGCAUAAAGAGAUGUGGUAAAUCUUAUGUUGGGAGACUGCUCUUCCAAGGAUCCUACGGUUGCGAGCCAUACACGCUUGAGAAAUGGUGUGUUAUCCUUGCGACCAUAAAAUAUCCUUGCGACACAUCUUCCAAGGAUCCUAUGGAUAGCACUUGCGAGCAAUCUUGUUUUUUCAAUGCCGCCAUUCAGCAAGUCCACAUGUCAUGAGUCUACACGGCAUCAAAUUUGCAAAAUCAUAUGGCCCAUUGAUAAAAAGAUGUGUCGAAGCGAAAUCUGUUUUAGGCUUUUAGGUUGAUUUUAUAUGGGUCUCUGACUUGGCUGAUUUUAUUUGAAUAUAUUAUUUGAUUAGUUCAUUUAUAGGUUGACUCUACUAUAUAUUCUGCCUUGCAUUGACAGGAAAUUUCACUAGAAAUUUCAAGUAAUUUACACAGGAAAUUUCCUGCAUGUGUUACAUUUUUAUCUUUUAUAAUUAUAAUUAUUGCAUUGCUAAUAAUUUGCAAGAAAUAAUAUUCUUUCUCUGAAAAGGGCUUGAGAAAACCCUAAGCAUUGUAGAUAAUCUCUUAUAGGAAUCUCUUUAUUAAAUCAUCGAAAUAUCAGAGUAUGUUUCCAAAUACUAUUACUACAAGAAACAACUGAAUAGAAAAAUUAUUCUUUUUUAAAUAAAAAAAAACUAGAAAAGCCUGAUAAUAGUAUUGAAUAAAAAAUAAAAUUGAAAUUUAAUCAACAAUAAUUUCUCAUCUCCAAUAAAAAUUUAGGUUUAUCAUUUGGGUAACACAAACCCUGUAUUUUAAAAUACUAUUGCAAAAAAUUCCUAUUAUAUAUGAAUCAAGAUAACAGUAAAUAACUUUUACCUAUUUUUUCAAGUUUGUACGUAGAAUAGUAGUGGAAUAAUGUUUUUAAUAUUUGAAAAUUUUAAAAAAAAUACUGUGUAACUGUUUUGUAUAAAUUCUAAAGUUAAGGACUCUUUUGUGCUUGGUAAAAUACCUCACAAUAAAAUUAAUAAAUAAUAACACAAGCAAGGACCAAAGUUAAUAAAUAAUAGCAUGCUUUUAUAGAUUGUUACAGUAAAAGCACAGAAAGAAGAACGGUUCAAGACAGAACAAUAAUGGAGGAACGCAAAAAGACAUUCCCUUUCUUGUCAUAAAGUUUUGAAUAGUACUUUUGUGUAUUAUUUUCGUAAAGUUUUUCAAACUUCCAAUAUUUACAUGGCUUACUCGAUGAAAAAGCAAGAGCAAAAGGAAACGCACCCCAUAUUUAUUGUUCCCUUUCCCGUCUUUACAUGGCUUACUCGAUGAAAAAGCAAACACCCCAUUAGUUGUUGCCACCAAAUUCCAGUACACGCUUGAGAAAUUUCCUUGCGUUUUUUUCCCUCUACGUACGCGUUACCUUUUACCUCUUUUAUAAUUUUGAUUAUUGCAUUGCUAAUAAUCUGCAAGAAAGAUGAUGAAAAUUUUUUAGUGAAUUCAAAAUAACAAAAUAAGGUUUGUUGAGGCUUUUCUUGGAACCUCGCUUGGGGUUUAAUUAGCGAGAAUGAAUUCUACAAAGAUAUCGGACUGUGAGUUUGUUUCUAAUGCAAUUCACAAUAAUGACCUUGUGGAUGGACUCUCAGAAUACGUUAGUGAGACAGAAUAUAAUGAGGUUAAUAAUGGGCUUCUACAACUCAUCAUUUAUCCCCAGGGAAGGCCAGGUGGGCCUAGGCCACUGCUUCUGUUAAAAAUAAACUAAAAUAACACUUGUAAGGUGAUACAUAUUCUUGCAAUAAAUAAAGCCAGCAAAGGCAGAUCUGUGUGUCUAUAUAUACAUGAACUGCUGAUUCGAUUUGAACACCCCAUUUCUCCGAUUCAAUAACUUCAGUUGCAAAACUUCUAUCUCCGAUUGCGGCAAUUUCAUAGCUAACUCUUUGUUAUACACAGGUAUAUAAUUUCAUAGCUAACUCUUUGUUAUACAGAGGUAUAUACGGCUAACUCUUCUUUUCUUCUUUCUUGUUUUAAAUAUUUCAUGUCUUUACCAAUAACAAUAAUGUGAAAGCUUUGUAUGUUUCAUGUUUAACUUCAGUUGCUAUUGUCUUAUGCUCUCUCAUUAUUAAGCUUAAAUUGCGAAUUGAUUGUUCCUUCAAUUCUGCAGCUGAAAUGGCAGAGCCAGAGUCUUCUCGUUCUAUACCAGAAUGGACCUAUGAUGUCUUCUUGAGUUUUAGAGGAGAAGACACUCGCAAGACAUUUACAGAUCAUCUAUAUGCUGCCUUAGUCCAAGCAAAAAUCCACACUUUUCGAGAUGAUGAUGAACUUCCUAGAGGAGAAGAAAUCUCCGAUCAUGUCCUCAGGGCUAUUCAAGAAUCAAAGAUAUCCAUAGUUGUCUUCUCAAAAGGAUAUGCUUCUUCUAGAUGGUGUCUCGAUGAACUAGUAGAGAUUCUGAAGUGUAAAAGGAAGAAAACCGGUCAGAUUGUUCUUCCUAUAUUCUAUGACAUUGAUCCUUUAGAUGUGAGAAAACAGACUGGCAGAUUUGCAGAAGCAUUUGUUAAACAUGAAGAGCGUUUUGAAGAGAAGCUGGUGAAGGAGUGGAGAAAAGCUCUUAAGGAGGCAGGAAAUCUAUCUGGAUGGAAUCUCAAUGAUAUGGCAAAUGGGUAUGCCUUUUUUUCUCUAAGAUUCACUUGCACACAUUUAUGGAGUGAUUAUACUUUACAUUUUUCAAUGUGAAACAAUAAAAUACUUAAUUGGCUCGCUAUCAAUGACUUGCUUUUGUCUAUGAGCAGGCCUGAAGCAAAUUUUGUCAAAGAGAUUAUCAAGGAUGUGUUGAAUAAAUUAGGACCCAAGCACUUAUAUGUUCCUGAGCACCUAGUAGGUAUGGAUCGGCUUUCUCGCAAUAUUUUUUACUUUCUAAGUACUGCAAUAGAUGAUGUACAAAUUGUGGGCAUACAUGGGAUGCUAGGAAUAGGAAAGACGACUAUAGCAAAAGUUGUAUUUAAUCAACUCUGCAAUGGAUUCGAGGGAAGCUGUUUUCUUUCGGAUAUAAAUGAAAAAUCAAAACAAUUCAAUGGUCUGGCUCUUUUACAAGAGCAACUUCUUCAUAAUAUUUUAAAACAAGAUGUUGCUAACAUCAAUUGUGUCGAUAGAGGAAAGGUUCUGAUCAAAGAGCGACUUUGUCGCAAAAGAGUUCUUCUUGUUGCUGAUGAUGUGGCUCGUCAGGACCAGCUAAAUGCUUUGAUGGGAGAGCGAAGUUGGUUUGGUCCCGGAAGUAGAGUAAUUAUUACAACAAGAGAUUCAAAUCUUCUUCGUGAAGCAGAUCAAACAAAUCGGAUCGAAGAAUUGGAACCAGAUGAGGCCCUUCAGCUUUUCAGCUGGCAUGCCUUUAAGGACACCAAGCCAGCAAAAGAUUAUAUUGAGCUUUCAAAGAAAGCAGUUGAUUACUGUGGAGGACUUCCUUUUGCUCUUGAGGUUAUAGGAGCUCGUCUGUCCGGGAAAAACAGAGUUACGUGGGAAAGUGAAAUUGACAACUUGAGCAGAAUUCCAAACCAAGACAUUCAAGGAAAGCUUCUAACAAGUUAUCACGCACUUGAUGGUGAACUACAAAGAGCAUUCCUUGAUAUUGCAUGCUUCUUUAUUGGUAAAGAGAAAGAAUACGUCGCAAAACUGCUAGGAGCCCGUUGCGGUUACAAUCCAGAAGUUGUUUUGGAAACUCUCCAUGAAAGGUCUAUGAUUAAAGUAUUGGGAGAGACGGUAACCAUGCAUGAUCUAUUACGAGACAUGGGAAGGGAGGUCGUUCGUGAAUCGUCUCCAAAAGAACCUGGAUAGAGGACCAGAAAUUGGAAUCAAGAGGAUGCAUGGAAUGUGCUUGAGCAGCUGAAGGUAAAAAAAAAUAGUCAUGGAACACUUGACUGAUCAAAGAAAAAAAAUUAUUUAUUUUCUCUUAUUGAGUUCCAUAGUUUAAACUUUCUCGUUACACAUAAUUUUUAGUUUGGUAUAUAUAUUCUACUGUUUUUUAUAAUCUUUAUAUUUAUAUUUUUAAAUAUAAGUACACAUAGCAUCAUUUGAAUCUUUUGAUUGAAAGUAAAAGCUUUAUCUCGUAAAAUCAUCUCUAGAAGGUUUUAUUUGGUCAAUCUUCAAAAACUUAGGGAUUAAAAAAAAAAAACUUCUUACUUGAUUCAAUUUGGAAACCUCAAGGAGAAAAUUGAAACAAGUAUAACCUCACGGGGAGAAGUUGAAUUCUCCCCAAACUCAGGGGUUAAUUAAAAUUAACCUUUAAAUUUCUAUCCAUGCCCAGUUGCCCACGAAAGAGAAGAGGUACAUCCACGUGAAGCUCAUUUUGGGUUUGGGUUAGUUGAAAAUAUCUAGUGGGUGGGCCUUUUUUCUGUUUUUCUGUUUUUUUUUUGUUUUUAUGCACAGAAUACAUGAAAUAAUAAAUUUAAAUCCAACAAAUCCAAUAGAGAUAUAAUAUUGUAUACGAUCAACAUGAAAGAAUUUUACGAAAAGACAUGAAAAUAUCAUAUAUUAUGUGUCUCUGCCAGUCAUAAUUGUAUUGUUUUGUGUAUUAUCAAUUAUCUUUCUUGUAUAGGAAAUAUCAUGUUGGAUUUUGCUGAUGACAAACUUAAUCCUAGAGAUUGCAUCUGCGGUUUUUGACCAGACGGGUUAUGCAUUAAUUGGCAUGGUGUUGGCAUUUGUAGCUUUGCUUCUUGCUGCCGUUGAACUCAUUCACAUGGCUCGAAAGGAAAGAACUAAACGGGUGGGCCUAUUGCCACCUUUUAUUCUCCAUGCAACUAGAAAGCCUGUUGGCUGGUGCUGUCUGGCAAUGUGUUUAUUCGACUGUGGAGUAUAUGUAUACUCGUCAGAAGAAAGAUAAUCCAAUUAAGAUGUGUCUUUUACCUUUCAUUUUCUUAUUAUGCGUGGCGAUUUCCAAAUUAUUAGUCGACAAGAGUUCCGUUGUAAAUAGUUCUUAGCAAUAGUAUUUUCUUUGAACUAGAAGGAAUUUCUAGUAUUGUGUUCUAAGGACUCUUUUUAGUGGGAAUGAGUCAAAGAUUUUGAUUCCUAGAUUUUCUUAUCGAAGACCCAGACUUGUAAUGCAAUUAAGACACUAUAUUUUAGACAGUGAGCAUGAGUUGAUGUGGACAAUCUAGCUAUUAUUGAUAUGCGGUUCAGUAACCUCAAAUAACUAUGAAAGGAAAAAACUGUCAUUCACUGAUUUAAUUGGAAAUUAUUUGCGAGAAAGCUAAAAAGAAUUAGAGUUUUUUAAUUUAUAAAAUUAUAAUUCUAAAUUCUAAAAAAAAUUCAAUUAUUUUUAAAAUUAUUUUAAAAAAUAAAACAUCAACUAUUUAUAUAAUAGCUAAAUAAAUCUAUUAAAAUAAAUUGAAAAUAACUAGUAAAAUCAAGCAAAUAAUUCAAAAAUAAUAAGAAAAUAAAUAUAUUUCCUAGAUCUAAUUUGAGUAUAUUUUUUAUCUUGAUUGACUGACUUGUCAAGUCUUUAUUCCGUAUAAACAAAUUUUAUUCUAAAAGUCUGUUUGAUAUUUCUUCACUUAUCUAUGAAAUAUUACUUCUACUGUACAGAAUAGAAAUAAAAAUUAGAUGAUAAUAUUUAUUCUAAAAGUCUUCGUUAAGGAUAAAUGAACUUUAUUCUAAGAGUUUGUUUGAUAUUUUUUUAUUUAUUAAUGAAAUAUUACUUCUACUGUAUAGUUAUUGGGUUCCGAGUCGAUCCACCGGGUCAAUAGGCGAACAGUAUAUUCUUUGAAUUUAUUAGAAGAAAUGUGUAAUGUAAAUUAUAAAAAAUAUUUAUUUUUCUGAUAUAUAUAAUAAUAAUAAAUUAGAUGAUUGUCACACCCGACAUCGCGGCGACCUUAAAAAUUUAAUUCUUUGGAAAAGAACAGAUUUCUGGCAUCCUAUUCUUUAAUGGGGAUAUUCUUUGUUUAAGGAGUCGCCACCUAGUAUUAUGGUCACUAGGAACCCUAACUGGUCAACAGAGAGUCUACGGUUUGGGACUGGUUACGUAAAAGGGAAGAUAUUAUCACCCCUUAAACGUCCUGCCUGAGGCAGGCUGCACUGCUAGUUUUAUCUUUAAUUGCUAAAUGUUUAUUAGUUUACGAUAUGAUAAUUUACUUAUAAUAUUCCCGACUCUGGCGUCAGUGAAUAUUAAACUACGAAUACUUCCAACUCUGGCGUUGGUCAAUAUCACGUAGCUAUAAAAUAAAUUAGAUUAAUAUUUUUUAUUUUCCCGGCUCUAGCGCCAGUGAAUAAAUAAACAAAAUAAAAUUUGAUUUUUUUACGCAUGCAUAUUUUUUUAUUUUUUUUAGCUAAAUAAAAUAAAGUACAACAAAUAAAAAUAAUAUAAAUUUAAACCGGUAUUUUUAUUCCUGACUCUGGCGUCAGUGAAUAAACCAAUAAAUUUACAUUAUUUUUAUUCAUCUAAAUAAAUUUAAUUUUUUACGCAUGCACAUUUUUUAUUUUUUAGCUAAAUAAAAUAAAGUACAACAAAUAAAAAUAAUAUAAAUUUAAACCGGUGUUUUUUAUUCCUGACUCUGGCGCCAGUGAAUAAACCAAUAAAUUUACGUUAUUUUUAUUCAUCUAAAUAAAUUUAAUUUUUUACGCAUGCACAGUUUUUAUUUUUUAGCUAAAUAAAAUAAAGUACAACAAAUAAAGAUAAUAUAAGUUUAAACCGGUAUUUUUAUUCCUGACUCUGGCGCCAGUGAAUAAACCAAUAAAUUUACAUUAUUUUUAUUCAUCUAAAGAAAAUAAAAUACAACGAAUAAAAAUAAUAUAAAUUUAAACCGGUAUUUUAUUCCUGACUCUGGCGUCAGUGAAUAAACCAAUAAAUUUACAUUAUUCUUAUCCAUACAUGCAUAUUUUUUUAUUUUUUAUUUUUCUGCCUUUUAUUUUUUUAUUUUUUUUAUUAUAUAUUUUUUUAACUGGGCGGGGCCCGGCCCGGCCCAGAAAAAAAAAAAUUGGGGGCUGGGCCCAGCGCAGCCCACAUGGACUGGGCUGGACCCAGCCAGCCCAGCCCGGUCACUGGCCCAAGCCAGUGACCCGGCUGGGUAAAAACUAAAGGCACGCGUGACUUAUUCACGCGUGCCCGAACACUGGUGAAGGUAAUUAAAUUACCUUCACACAGUGUUCUUGCAGCACAUAAUUAUCUUUUGAAAUGAAAAUGCAGAGGAGACGGGGUCAUACCUGCUUCUGGAGACCGAAGAUGCUGCUUCUGGAGACCGAAGAUGUUGCUUCUGGAGACUGAGAUGCUUGCAGCGCUGCUUGAUGAUUUUCGCCUAAUGUUCCUCUGGUUUUCCUUCUGUGAAUACUUAUCUAUGCUUUCCUUCUUGAUUUCUCUGUAACUUCUAAAGCUACAAAGAAGAUUCCGGCUUGUUGUGAGUGUUCUUUGGCUGAAUCCGGGUUUUUUUGUUUGCAGGUUCGGAGACAAUUUCAAGGAUAAUUCUCCUUACCGUGUCCUGCCUUCUUGUCCUCUCCUUCUCUGUGUAUUUGGAUUUGUGCUCUGUUUUCUCUGCCUUUUUCUUUUAACUCUGUUUUUCUGGGUUGAUUUUUUCGGUUCUCUCCCUCCUUUUCUUACUGUGUAUAAUUUCUCUGGUUUUCUUGCUUUUUUUCUUGCUCUCCCUCCUUUUUUUUUCUUUAGGUGUUCUUCUCCCUUUUAUAAACCCAGCCGAUUGCCCCCCAUCAGUCCUGCCUUUGCAGGACUGUUAUCUUCCACGAACGAGAUCGUGGGCGAGAGACGUGGUCCUCGAUUGGAUUGAAUCCGUUGCAGAUUUUCCAGCCUGUUGAAUCGGGAUGGAGAAGACGAACACGACUGUUCUACCCGCAGCGGCGACGUUUCGGCAGCAAUGGAUUUCACCAGCAACGACGCCGUUUCAAGCAGCAAAUGGACAUUUUUAUUUUGAUCCCUGAACUGUUGGAAAUUCGGCAAUUGGACCUUAAAAAAAAUUCCACUUAAUUUUGUCCCUUUGGAUUAAUUUCAAUUAAAUCCUUAAAUUAUAACACUGUUUACAAAACAGUCCUUAAUUCCUGGAUUGUUCAAUUUAGCCCUUAAUUAAAUCUUUAACCUUUCAAAAUUGAUCAAUUAACUCUCAAAUUACAUCCUCAAACUUCAAAUUUUGUUGUUUUAACCCCAUUGGCAACUAUAUUUAAUUUUUUUAUUAUUUGUUCAAAAAUUGGUUAUGACAGUUGCUCCCUCUUUAUAAUAUUUACAAUACAAAGAUAUUGAAAAAUUUCAUUUUUCCUUAGCUUUGUGUAGUAAAUUUAUAAAGAAAAGUAGAUAAAAAAAAAAUCUUGAAAACAGUAGAUUGACAUAUGACUUUUUACGGAGAGAAUAAGUUAUUUGGAAGAUGACUUUUUUUUUUUUUUUUGAAACUGAUCAAAUUAUUUUGGGUAACCUACCUAAUGAUAAAAGAAACGCGAAGAAUUUCGCGAGUGGUCUAAUUGUUCCAGGCGACCUACCCAAUGAUUGAAAAAUACGAGGAUUUUUUUUUUUGUGAUGGUAUAUUGUAAUGGGUUACCGGCCCAGAAUAAAGUGGUUUAUUGUAAAGGGUUACCGGCCCAAAUGGUCACAUUGUAAUGGGUUACCUGCCCAGUGUAGGAUGGUAAAUUGUAAUGGGUUACCAGCCCAGUCUAGGAUGGUAAAUUGUAAUGGGUUACCAGCCCAGUUGGUCACAUUGUAAUGGGUUACCUGCCCAGUUGGUCACAUUGUAAUGGGUUACCAGCCCAGUUGGUCACAUUGUAAUGGGUUACCUGCCCAGUGGAUAAAUACGUGGAUUUUUUUUUAAUAAGAUAUGAUAGGGCUCGAAGACGCACUCCAAAGGAGGUAGGAUAGGAAAUGCACUACCUUUGAUGUUCGAGGGCUCGAAGGCGCCCUCGAAAUGGAGAUAAAACGAGGGCUCGAAGACGCGCUCGAAUGGAGAUAAGAUGAGGGCUCGAAGGCACGCUCGAAUGGAGACAAGACGAGGGCUCAACGGCACGCUCGAAAAAGAACUCAAAAGGAGGUAGGAUAGGAAAUGCACUACCUCAGGAGUGGAAACUGAAAUGUGGUGGAAAAAUAUAGAGAGAGAUUUUUUUAGGUGGCCUAAUUCUCAUGGGCGGCCUGCCUAGGUUGAAAAAUUCUCAAAAGCGAAAAUUUUUCAAAAGCAAUUUCAAUGUUGGCCAUCCACUUGAUGGAUUCCGUUAGAAUUUUCUCUAAUAAAAUUUGCAGCACUCAUUGUCCAAUGUUUCAAAGUUUAAAUGAUAUGCAUGCAUCUUUACCUGACUUGAAAUAUAGGCCCCCCAUUUCUUCUUAAUCUUCUCAUUGUAUGGUUGAUGAGAUCUUGCUAUCUGAUUUGAGUCAUCUUUGUCGUUUGGAUUUCUAGCGCACUCGAGUUAGCCCAUAUAAGACUUUUUCCAGAUUUGUUUGCACAACUCAGCCUUUGUGGUGCCCAUCGUGACCCACAUGCUUGAUGGACUCGUCAAAUAAUUUGAGAGGAUCAUUCAUUACCCCUUGACUCACUGCUAAAAACAUUCGGUGUCACUAGCUGAAAGGAUCAAGCUGUCUUUCAUAAACCAAAAUGCCCCCUUGUCUUGUUGAAGGAAAUUACCAUCUCUUUUUUUUUUAGAAUUUUCCUUCUGAACACAAUAUCCCCUUGUAUUGGUCAUUCCCCCUAAGUGUGCUCUGUCAGCGACUUUAGACAAAUAAUGGUUUUAAGAGACCCUUUUCUCAUUUCUAUCCUUUUUCAGUUUGGUGAAGAAGUAUGGGUCUAGAAUAAAUCUUGAAAUCUUGAUCUUGCAUUUUUGAAAACAAAAAUUAUUUCAAUAUGAGUCUAAAACAAUUUACUUUCAAAAUCUUGCAACUCCUUGGUUAUUUUCUUUCUUGGAAAAGAGAUUAUUUGCUCUUGUGUUUGGCAAUGAGAUCUUCGGUGAAAAAUACGUUAUGAGAUGACCUUUUGUGUCAAAGUGAAGGGCUCGAGAGAAAGCUCGAGAUUUUGUAUGAGAAAAACAUCUCUUUUUAACUUUUAUUUUUAUCAGCAUGAAUAAUAAUGGGUAGUUUAUUCUUGAUGCCAUGAAUUUCAUGAAAAACUAUUCUUUGGAUUUUGAGAGCAUUGUUUAUUGUUCCAGGUUGCUUGCUUGCUUGAUUAGAAAGGACUUCUACAAGCACGUAAUGUAGGCUGUGGUUUUUGGCUAUGAAAGAAAAGGACUCGUAGGGCUCAAAGAGUGUUUCAGGGUUUCAAAGACUGAAGAUCACUAUUAAUAGUUUGACUCUUGACGUCAUUCAUAUUUUCUUUUGCCGCUCUUCUUUGAUUUGCCCUUUUUUCUUCUUUCUUUUUCAUUGCUUUGCUAGAGCCUACUCAUUUUAUCUUGGUUAUCACUUUUUCUUGUGAUUUGGGCAUGCCCCCUAGCACUUGAGUUUCUUGGGCUCUUUUGCCUUUUGGCUUUCUCACGGCUUUAUCAUUUUUCUUGAUCAUUGAAAUUUCACUUGCCCCCAGUGUGGGGUGUGAUCUUAGUCAGGAUUUUUAAUGAAAGAAAAAUUAUUCAGGCUCAAAAAGGGAUCGCAAGGGAUGUACUUAUUUUAGAACGUGAAAGGAAUAACAAAGAUGGCCUUUCCUCAUUUCAAACGUAAGCAACUAUGAUCAAUAAACUUUGACCUCAUCCAGUGUGAUGGUUUAGUCUUUACGAGGAUGCAUUUCAUGAGUUAUGAGCAACAAGUUCACUACAUACCAUUAUUCAUACAUUUAAAAACACAUGAUUCAAGAGUUAUGGGAUAAGGGUAUUUAUUCAUUUUUUUUUUGUUUUUAGAGUUUGGUCACCUCUAUGUAGGAGUUGCUUGAUUCAUUUGUCAUUCUACACGUAGAAUGUCAAAAAUCAUUUUUGAAUAAACAUCAAAUUACUUUUGAAAUCAAAAUACCAGAUCAAUUUUUCAAAACUCAAAUAAGAAAACUGAUUUUGGUAAAAGUAAUGAAUUCAAUCUAUGAGAUCAUGCAAGGCUUCAAGAGUGUAUUUACUGAUUCUUUAAUAUCAAUAACAUUUAUGAGAGAGAAAAGAUAUGCAAAGUGAAUUUCUUGGCAAAACUUUUAUUGAUUUGAUGAGAACUUAUACAAUCAUGGAUAAUAUUUCUUCACAGAAUUGGAAUUCACUGGCCUACUCAAAUCUUCUCCAUCCAUUCCUGUCAGUAUCAACGCCCCUCCAGAGAAUGCCUUCUUUACUACAUAUGGACCUUCAUAAUUAGGUGCCCACUUGCUAUGAUUCUCACUAGGUAGUAAUAGGAUUUUUCUCAAUACAAGAUCUCCUUCUUUAAACUCUCUUGGUCGAACUUUUCUCUCAUAGGCUCUUGCUAUCCUGUUUUGAUACAGUUGGUGGUGACAAAUUGCAGCUAAUCUCUUCUUACUGAUCAUAUUUAGCUGUUCGUAUCGUAUCUCAGCCCAUUUAGCCUCUUCUAGCUCAGAUUCCAUGAGAACCCUUAGAGAAGGAAUCUCUACUUCUAAAGGCAUCACUGCCUCCAUUCCGUAAACUAACGAAUAAGGUGUAGCCCCCGUUGACGUCCUUAUUGCUGUUCGAUAUGCAUGUAGAGCAUAAGGAAGCCAUUCCUGCCAAUCUUUAUAUAUGACCACCAUUUUCUGGACAAUCUUCUUUAUGUUCUUGUUAGCAGCUUCAACAGCACCAUUCAUCUUUGGUCUGUAAGGGGAUGAAUUAGAAUGCUUGAUUUUCCAUUUAGUGCAUAAUUCCAUGAUCAUUUUCCCAUUGAAGUUCUUGGCAUUAUCGGUUACUAUCCUUUCUGGCAAACCAUACCUACAAAUUAGAUCUCUCUCAAUGAAUCGCUUGACCACCUUCUGAGUCACAUGAGCAUAUGAGCAGGCCUCUACCCACUUUGUAAAAUAAUCAAUUGCGACCAAGAUAAACCGAUGACCAUUGCUGGCUUUUGGAUUAAUAGGCCCAAUCACAUCAAUUCCCCACAUCGCGAAUGGCCAAGGUGACACCAUAUUGAAUAAGGGCACUGGGGGUGCAUUGAUUUUGUCACUAUACACCUGACAUUUAUGACAUUUUCGAACAAAUUCUAUACAAUCUUUUUCCAUGGUCAACCAAAAAUACCCAGCUCUUUGCAUCUGUCUUGCCAUCAUGUGCCCAUUUGCAUGGGUGGUGCAAAUUCCUCCAUGCACUUCAUACAAUGCUUUAUUGGCUUCUGAUCUGUCUAGACAUCUUAAUAAAGUCCCAUCAAAUGACCUUUUGUAUAAGAUUUCUCCAUCUAUAAAGUAUUCCAUUGCCAUUCUUCUUAGAGUCUUCUUAUCUGUCUUUGAAGCUUCAGAAGGAUAUUCCCGAUAUUGGAUGAAUCUUUUUAUAUCUGCAUACCAAGGAUUGCCAUCCACUUCUUCUUCUAUUAAACAACAAUGAGCAGGAGAACUUCUAAUAUCAAUGCUUAUAGGAUGUACUCUGAUACCACAAUCGAUCGUAGCCAUAGAGGCCAAGGUUGCUAAAGCAUCCGCAAACUGAUUCUUAUCCCUUCCUAAAUGAUUGAACUCUAUCUUUUCAAAGUUUUCAGCCAAUUUGGAGAGAUAUUCCUGAUAUGGUUUCAAUUUCUCAUCUUUUGUCUGCCAUUCCCCCUUUGUCUGACAGAUUAUUAACAUAGAGUCUCCAUAUACCUCUAAUUUCCCUAUCUUCAGUUCCAAUGCAGCUUCUAAUCCAUGAAUGCAAGCCUCAUAUUCAGCUGUGUUAUUCGUGCAACUAAACUGCAGUUUGAUGGAGAUGGGAUAUUGUUUUCCUUCUGGAGAAAUUAUUACAGCACCAGCUCCAUUACCAGACACAUUCACCGCACCAUCAAAGUACAUAGUCCACCAAUCUCUUUCUAUUACCAACACAUCUUCAUCAGGGAAGUCAAAAUUUAAUGGCUCAUAGUCCUCAAUGGCGUUAUCAGCUAAAUGAUUCGCAAUUGCACUUCCUUUCAUAGAUUUUCUUGUUUUGUAGAUGAUAUCAUAUUCAGCCAACAACACUUGCCAUCUGGCCAGCCUAUUUGACAUAUAUGGCUUUUCAAAAAUAUAUUUCAGAGGAUCUACCUUUGAAAUUAACCAAGUGGUAUAGUAUAACAUAUAUUGUCGGAGUCUUUUCGCACUCCAUACCAAGCCACAACACAGCUUCUCAAUCAUACUGUAACGAGAUUCACAUUCAGUGAAUUUCUUACUAAGGUAGUAGAUGGCUUGCUCCUUUCUCCCGGACUCAUCAUGUUGGCCAAGCACACAGCCCAUUGCUGAUUCAGUCACUGUUAAGUACAAAAUGAGAGGCUUCCCAGGCACAGGUGGUACCAAUAGCGGUGGUUUCUGCAGAUAUUGUUUGAUCUUAUCAAAGGCUUCUUGACAAUCUUCAUCCCAUACUCCGGGGUUUUUCUUUCGAAGUAAUCGAAAGAUUGGUUCACAAGUGACUGUAAGUUGUGAAAUGAAUCGAGCAAUGUAAUUUAAACGCCCCAAAAAGCUUCGAACUUCUUUCUCAGUCUUAGGAGCUGACAUGGCUUGUAUGGCCUUCACUUUAUCAGGGUCUACCUCUAUACCAUUACUGCUUACCACAAAUCCCAAUAACUUCCCAGACUUCACUCCAAAUGUGCAUUUUGCAGGGUUCAACUUUAAUUGAUACUUUCUCAACCUUUCAAAUAAUUUCUUUAGAGCUGGGAUAUGAUUUUCCUCAUCUUUAGACUUAGCAAUCAUAUCAUCCACAUAGACCUCAAUUUCUUUAUGCAUCAUGUCAUGAAAUAGUGUCACCAUUGCUCUUUGAUAAGUUGCUCCAGCAUUUUUUAAUCCGAAUGGCAUAACUCUAUAACAAUAUGUUCCCCACGGAGUAACAAAUGUUGUCUUCUUCUUGUCUUGCUCGGCCAUUUUGAUUUGAUUAUACCCAGAGAAACCAUCCAUAAAAGAGUAAGUAGAACUCUUAGCAGCAUUAUCCACAAGUACAUCUAUGUGGGGUAACGGAAAAUCAUCCUUCGGGCUUGCCCUAUUCAAAUCUCGAAAAUCCACGCAUACCCUGAUUUUGUUGUCUUUCUUGGGUACUACUACAAUAUUGGACACCCAUUGAGAAUAAUCAACAACUUCUAAGAAUCCAGCAUCCCACUGUUUCGUUAUCUCUUCUUUUACUUUGAUUAGCAUAUCAGGCCUCGUCCUCCUCAACUUUUGCUUAAUCGGUUUACAACCCUCUAUCAAAGGUAGUUUAUGUACCACAAUAUCAGUAUCCAGACCAGGCAUAUCGGCAUAUGACCAGGCAAAAACAUCAACAUAUUCUUGUAAAAGAAUGACCAACUCGCUUCUCACACCAGCAGAUAUUAGCUUCCCUAUUUUCAACUCUCUUUUAUUAUGUUUGGUGCCCACAUUUAUCAGUUCUAGUUCUUCUUUAGCAGGCUUCCAUGUGUGAUCAGAUUGUUCCACUAACCUUGCGAACUCAUCGAUGUCUUCCUCACCCAACUCUUCCUCAUCCAUUGCAAUUAUAGUUUCAUCAAAGUUAGGCCAAUUAUCCACAGUGCAUUGAGUUUGUGAGCACAAUCCGCUUUCAGAUCUCCUGAAAGCGGAAAGUGUUUCGGUUAUGAGUGUAUAAUUCUGGGAAAGCAAAUAAAUAAACAAAUAACAAGAAAACAUGUUUGAAAGAAAAUAUGCAUGAUCUCAUUGAAUUUUAAAGGAUAGACGGGCUCAACAACAAAACCUUAUUGCCAAUCUCUUGAGCCACAAUGGUUUUGGCAAGGCACAAUUGUUCAAACAAUACAAUAAAAACAAAGAACAAACAAACAUUACUUUUUAAAAACAACUGGGACUUCAUGAAUUUCCCAAUUUUCCAACUCUUCUCCCUCAGCCAGCUUCCUCACGAAUUCGGAUGAGCCAUCUUCCAAAACACCAAUAGUUAGUUGUGGUAGCUGUUCGUAAGGACUCUCUUCUUCCUUUACAUCUUGCUCACUAACAUUUUCAAGAUAAUUGAUAGUAGCACCACUGAAUUCUUUUCUUAGCCCCUCCUCAUAAUCCUCAGCUUUUAUCACAUACGCGGCUCUUGGAAAUGUUACAUAGAUAGGUGGGAUUUCCAUUCGAUCUUCAUCUGGCUCUCUUCUUUCAAUCCGGGCUACUCUCUUUUCCCUUCUAUUUUCAGCUGCUCUUUUAAAAUCUGCUUUGCCAGGCUUAAACCCUAAGCCAAACCUCUGAUCGGCGCAUUUUAUUUUUACCGCAUUAACCCUCUCAGGCAUUCCAGUAGUUAGGUCAUAUUGAAAUGGUAAUCCAUGCUUCAAGAAGUAUUUAGCAGCCAUUUUUGCUGCUUCAGAAAUUUCUGGCUUUCUUCGUAUCAUAUUUUCAGGUACCCAUUCAGCAUUUACAACUUCAAAUGCAUGCAGAUUUCCAUCCUUACUUUCUUCAGCUUCUAUAUAAGGGAUCGAUACAUUUCUCAUCAUUGACAAAGUUUCUUCAGCUCUCACAGUCACCAAAUUCCCAUUGAUGAUGAACUUGACCCGUUGAUGUAAAGAAGAUGCGACAGCUCGAGCUGCAUGGAUCUAAGGUCUCCCUAGCAAAAUGUUGUAUGAUGGAUGAAUAUCCAUUACUUGUAAUGUGACUUGGAAUGGUUGGGGGCCAAUGACUAGUUCAACAUCAAUACUUCCAAUGAUUGGUCUAGGUGACCCAUCGUAUGCCCUUGCAGUCAUAGUACUUGGCUUCAUGUGAGAGGCAUCAACUGGCAUUUUAUCAAGUACAUGUCUCGGCAAUACAUUGAGAGCGGAACCAUUAUCCAUAAGCACCUUAGCAAUCACACAAUCCUUGCAUUUUACCGUGAUAUGCAAUGGUUUAUUAUGACCGGUCCCUUCAUGAUCCAACUCAUCAUCGGUAAAAUAGAGGUAGUUGGUGGCUUGAAUCCUACCCACCAAAUGUUCUAUGGAGUCUUGUGUGAUAUCCUGAGGAAUAUAUGCUUCAUUAAGAACCUUCUGAAGUGCGUUCCUAUGCAAUUCUGAACUCAAUAUUAAUGACAACAAAGAAAUCCUAGCGGGUGUUUUCUUUAGUUGAUCAACCACACUAUAUUCGCUGUGCUUCAUCAAUUUCAGGAAUUCAUUAGCCUCUUCAUCACUUACUGGCUUGUUAACCUCAUUUGACUUUGUCAAAUCCACCAUAUCCUUUCCUUUGGCUUUUCUUUGGUUUUCCAACUCUUCAGGAGUAAAACAUCUCCCACUCCGAGUGAGUCCUCCUAUUUCCGCAUGGAAAACGGGGGCAGGAUUUGUGCUGUGAAAGGAACAACCAUAAUUAUAGGGUUGGGCAUUAUAGCUUCCGCUAACAGUAUUCAUAGGCUUGGCUAGUAUCAUUUUUGGUGGACCCUUUUCGGUUGGUAUAUAUCUACAAACUUCCACUUUUUGGUUACAACCAGUCAUUGUUCCUACUAACUCAUCUUCUUUGGGUUUCAUCAAUCUUAACAUUCCCAACGUCAUCAUAUUUUCUACCUCCAAAUGAAACUCCUCGCACGAGUCAAUAUCAUGCCCAAGCUGCUGAUGAUAUUUACAAUAUUCAUUUGCAUUCCUUACAGCUUGUGUUUUGACUGGUGUCUUUAGAUAAUUUGUUUGCCUCAACAUCCCAUACAAUCUAUCCAUAGUCACCCUUAAAGUUGUUGUACUUCUCCUUCCUAUCUCCAAGUUAUUAACUCCCCCACUUCCCGAAGCAUGAUUUGGUAGAGGAUUAGAUUUCACAUUUGGAGAUUCAUCAAAAGAAAUCCACCCAGCUUUGAUGAGCUGAAGGAUUUUUCUUUUGAAUGCAACACAUCCAUCAAUAUGAUGACCAACAGCGCCAGGAUGGUAUUCACAUUUUUUAUCGGGUUUAUACCAAAAAGGAAAUGGUGGUUGUAAAGGUUCUAAGGGAACAGGUGCUACCUGGCCAAUACUAAGCAAUCUUUGGUGCAUUUCAGUAAGAGACAUGGGUAAUGGCGGAAGUUGCACUUGCUCUAUUGGAAAACUUCUUCUUGGGCGGUAAGUAGCAUUGGUUUGGUUGUUUAUUGGGUUAUUUUGGGUGUUUGUAGGUGAUGAGAAUUUUAUAUUGGAUAUAGAAGGGGUAGGUGUAAUACUUUUGAAACUGUAAUUAUCUUGGUAGGUGUUCUUCCCUCUACUUUCCCUUUCAACAUUGUGAACUUCCGUUUCUUUCCUUUUUCCAGUAAAACCUCUUUUUUCAGUAGGAUCCACGAUCCUACCUGUCCGAACAGCUUGUUCGAUCCUUUCAGCUAUGACAACCAAAUCAGAGAAAUUUUUUGCAGCACUACCUACCAAGUAUUCAAAGUACGGGGCUUUGAAAGUGUUGGAAAAUAAACCAGUCAUCUCCCUUUCUGACAAUGGAGGAUUUACUUGCGCGGCUGAUUCACGCCACCUUUGGGCAUAUUCUCUUACAGACUCCCUAUUCCCUUUUUCCAUGGCUUGCAGACUUGACCUUUCAGGGGCAAUAUCCAUGUUGAACUUAUAUUGUCUAAUAAAAGCUUCAACCAAAUCCUUCCAUCCUUUAAUCUUGGUAUUAUCUAAGCGCAUAUACCAAGCAAGAGCCGCAUCACUUAAACUGUCUUGAAAGAAAUGGAUCAAUAGCUUCUCAUCAUGGACUACCUCAGCCAUCUUAUUACAAUAUGCUUUAAGAUGGGUGAUCGGGCAUUGAGUUCCAGUAUAUUUAACAAAAUCUGGUACACGGAAUUUUCUGGGAAUAACCACAUUAGGCACCAAACACAUUUCAGCAGCUUUCACCGGAUCAUACAAACUAUUCCCUUCCAUUGCCUUCAUUCUUUCUUCUAAAGCAGCUAGCUUUUCAUGACCAUUUUCCUCCACUAUCUUAUUCCUUUGAGGUUCUUCUUCUGUCAAAACUGCAAUGGGGACCCUCGUUGGAUAUGCUGAUUGGGCAGGUAAGAAAUGAGCAGCAUGCUAAGGUUCAAAUGGCGGAAUAAAAGGAGGCGGAGGCUGAGGUGUAAAUGUUUGUUGAGAAGAUGUUCCUUCUCCAGCUCUAGGCCUCAAAGCCUGUUCAAGCAAGCUGGUAAGCCUUGCUACAUCCUCCUUCAGGCUUUCCAACUCUUUUUGGUGUUGAAUUUCUAACUGAGUUCUCUCUUCAUUUUCCAUUUUCUUCCGUAAACGAGUAUUAUGGAUACGUUUCAGUUGGGGACCUAUAUUUCACCUGUUAUAUGUAGAAUAUGACAAUUUAUAAAACAAAUGUAUGAAAUGCAUGAAUAUGAAUGCAACAUAUUGGAUAUGGAUUUGCUUUUCAUUGGUGACAUAUGGUCGUCAUUCUUUGGAUAUGAGGUUUGAGCUUGAACUUGAUAUCAUCGUUGUGAUGCCGAGAAGAGAUCUGUUUAGCUUUUUGACAUUUCAGCUUCCAGCCAUAUACGCAUAUUUUUGAAUUGAAAAGGUGGGUCUCAGCCCUUUAUUACUUAUUCAGAAGCUUACAAUGAAAAAUUGAUCUAAUCUAUUACAGGAGAAAAAACACUGCCUCUAUUAGCUAUUGCUUUUAAGAAAAGAUCGGUGUUAUCCAAGCUUCUUCGAUACUUUAUUAUAUCACCUCCCACUUGGCGAGCUUCCACUCGUAAUAAAUGGGCUUCUGCAGCUGCUUGACCAACUUGAUCUUGUAGUUCCCUUAUCCUCUCAGUAUGUAUCAAGUUGUUUCUAGACAGAAAGUUAUUGGUGGCAUCCAAUGUUUGAUUAUGUUGUUCUAUCAUUUUCUGGCUUUCCAUAAGCUGUGCAGUCUUUGAUUUUUCUUUGUCCAGCUUAAAUCUCAAUGCUUCCACCUCAGUAUUGUGAUUGUUCCACUCUGCUUUUUGCUCUUCAUGAAUUUUAGUUAAAGCCUCAGCUUUUCCCAAUUGGCCUUUAAACUUAACAAUGUCCGCCCGACGCAUUUUCAAUGUAGCUUGUGUCUUGAUGGCUAAUUCUUCCCAAUGCUUAGCUUUGUCCAUAUAAUACAUCAUAUCCUGAUUAAUUAUUUUUUGUGUUUCCAAGUCAGCCUUUGCCUUUAUCAAGUCUUGACCUACAGAGUCCCUUUCUUCUUCAGCUACUUUCCUUACACCCUUUUCUUUGGCUAGUUGCCGCUCUAAGGACACUCUUUGUUCUUCCUUUGCUUUAAGCUCAGCUUGUAACGAUUUUACUUGUUUUCUUAAUUCUUCUUCACAAUUCACUCUUUUCCUUCGAAGGCCCACAGAUUCAGAAACUUCUGCCGUAUAAGAGACUCCUCUAUUACGCCAUUCAGGAUACUUUUCACUAACUGUAGGAUUCCUUACACCGAUCUCUUUUUUAACUAGCACCAAAGAUCCCCAAUCAUGUUUAAUGCUCUCCAGCAUCUCAUUAUAUGCACCCUUAUAGACUCCGGUGAAUUGAGCUAAGCCAACUGUUCUUGGAAUGCUUUGUAUGCCCCCAAGCUGUCUUGCAACCAAAGCAGACGCAUAACUAAUAUAUCCAGUCACUCCAAUCAAAGGUACCCAAGGCCUCUUCCCACAACCCAUUAGGCAUGUUACAUUUUUCAUCCAAGGAGCUCUCCAAUUAAAAUUGCUUUGUGGAAUUCCUUGCAAUUUUACCCUCCAAUCAUCUUCAGAAAAGUUUUCCCAUUCACUUGAUACAAAUAACUCGAGUGGCUUUUGGUCAAACCACCAAAAAUUUCGGAAUAUUAGUGUUUCAGAUUCUAUAUGGCUUACCAUCCAAAUGAAUAACAAUGGAACACAACAUCUCAUAGAACCUUUCCCAAUCCUUUUGCAAUGAUUGAGAGACAAAAAAGUUUCAGCCAAGAUAGCAGCAGAAGGAUUAAUUUUAGUCUUCUCAUACUCAACAAACAGAUUAGCUGCCUCUAAACUGAUAAUUCCAGCAGUCGAAGGACACAAAAUCAGCCCAAAUAUUCCCAAAGCCAAUAUUCGGUAUACCUCCAAAUUAGCACCAGGAUUAGAUGUUUUAGCAAUCAACAGCUCUUCUAGCCGUUUCCAUCUCAAACCCCCAGAAUUGUUUUUUUCUCUAUAUAAGCUCAUUUGAUGGAUUCCCAGUAGCUUAGCAAGCUCCUAUACAGUAUUCUCAAUCUUUUGAUGAAAAUAAACCUUAUGGAUAUCCUCAGGGAAUUCUGUCAAAACACCGUAUUCUUCAAUGGUAGGAACCAUAUCGACAUUCCCAAAUGUAAAACAUCGAUAAUCAGGAUCCCAAAAAUGAAUUAGGGCUUUUAUGGCUAAUGGCAGUACUGGAACAUUCAGAAGAUGCAAAACUCUCCCAUAUAUCUUAGUAAAUUCUGUCUCAUCAGCCAAGUAUUUGGUGAAUGGAAGCAAACGACUGGCAUCAUUUAUUACGCAUCUCACAUCCUUUAGCAGCGGUAUCCCACUGUCAUCCAGUCUAGGGCAGUCUCCCUCAGUCAUAUGCAAUGAUUCAGAUUCGAGCCCAUACUCAACAGUUGUGAUUUAACGAUUAACGACCAUUAUGUCACCCAAAAACAAUCCUGUAAUGAAGAUGCUAUACGUUAAGCUUGCCUUAGUGAAAUUUACAUAGGGAACAACCUAAAUGGUAGGUUCUAGUCAUUUAAAUGCUUGAGGUAGGUUGCUAUCUAGUCUUGAAAGGUCUUUCGCAUGCUCAGUGAUCUUCCUCGAAAGGUUGAUGUGAGGUUUACAAGUAGCGUGAAAAUAGAGGCCCUGAAUGAUAUCAGUUAGGCAUAUCAACCACUAUCGAGUAAACAAUCAAGCGAAAGUUGGAUGGUUUCACGAGUCUUACCCAGGCUAAAGCCAUUGGGGUACCGCUACUCUCCCACUUAACUUAAAGUUGAUAUAACAGAUGUUUAUUAUGAAAUGCGUGGUGUGUGAAGGCCUAAAUCUAUAUCCAAUAUAUGUAUGAUGACAUAAACAAAUAUGGAUGCUAAAACUAUAAAAAUAAAUAAAAUAAAAUAAACCAAAUAAAAUAAAAACCAAAUAACACAACAAGCAUUUGUAGCAAUUAAAAAAAAUCAAAGGCAAAGCUUAGUCCAUUAGUCCCCAGUGGAGUCGCCAUUCUGUCACACCCGACAUCGCGGCGACCUUAAAAAUUUAAUUCUUUGGAAAAGAACAGAUUUCUGGCAUCCUAUUCUUUAAUGGGGAUAUUCUUUGUUUAAGGAGUCGCCACCUAGUAUUAUGGUCACUAGGAACCCUAACUGGUCAACAGAGAGUCUACGGUUCGGGAUUGGUUACGUAAAAGGGAAGAUAUUAUCACCCCUUAAACGUCCUGCCUGAGGCAGGCUGCACUGCUAGUUUUAUCUUUAAUUGCUAAAUGUUUAUUAGUUUACGAUAUGAUAAUUUACUUAUAAUAUUCCCGACUCUGGCGUCAGUGAAUAUUAAACUACGGAUACUUCCAACUCUGGCGUUGGUCAAUAUCACGUAGCUAUAAAAUAAAUUAGAUUAAUAUUUUUUAUUUUCCCGGCUCUAGCGCCAGUGAAUAAAUAAACAAAAUAAAAUUUGAUUUUUUUACGCAUGCAUAUUUUUUUAUUUUUUUUUAGCUAAAUAAAAUAAAGUACAACAAAUAAAAAUAAUAUAAAUUUAAACCGGUAUUUUUAUUCCUGACUCUGGCGUCAGUGAAUAAACCAAUAAAUUUACAUUAUUUUUAUUCAUCUAAAUAAAUUUAAUUUUUUACGCAUGCACAUUUUUUAUUUUUUAGCUAAAUAAAAUAAAGUACAACAAAUAAAAAUAAUAUAAAUUUAAACCGGUGUUUUUUAUUCCUGACUCUGGCGCCAGUGAAUAAACCAAUAAAUUUACGUUAUUUUUAUUCAUCUAAAUAAAUUUAAUUUUUUACGCAUGCACAUUUUUUAUUUUUUAGCUAAAUAAAAUAAAGUACAACAAAUAAAGAUAAUAUAAGUUUAAACCGGUAUUUUUAUUCCUGACUCUGGCGCCAGUGAAUAAACCAAUAAAUUUACAUUAUUUUUAUUCAUCUAAAGAAAAUAAAAUACAAUGAAUAAAAAUAAUAUAAAUUUAAACCGGUAUUUUAUUCCUGACUCUGGCGUCAGUGAAUAAACCAAUAAAUUUACAUUAUUUUUAUCCAUACAUGCAUAUUUUUUUAUUUUUUAUUUUUUAUUUUUCUGCCUUUUAUUUUUUUAUUUUUUUUAUUAUAUAUAUUUUUUAACUGGGCUGGGCCCGGCCCGGCCCAGCAAAAAAAGAAAAAAAUUGGGGGCUGGGCCCAGCGCAGCCCACAUGGACUGGGCUGGACCCAGCCAGCCCAGCCCGGUCACUGGCCCAAGCCAGUGACCCGGCUGGGUAAAAACUAAAGGCACGCGUGACUUAUUCACGCGUGCCCGAACACUGGUGAAGGUAAUUAAAUUACCUUCACACAGUGUUCUUGCAGCACAUAAUUAUCUUUUGAAAUGAAAAUGCAGAGGAGACGGGGUCAUACCUGCUUCUGGAGACCGAAGAUGCUGCUUCUGGAGACCGAAGAUGUUGCUUCUGGAGACUGAGAUGCUUGCAGCGCUGCUUGAUGAUUUUCGCCUAAUGUUCCUCUGGUUUUCCUUCUGUGAAUACUUAUCUAUGCUUUCCUUCUUGAUUUCUCUGUAACUUCUAAAGCUACAAAGAAGAUUCCGGCUUGUUGUGAGUGUUCUUUGGCUGAAUCCGGGUUUUUUUGUUUGCAGGUUCGGAGACAAUUUCAAGGAUAAUUCUCCUUACCGUGUCCUGCCUUCUUGUCCUCUCCUUCUCUGUGUAUUUGGAUUUGUUCUCUGUUUUCUCUGCCUUUUUCUUUUAACUCUGUUUUUCUGGGUUGAUUUUUUCGGUUCUCUCCCUCCUUUUCUUACUGUGUAUAAUUUCUCUGGUUUUCUUGCUCUCCCUCCUUUUUUUUUCUUUAGGUGUUCUUCUCCCUUUUAUAAACCCAGCCGAUUGCCCCCCAUCAGUCCUGCCUUUGCAGGACUGUUAUCUUCCACGAACGAGAUCGUGGGCGAGAGACGUGGUCCUCGAUUGGAUUGAAUCCGUUGCAGAUUUUCCAGCCUGUUGAAUCGGGAUGGAGAAGACGAACACGACUGUUCUACCCGCAGCGGCGACGUUUCGGCAGCAAUGGAUUUCACCAGCAACGACGCCGUUUCAAGCAACAAAUGGACAUUUUUAUUUUGAUCCCUGAACUGUUGGAAAUUCGGCAAUUGGACCUUAAAAAAAAUUCCACUUAAUUUUGUCCCUUUGGAUUAAUUUCAAUUAAAUCCUUAAAUUAUAACACUGUUUACAAAACAGUCCUUAAUUCCUGGAUUGUUCAAUUUAGCCCUUAAUUAAAUCUUUAACCUUUCAAAAUUGAUCAAUUAACUCUCAAAUUACAUCCUCAAACUUUAAAUUUUGUUGUUUUAACCCCAUUGGCAACUAUAUUUAAUUUUUUUAUUAUUUGUUCAAAAAUUGGUUAUGACAAUGAUAGUAACAAGAAAAUAAAAAUUAAUUUGAAUAAAUGGUAGGAGUUUCUAUUCUGAUAUAUCCAGGGAAGAAGUUCGAAGAAUAGAAUGAAGAUAAAAAAAGAAAAAAUUUGUGUUACAUUUUUAUCUUUUAUAAUUAUAAUUAUUGCAUUGCUAAUAAUUUGCACGAAAAAAUAUUCUUUCUCUGAAAAGGGCUUGAGAGAACCCUAAGCAUAUAUAGGAAUCUCUUAUAGGAAUCUCUUUAUUAAAUCAUCAAAAUAUGAAAGUCUAUUUCCAAAUACUAUUACUACAGUUUAUAUAUAUAUAUAUAUAUAUAUAUAUAUAUAUAGAAACAACUAAAUAGAAAAAUUAUUAUUAUUUAAAUAAAAAACUAGAAAAGCCUGAUAAUAUUAUUGAAUGAAAAAUAAAAUAGAAAUUUAAUAAAUUAAAAGUUAAAAAAUACUGUGUGACUGUUUUGUAUAAAUUCUAAAGUUAAGGAGUCUUUUAUGCUUGGUAAAAUACGUCACAAUAAAGUUAAUAAAUAAGAACACAAGAAAGGAUCAAAGUUAAUAAAUAAUAGCAUGCACGAAACUUCAUGAUAUCCAUGUUUUUCACGUUUUAUACUGCUUUAAUAGAUUGUUACAGCAAGAGAAACGGUACAAGACAGAACAAUAAAGGAGGGGCUGACGUUCAGUGAGGACAUCCUCCAGCUCAUCAGAUCCAGCUCAAGUUGUUGCAACCACCGCGAAAGGAACGCAUUGAUGUUAACGCGUGGACCCAGUCGCUGCAACCAGCACGAAAGUACCACUCCAAAUUCCAGCUCAUUUGUUAUAUAUAUAGUAAUAACAAAUGGUUAGAAUGCUUUAGUCCUUUUCGAGUGGAAAGUGGUGUGAAUGUGGGAAGUACUGUGAGAGCUUUAUGCCACUUUCUAUCUUUGAUGUGAUGGCUUUGGCAAGAAGAAACAAAUAAAAGUUAGUGUUCGCACUGCUUUAGCCCAAGAGUCUUUCAUCGUCGUUGCCUUGGAUUGAUUGAUUGAUUGACAGGAAGAAUUCUGAAUGUUUUUAGAAAAGUCUUCAUUGACAGGAAGAAUUGUGAACGGAAUGAGAUUUUAUUUUGUUUUGUUUUUUAAAUUAACAUGGAAUAUUUCAGUUAUUUCAGGUGAAACGAAACAAAAUUAACAACCUUGAUAAAAACUCUAAAUCACGAGUAAAAUCUGAAUGUUUUUUUAUAGAAAGAAGCAAUCUUCAUUGCUUUAAUAAAUUGUCACAAUAAUAGCACUAAGAGAAGAAUGGGUAGACCCUCGAGCCGGGCCAAAUUUUAAAAUUAUAGUUUAUAUAUAGAAACAACUAAAUAUAUAAAUUAUUAUUUUUUAAAUGAAAAAACCAGAAGAGCUUGAUAAUAUUUAAUAAAAAAAAUAAAAAUGAAAAAAUAUUCCUUUUCAAGUACAAACAAAAUUAUAAAUAUUUAAUAAUACUGUAUAAAAAAUUAAAAAUUCUAACCUAAAUUUUAAAAAAAUUGUCAUUGGCUAAUUGACUAAUUGACUUGUGCUAUCUCUUGUACAUUAUUAGAAAAAUUGUCAUUGACUAAUUGACUUGCAAAAGUAUUUGCAAGAAAGCUAAAGAAUUAGAGUUUUUAACAUUUUUAAAUUUUUAAAAACAUCCAAUUAUUUUUUUAAAAAAUCAAGAAUAAAACAUCAACUAUUUAUAUAAUUGCUAAAUAAAUCUAAUAAAAUAAAUCAGAAAUAACUAGUAAAUAAUCCAAAAAUAACUAGAAAAUAAAUAUAUCUCCUCAAUAUGAUUUGAGUAUGUUUUCUAUCUUAAUUGACUGACUUGCUAAGUAUUUGUUAAGCAUAAACGAACUUUACUCUAAAAGUAUGUUUAAUAUUUUUCUUACUUUUACUAUUUUACUUCAAAGUUUCAAUUUCAUAUUUUUUUACAAUGUACAUGUUAUUUGAUUAGUCUGAUCAUAGGAUAUGUUAAGCAUUGACUCGAAAUUAGCACUUGAAAUUAUGGACUGGAAACUAGCUUAAAUGCUGGCCACCAACCCUUUUUUGCUCGUUCUAUAGGGAGAGUAGAAAAUGUGAUUUCUUAUUCAAGAUCGUGGAUAGUACGCUCAAGAUUAUGGGAAGGUGUUUUUUGUUUACUAGGAGGAUUGGGUCGAAAAGAGGAGAAAAAGUGGCAGCCUUCCAUAUACAUUUAAGGAAACCCAGAUUUUUGUAGAUUUUAGAGACAAAACGAUGUCAUUUUCAUUUUUCUUUCAAUAUCAAAAUUUUUUCUUCCCUUUUCCAGGCAAAACGCACCAUUUCAAUUAGUGUGAAAAGGCAUCAUUUUGCUUUAGGUUUUCUUCAUAUGUAAUAAUGCUAAACACACCAUGUGGAACUAUGUUAAACGCAACAUUUUAGCAUCUUUUGUGCUUCGAUCCCUAGAAUUUUAAUUCUUUUAUUUUGAUCAAUUUUCAACUCUUUUCCUUUAAUUUCAUUUAAUUUGCUAUUAACUGAAUUACAAUAUGACCUUUAAUUUCUUUAUUUUUUUCAUUUCAGUCACUGAUUCUUUCAAUCUUCAUUUUUAAGCCAAAUGAAUUGCAGUUUCAAUUUUCUUUUUUAAUUAAAUCUCUAAUUGAUUUUUUAAAUUGGUUAUUCAUUUCAAACUCAUUCUUGAACUGCUAAUAAUUUUAAUAGAUGUAUGGUACAUCCUAUGAAUUUAUUAGAAAGAAUGUUUAAUGUAAAGUAUGAACCACUUGCCAUUAACUAGCUUUUUCAAUUGGAUCUUUUAUUUAAAUGAAAAGGAAUAUUUAUUUUAAUAUGAAGAAAAUAAUUAUUUUUUUUGAUAUAUCUAGUGAUAAUAAAUUAGAGGAUAGUAACAAGAAAAUAGGGAUUAGAUCGAAUAAAUGGUACCAAUUUGUAUUAUGAUAUAUCUAGUAAUAAUAAAUUAGAGGAUAGUAACAAGAAAAUAUGAAUUAGAUCGAAUAAAUGGUACCAAUUUCUAUUCUGAUAAAUCUAGCCAAAGAGUAGAAUGAAUUAAAAUAUUCUUAAUAAAAAAGAAAAACAGAAAACACAGAAAGAAAAAAAAAAUGCUCUUAAUAAAUAUUAAAGAUAGGUGAAAUUAGAGAACAAGAAAGAGAUAUAGAAUCUCUUUCUUAAGAUUUCUAAAAACUUAAUUACAAUUACAUUAUAAUUUCUUCCUUAAAAUUAUUCAAAAUAUAGUAUUGUAAUUACAUAAUGCUAGGUUUUAAUAUAUAAGUUUUUAUAUUGUUGAAGAGUCUCUCCUAAAACAAAUAAUAAAAAUAUUGUUAUGAACUGUUUUGAAUGAAUUGUUAAUGCACGGACUAUUUUGGGUCCUGACUUGGCUGAUUUAACUUGAAUGUAUUAUUUGAUUGGUCCAAGUAAAGAUCAACUCGAAAUUUCUAUUAAUUUAUGUCGCACCCGACAUCGCGACGGCCUUAAAAAAAAAAAUCAGGUAUAUUGCGGAAAAAGAACAGAUUUCUGGCAUCUUGUUCUUUUAGGAAAAAUGUCUUGUUUAAGGAGUCGCCACCUAGUAUUAUGGUCACUAGGAACCCUAACUGGUCAACAGAGAUUCUAUGGUACGGGACUGGUUACGUAAAAGGGAAGAUAUUAUCACCCCUUAAACGUUCUGCCUAAGGCAGACUGCAUUGCUGGUUUUGUCUUAAAUUGCUAAACAUUUAUUCGCUUAUGCUAUGAUGAUUUGUUUAUAAUAUUCCUGACUCUGGCGCCAGUGAAUAUUCGAUCGCGAAUAAUUCCAACUCUGGCGUUGGUAAAAAUUCCACCCGAAUAAUUCCAACUCUGGCGUUGGUAAAAAUUCUACUACAAAUAAUUCCAACUCUGGCGUUGGUAAAAAUUCAUAGCCACCAAAAAUAAAUUCAGAUUAAUAUUUUUUUAUUCCUGACUCUAACGCUAGUGAAUAAACAAAUAAACUAAAUUUAUGCAUUCACAUAUUUUUUUAUUUUUUAUGUAGUUAAAUAAAAAAAACAAAGAGAAUAAUUAAAUAAGUAUUUUUAUUUUUGACUCUGAAGUCAGUAAAUAAAAAUAAAUUUAUUUUUCAUACAUGCACGUAUAUUUUUUUGCUAAAUAAAAAAAAUAUACGAAUAAAAAUAAUAUAAACUUAAACUAAUAUUUUAUUCCCGACUCUGGCGUGGGUGAAUAAACUAGUAAAUUUAUAUUAUUUUUAUUCAUGCACACACAUAUUUUUUUAUUUUUUUAUUUUUUAUUUUCUUAUUUUUUUUAUAUAUAUAUAUUUGUUUUUUGCUGGGCCUAGCUCAGCCCACAUGGGCUGGGCCCAGCCCAGCCCAGCCCAGCCCAGUCACUGGCCCAAGCCAGUGACCCGGCUGGGUAACAUGAAGCACGCGUGAACUAAAUCACGCGUGCAUUAGCAGAUAAAGGAAUUAAUUGAGAGUGUACAGUAGGAAGUGAAUUAAAAUGAAAAACGGUGAAAGGUGAAAGAGAAACUUACUUACCUGGCUCUGGAUACAACGAAGGCAGCAGCAACAAUGGUUCUGGUCACGGUGGCUUUCCUCUGCUUAUGUUCGUCCCCUGUUUAUUGGCUUGUUCGUCCCCUGUUCUUGUUUCCAGUCGCUCUCCUUUUGUUUCCUUGCUCUCGUUCUCUGUCUUCUGCGUUUGUUUUUCUUCUGUGUUUCCCUGGUUCUCUUUUUGUUCACCUUAUCUUCUCUGCUUUUCCUUUUUUUUUCGUCUGUGUCUGUCCCUUCUCUCUCGGUCUGUUUUUUCUUUUUUUUUCUCUUGCUCUCACAUGCUCUGUCUUUCUCUGUUUUUUUCUGUUCUUGGCUCUGUUUUGGGUUGAUUUUUCUUGUGCAGGGAUGAAGAUGAUGGCGGGGUUGAUCUCUGAUUCCUUUCUGCCUUUCUCCCCUUCUCCCUGGGUAUUUCUUUUUGUGUUUGUGCUCUGUUUUGCUCUGCUUGUUUCCUCACUGAUUUCCGGUUCUUGCUUUUUCCAAUCUUCCCCCUCGUUUUAGUCCAAUUCAUCCCCUGUUUCCAGUGUUCUUUUUCCUGCGUUUUGCUCGGUUCCCCUCCUCCGGUUUGUUCGGUUCUUUGUCCAGCCCCGUUGUUCCCCUGUUUCCUGAGUUUUUCUAUGGGUUCUGCUCCAGUUAUCCCCCCUCUGUUCGUCCCCUUGCCUCUGCUCUGCUCUGCCUUUUAUAGAGCCCGAGCACGCAGAAAAAACCCGUUCCUCUGUUCAUCAAUCCAUGAGCGGGAUCAUGGGCAAGAAAUCAUGGUGUCGUGGUCCACGAUUUGCUGCAAAUUUCCUGUUAAAACGGCUUUUUCCGCUCAAACGUGGGAGACGAUGAACAAUGCUUCCAAAACGGUGCCGUUGUGUCCUUGGGCAUGGCUUUUUUUAAUUUAGUCCCUAAACAGUUUAAACUUAACAAUUGGGAUCCUAAUCAGAAACAAUUGAUUUCUAAUUGUGCCCUUGGAUUAAAUUUAAUUGAAUCCUUGAGUUAUAACGCCAUUUACACAACAGUCCUAGAUGUUUGGACUAUUCAAUUUGGUCCUUGGACUUUAAUUUUCUAGCAAUUUUUCCUUGAAUCAGCUCUAAACUUUGAUAUUCUUUCAAUUACACCCCUGAUUCCUUUAAUUAAUUAAAUCAAAGUUUAAUUAAGUCCUUAAACUCAUUAAUUCUUCAAUUAAACUCUUGAUUUCAUUAAUUAAAAUAAUCUGAAUUUUAAUUAAAUCAAUUCUCCAAUUAAACCCUUGAUUUAAUUAAUUAAAAAGAGUUUAAUUAAAUCUUUAAACUUCCAAUCAUGCUGCCCUUAACCUAAAUUUUAAUUCAUUCUUCAUUUAUUUUAUUUUUAUUUGUUUUUUCAUCAUUUUUUAAAUAAAAAUAAUUAAAAUAAAAAGGUUAAAAAUUGGGUUAUGACAGUUGCCCCCUCUUUAUAAUAUUUACCUUGCAAAGAUAUUUAGAAAAUUUCAUUUUCUUUUAGCUUUGUGUAGUAAAUUUAUAAAGAAAAGUAGAUAAAGAAGUUUUUUUUUUUUUUUUUUUUUGCUUUUUUAGUUUGAAAACUUCAAAAACAGUAGAUUGACAUAAGAUUUUAACAGAGAGAACAAAUCAUUUGGAAGACGGUCCAUUUUUUUGUUGUUUUUUUUUUGUUCGAAAUGGAUCAAAUUGUUUUGGGCAACCUGCCCAAUGAUAAAAGAAACGCGAAGAAUUUCGCGAGUGGUCUAAUUGUUCCAGGCGACCUGCCCAAUGAUUGAAAAAUACGAGAAAUUUUUUUGUGAUGGUAUAUUGUAAUGGGUUAUCGGCCCAGAUGGUCACAUUGUAAUGGGUUACCUGCCCAGUAUAAGAUGGUAUGUUGUAAUGGGUUACCCGCCCAAAUGGUAACAUUGUAAUGGGUUACCUGCCCAGUAUAGGAUGGUAUAUUGUAAUGGGUUACCGACCCAGUUGGUCACAUUGUAAUGGGUUACCUGCCCAGAUGGUCACAUUGUAAUGGGUUACCUGCCCAGUGGAUGGUAUAUUGUAAUGGGUUACCGACCCAGUUGGUCACAUUGUAAUGGGUUACCUGCUCAGGUGGUCACAUUGUAAUGGGUUACCGGCCCAGUUGGUCACAUUGUAAUGGGUUACCUGCCCAGUGGAUGGUAUAUUGUAAUGGGUUAUCGACCCAAUUGGUCACAUUGUAAUGGGUUACCUGCCCAGAUGAUCACAUUGUAAUGGGUUACCUGCCCAGUGGAUGGUAUAUUGUAAUGGGUUACCGACCCAGUUGGUCACAUUGUAAUGGGUUACCUGCCCAGGUGGUCACAUUGUAAUGGGUUACCGGCCCAGUUGGUCACAUUGUAAUGGGUUACCUGCCUAGUGGAUGGUAUAUUGUAAUGGGUUAUCGACCCAGUUGGUCACAUUGUAAUGGGUUACCUGCCCAGUAUAGGAUGGUAUAUUGUAAUGGGCUACCGGCCCAGAUGGUCACAUUGUAAUGAGUUACCUGCCCAGUAUAGGAUGGUAUAUUGUAAUGGGCUACCGGCCCAGAUGGUCGCAUUGUAAUGGGUUACCGGCCCAGUUGGUCGCAUUGUAAUGGGUUACCUGCCCAGUUGGUCGCAUUGUAAUGGGUUACCUGCCCAGUGGAAGAAUACGAGGAUUUUUUUUUUUAAGACAUGGUAAGGCUCGAAGGCGCUUUUAUUCAAUAGAUGGAAGCUCAAAGGAAAUGAGGGCUCGAAGACGCACUCAAAAGGAGGUAGGAUAGGAAAUGCACUACCUUUGAUGGUCGAGGGCUCGAAGGCGCGCUCGAAAAGAAACAAGACGAGGGCUCGAAGGCACACUCGAAUGGGGAUAAGACGAGGGCUUGAAGGCGCGCUCGAAUGGAGAAUGAAAGGUGGUGGGAAAAUACAUAUAUUUUUCAAGUGGCCUAAUUUUCAUGGGCGGCUUGCCCAGGUUGAAAAAUUCUCAAAAGUGAAAAUUUUUCAAAAGCAAUUUCAAUGUUCGCCAUUUCAAGUUGGCCUUCCGCUUGAUGGAUUCUGUUAGAAUUUUCUCUAAUAAAAUUUGCAAAACUCAUUGUCCAAUGUCUCAAAGUUUAAAUGAUAUGCAUGCACCUGAUUUGAAAUAUAGGCCCCCCAUUUCUUCUUAGCCUUCUCGUUGCUUGGUUGGUGAGAUCUUGCUAUCUGAUUUGAGUCAUCUUUGUCGUUUGGCUUUCUAGCCCACUCGAGUUAGCCCAUAUAAGACUUUUUCUAGAUUUGUUUGCACAACUCAGCCUUUAUGGUACCCAUCGUGACCCACAUGCUUGCUAAAGAUUUUCGGACUCGUCAAAUAAUUUGAGAGGAUCAUUCAUUACCCCUCGUCUCAAUGCUAAAAACAUUCGGUGUCACUAGCUGAAAGGAUCAAACGGUCUUUUGUAAACCAAAAUGCCCCCUUGUCUUGUUGUAAGGGAUGAUAGAUUUUCCUUAAACAUAAUGUUGUCCCCUUGUACUGGUCAUUGCCCCCAAGUGCGCUAUGUCACUGACUUAGAUGAAUAAUGAUUUUAAGAGGCCAUUCUCUCAUUUGGUGAAGGAAUAUGAGUCUAGAAUAAAUCUUGAAAUCUUGAUCUUGCAUUUUAAAAACAAAAAUUAUUUCGAUGUGAGUCUAAAAUAAUUUGUUUUUGAAAUCUUGCAACUCCUUGGUUAUUUUCUUUCUUGGAAAAGAGAUUAUUUGCUCUUGUGUUUGGUAAUGAGGUCUUUGAGGAAAAUAUGUCAUGAGAUGACCUUUUGUUUCGAAGUGAAGGGCUCGAGAAAAAGCUCGAGGUUUUAUAUGAGAAAAACUUGUCUUUUUUAGCAUUUAUUUUUAUCAGCAUGAAUAAUAAUGAGUAGUUUAUUCUUGAUGUCAUGAAUCUUAUGAAAAAAUAUUCUUUGCAUUUUGAGAGCAUUGUUUAUUGUUCUAAGUUGCUUGCUUGCUUGAUUAGAAAGGACUUCUACAGGCAUGUAACGUAGGCUGUGUUUUUUAUUUUUUUGCUAUGAAAGAAAAGGAUUCAUAAGGCUCAAAGAGUGUUUCAGGGUUUCAAAGAUUGAAGAUCACGAUCAACAGUUUGACUCUUGAUGUCAUUCAUAUUUUCUUUUGCCGCUCUUCUUUGAUUUGCCCCUUUUUUUUUAUAGCUUUGCUAGAGCAUACUCACUUUAUCUUGGUUAUCAUUUUUUUCUUGUGAUUUGGGUAUGCCCCCUAGCAUUUGAGUUUCUUGGGCUCUUUAUGCCUUUUUGGCUUUCUCACGGCUUUUUCUCAUUUCACAUUGAAAUUUUCUCUUGCCCCCCAGUGUAGGGUGUGAUCUUAGUCAGGAUUUUUAAUGAAAGAAAAAUUAUUCAGGCUCAAAAAGGGAUCGCAAGGGAUGUACUUAUUUUAGAAAGUGAAAGGAAUAACAAAGAUGGCCUUUCCUCAUUUUAAGCGCAAGCAGUUAAGAUCAAUAAACUUUGACCUCAUCUAGUGUGAUGGUUUGGUCUUUGCAAAGAUGCAUUUCAUAAAUCAUGAGCAACGAAUUCUCUACAUACCAUUAUUCAUACAUUUAAAAACACAUGAUUCAAGAGUCAUGGGGUAAGUGUCUUUCUUUUUCUUUUUCAUAAUUUUUAUGGUUUAUAAUUUAGUCACCUCAAUGAUGAAGCUGCUUGAUUCACUUGUCAUUCUACAAGUAGAAUGUGAAAAAUAUCAUUUUUGAAUGAACAUCAAAUUAUUUUUGAAAUCAAAAUACCAGAUCAAAUUUUCAAAACUCCAAUAGGGAAAUGGAUUUUGGUACAAGAGAUGAAUUGCGUCUAUGAGAUCACGUAAGGCUUCAAAGGUGGAUUCGUGAGUUCUUAUAAGAAAAACUCUCUUAAUCAGAAUAAUGCUUGGUCGUGAACACGAUUGAAUGACAAACUCAAUAUUUCAUUGAAGCUUAGGAAAAGAAGUUCAACAACAAAGAUCUUAUGCCAACAUGAAUACUGGCAUGAUAACACAUAAAGGAGCUAAACAUUUAGUGAUCAUUCUCGACCUAAUAUCACCAUAGCUUUCUCUUCAAGGUAGUUGAUUUCUAGGAGUCGGCGUAAAGAAAUUAACCAUAGGAACAGUAAGAGCCUUGGCCACCCCCUUCAGUGUCCUUUCCUUUUUCGGUGAAACCGUUCUUUUCAGUUGGAUCAGCAAUUUUACCUAACCCAAUGGCUUGUUCAAUCCUCUCAGCUACAACAACCAGGUCAGUGAAAUGUUGUGCAGAGCUUCUAACCAAGUAUUCAAAGUACGGAGCUUUAAAGGUGUUGGAAAAUAAACUGAUCAUCUCUUUUUCCAACAUGGGAGGAUUAACUUGUGCAGCUACCUCACUCCAUCUCCGGGCGUAUUCCCUUAUGGACUCCUUGUUGUCCUUCUCCAUAGCUUGCAAGCUUAACCGAUCAGGGCCCACGUCUAUAUUGAACUUAUAUUGCCUCAUAAAGGCAUCCACUAAAUCCUUCCAUUUUUUAACCUUGGUAUUGUCCAACCGCAUAUACCAAGUGAGGGCAACAUUACUCAGACUGUCUUGAAAGAAAUGAAUCAGCAGUUUCUCAUUAUCAACCACCUCAGCCAUUUUGUUGCAGUAUGCUUUGAGAUGAGUUAUAGGACAUUGAGUUCCCGUAUAUUUAACAAAUUCGGGCACUCUAAACUUUUUAGGAAUGACAACGUUGGGCACCAAACACAUCUCAACAGCCCUUAUAGGAUCAUAUAGGUGAAUUCUCUCAAAUGCCCUCAUCCUUUGCUCUAGGGCAAUGAAUUUGUUCAGAUCAUCUUCUUUUACCACCUUGCCUUUUUGAUAUUCCUUCUCUAUAGAAUCAAUGGUGGACAAAACUCUCGCAGGGUAUGCUGGCUGGAAAUGCAUAGGUUGUUGAAAUUCAGAUGACACCCUAUUUGCCCCCAGAUUCUGUGGAUCGAAAUGAGUUACAUGCAUAUCUUCAGGCUGAGCUAUAAGUGUUGCUUUUCCGGAUUUAUUUCUCAAGACCUGCUCGAGUAGACUAGUAAUCCUUGUGACUUCUUCCUUAAGAUUGUCCACCUCUUUUUGAUGUUGGGCUUCCAACUGGGCUCUUUCUUCGUUUUCCAUUUGUCUUUUUCUCGAACGAGUGUUAUACAUGGGUUUCAAUGGGGAACCUAUAUUUCAACCUGUUAAAUGUAAAUCAUGCAAUUAUGCAAAAAUGCUGAAGCAAUUAGAAAAAAUGCAAAUGAAAUGCGGACUUGCCCUUUUACGGGAUGACAACCUAAUAAACAGAUCCUAAUUGUUGAGUGCAUCAAAGGGUUGGUCAUUAUCUAGUUUUAAAGGGUCUCUCGCACGCUCAGUGAUCGUCCAUGAAAGGUCGAUAUGAGGCUUACAAGUAGUGUGAAGAUAGAGGCCCUAAGUAAUAUCAGUUUGGCAUAUCAACCACUUCCAAGUAAACAAUCAAGCGAGAGUUGGAUGGUUUCACGAGUCUUACCCAGGCUAAAGCCAUUGGGGUACCGUUACUCCCCCCAUUUAUCCUAGAUUUUAAGGUAUGUGCUUUUAACGUGAUGCAUGACAAUAUAAACAUAGAUGCAUGCUAAAGCAGUAAAUGCAAGAAAAAUAAACAAAUAAACACAACAUAACAAAUAUUAUAGCAAUUGACAAACAAAAGGCAAAGCUUAGUCCAUUAUUCCCCAGUGGAGUCGCCAUUCUGUCGCACCCGACAUCGCGGCGGCCUUAAAAAAAAAAAUCAGGUAUAUUGCGGAAAAAGAACAGAUUUCUGGCAUCUUGUUCUUUUAGGAAAAAUGUCUUGUUUAAGGAGUCGCCACCUAGUAUUAUGGUCACUAGGAACCCUAACUGGUCAACAGAGAUUCUAUGGUACGGGACUGGUUACGUAAAAGGGAAGAUAUUAUCACCCCUUAAACGUUCUGCCUAAGGCAGACUGCAUUGCUGGUUUUGUCUUAAAUUGCUAAACAUUUAUUCGCUUAUGCUAUGAUGAUUUGUUUAUAAUAUUCCUGACUCUGACGCCAGUGAAUAUUCGAUCGCGAAUAAUUCCAACUCUGGCGUUGGUAAAAAUUCCACCCGAAUAAUUCCAACUCUGGCGUUGGUAAAAAUUCUACUACAAAUAAUUCCAACUCUGGCGUUGGUAAAAAUUCAUAGCCACCAAAAAUAAAUUCAGAUUAAUAUUUUUUUAUUCCUGACUCUAACGCUAGUGAAUAAACAAAUAAACUAAAUUUAUGCAUUCACAUAUUUUUUUAUUUUUUAUGUAGUUAAAUAAAAAAAACAAAGAGAAUAAUUAAAUAAGUAUUUUUAUUUUUGACUCUGAAAUCAGUAAAUAAAAAUAAAUUUAUUUUUCAUACAUGCACGUAUAUUUUUUUGCUAAAUAAAAAAAAUAUACGAAUAAAAAUAAUAUAAACUUAAACUAAUAUUUUAUUCCCGACUCUGGCGUGGGUGAAUAAACUAGUAAAUUUAUAUUAUUUUUAUUCAUGCACACACAUAUUUUUUUAUUUUUUUAUUUUUUAUUUUCUUAUUUUUUUUAUAUAUAUAUUUGUUUUUUGCUGGGCCUAGCUCAGCCCACAUGGGCUGGGCCCAGCCCAGCCCAGCCCAGCCCAGUCACUGGCCCAAGCCAGUGACCCGGCUGGGCAACAUGAAGCACGCGUGAACUAAAUCACGCGUGCAUUAGCAGAUAAAGGAAUUAAUUGAGAGUGUACAGUAGGAAGUGAAUUAAAAUGAAAAACGGUGAAAGGUGAAAGAGAAACUUACUUACCUGGCUCUGGAUACAACGAAGGCAGCAGCAACAAUGGUUCUGGUCACGGUGGCUUUCCUCUGCUUAUGUUCGUCCCCUGUUUAUUGGCUUGUUCGUCCCCUGUUCUUGUUUCCAGUCGCUCUCCUUUUGUUUCCUUGCUCUCGUUCUCUGUCUUCUGCGUUUGUUUUUCUUCUGUGUUUCCCUGGUUCUCUUUUUGUUCACCUUAUCUUCUCUGCUUUUCCUUUUUUUUCGUCUGUGUCUGUCCCUUCUCUCUCGGUCUGUUUUUUCUUUUUUUUUCUCUUGCUCUCACAUGCUCUGUCUUUCUCUGUUUUUUUCUGUUCUUGGCUCUGUUUUGGGUUGAUUUUUCUUGUGCAGGGAUGAAGAUGAUGGCGGGGUUGAUCUCUGAUUCCUUUCUGCCUUUCUCCCCUUCUCCCUGGGUAUUUCUUUUUGUGUUUGUGCUCUGUUUUGCUCUGCUUGUUUCCUCACUGAUUUCCGGUUCUUGCUUUUUCCAAUCUUCCCCCUCGUUUUAGUCCAAUUCAUCCCCUGUUUCCAGUGUUCUUUUUCCUGCGUUUUGCUCGGUUCCCCUCCUCCGGUUUGUUCGGUUCUUUGUCCAGCCCCGUUGUUCCCCUGUUUCCUGAGUUUUUCUAUGGGUUCUGCUCCAGUUAUCCCCCCUCUGUUCGUCCCCUUGCCUCUGCUCUGCUCUGCCUUUUAUAGAGCCCGAGCACGCAGAAAAAACCCGUUCCUCUGUUCAUCAAUCCAUGAGCGGGAUCAUGGGCAAGAAAUCAUGGUGUCGUGGUCCACGAUUUGCUGCAAAUUUCCUGUUAAAACGGCUUUUUCCGCUCAAACGUGGGAGACGAUGAACAAUGCUUCCAAAACGGUGCCGUUGUGUCCUUGGGCAUGGCUUUUUUUAAUUUAGUCCCUAAACAGUUUAAACUUAACAAUUGGGAUCCUAAUCAGAAACAAUUGAUUUCUAAUUGUGCCCUUGGAUUAAAUUUAAUUGAAUCCUUGAGUUAUAACGCCAUUUACACAACAGUCCUAGAUGUUUGGACUAUUCAAUUUGGUCCUUGGACUUUAAUUUUCUAGCAAUUUUUCCUUGAAUCAGCUCUAAACUUUGAUAUUCUUUCAAUUACACCCCUGAUUCCUUUAAUUAAUUAAAUCAAAGUUUAAUUAAGUCCUUAAACUCAUUAAUUCUUCAAUUAAACUCUUGAUUUCAUUAAUUAAAACAAUCUGAAUUUUAAUUAAAUCAAUUCUCCAAUUAAACCCUUGAUUUAAUUAAUUAAAAAGAGUUUAAUUAAAUCUUUAAACUUCCAAUCAUGCUGCCCUUAACCUAAAUUUUAAUUCAUUCUUCAUUUAUUUUAUUUUUAUUUGUUUUUUCAUCAUUUUUUUAAAUAAAAAUAAUUAAAAUAAAAAGGUUAAAAAUUGGGUUAUGACAAUUUACAAAAGAAAUUUCCUAGUACUUUCUACUGUAUAUAAUUUGAAAAAUUGUGACUGACCAACUUACUUGCAAAGUAUUGGCAAGAAAGUUAAAGAAUUAGAGUUUUUAAAUAUUUAAAAUUAUAAUUUUAAAUUCUAAGAAAAAAAUCAAUUAUUUUUAAAAUUGUUUUCAAAAAUAAAAGCAUCAACUAUUUAUAUAAUAGCUAAAUGAAUCUAUUAAAAUAAAUAAAAAAAUAACUAGUAAAAUCAAGUGAAUAAUCCAAAAAUAACAAGAAAAUAGAGAUAUUUCCUAAAUAUGAUUCCAGUUUGUAUUUGCUAACAUAAAUAGCAUACAUGAACUUUAUUAUAAUAGUAUAUUUGAUAUUUAAAUAAAAACUUAUAGAUAUUAUAUGGGUUGGAAACCCAUUUUUUAUUAAAUUUUAAAUUUUAUAUGUUUAAAAAUAUUUUUUUAUAUUUUUUAAUUAUUUUAAUGUGAUAAUAUUAAAAAUAAAUAAAUAAAAUUUUUCUAACUUUUACUACUUCUGACUUGCUUUGACUCGAAAUUCGCGGUGCUUUCUCCUGCAAAUGAAUAGAAAGCAUAUCAUUUCUCCUCCUCCUAUAUGAAGAAUACAACUCGCUUUGAAACCUCAAUUAAAUUUCCUUGGUUUACUCUUCAGAUUACUUCUCCUAAACUCCUUUGUUCAUUUUCUUUUUUAUUACCCCUUCAUGCCAAUUGUUAGAUACUAAAAACAGCAAGAACUGUACUCAAUUAGCAAAAAAUAGAUUUUUGACUAGAAAAAUUCUAUCAAAUUCUCUACUUUAUUAGUGUUCAUUUUCAUUCUUUUUUAACAUAUCUUUUCCAAUUGUUUAGAAAACUUUUAUGUCAAUCAAUAUACACCUACUUUCAACGUUUUACACUGCUUUAGUCCUAAAAAAUAAUUCUAGAUAUAGUUGUAUUGUAAUAGAUAUUAUAUUUCAAACUAUUUUUGAAAUAUAUUAAAGUAAUAUAUUUUUUUAAAAAAAUAAUUUUAACAUCGCUACAUUAUAAUAAUAAAAAUAAUAAUUUAAAACAAUAAAAAAAUUUAAAAUAUUUUUAAAAUAUGAUUUUACUGCACUCCAAAACAUACCAUCCUCCCUCAGCAACCACCACGAAAUUACCACUCUAAAAACUCUUUGACAAUUAUUGCUUGCUCUUUGACUAUUAUUGCUUGGCUAAUGAUUUGCAAGAAACUUUCUCAAUUUCCUUCUAUUUUCUUUUUAUCAUGGAAACUUUAAGUCACAUCUACGCCUACCACGAACUACCAAUAAGUAAAUUUCAAUAUGUAAUUGUGUAGGUUGAAUUAAAAGUGCUUUAAUGAAGUAUGUUAAAAAAUAAUAUAAAUUAUAUUUUAGAUUUUAUUUUAAUAAUUUAAAUUUCUAGAUGAAUAGAUUUUUUACAAAUAAAAGAUAUAGUUUUACGAUAAAAUGCAUUUUUUGAAAUGAAAUUAUAUUAAAUUAAACAUGCUCGAGAUUGUUUGAAUUAUUAAUUAAUUAUAAUUAACUUUAUGUUUUUUGAGGAAACAAAUGGGAAGGACAAAAUUAUCUACCCCAAACGAUAGACCUAGCCCACUUUUCAAACCAAUCCCCAAAUAAAUAGAAUGAUGGUCUCAUAAGUUGCUUUUUUUCUUUCUAGGCCGCCAAGCAGUUUGGUCUCCCUCACUAGACCACUUUAGCACAAGAAUCACACUAGAGGAUUUAAAAGUAGUUUGAAGUAUCAUUAAACCUGAUAAAAAUGAAUAACUGAUAAUAAUAUAGUUGGGAUUUUAAAAAAAAAUUCAUAAAAAACUAUAUAAAAAGCAAUUUAAAACCAAUUAAUCUUAAAAACACCAAAAUGAAACAUGCCAUGAAAAACAAAUUAAAAAAAAACAAAAUACUUGAAAAAAAUUAAUUCAACCCUUUUUCAUAUAAAAAAAAGUAAUUGGGUAUUAAUUUACGGUAAAAAGAGUAUAUUAAUGCAAAAAAAAAAAAAAAGAGUUUGAGGGUAUUGAUUUUAUUACUUGUUAGGUAACUAUGUAAUCUAAUCUGUUGAUGUGGAAAAUAGCACUAAGUUUUUGGCAUUGCCCAUUGGUGAGAAGCAAAAGCAGUAGCAGUCCAUCAGGACCAUCACUAUCGUAUCGCUUCGCCGUACUGUUUAGCUUCUUGGCAUUGUUCGAAGGAACGCAGAAAUACAUUCCAAGUGCGAAAGUGUAUUAUUGUCAUAAAGUUUUUCAAACCUCCACUAUAGAGAGAGAAAUAAAUAAAAAGCGCAAAGGCAACUAUACUAAAGGUCAGUUUUUCACUCUCUGAAAAAUCCUUAAAAAAUCUUUUUUAGUUUAUUUGUAAUUAAAUUAAAGAAAAAUAUUAAUUAGUAAUUUUACAUUUUUUUCUAUACUAUAAUUAUCAAAUAACCCUUAAAAAAUUUCAUUUUAACCUUUAUUCUCUCUUCUUCUUUUUCAAUUCAUUUGUUAAUUUGAUUUUUUUUUAAUUUUGCUUUUUGAUUCAAAAUUUUAGUUUAUCCUCUCAAUUUUUUUUCAAAUAAUGUUCUUAUUCUCUUAAUUGCUAUUUUUUUAUCCUUUAAUUUUUUUAUUUUAUUAUUCGACAAUUCAUUAAUUGGAUCUGAUCUCAUUGGUUUUUUCUAUUGUUUCUAAACCCUACCCAAUAAUCAAUCCAGGAUAAUUAUCGAGUUACGAGUCGAGUGGGUUGACUCGAGUGAACCCAGACAACCAAAUCCUUUUGUUUUAUAAAAAGCCAAAAUGAUACCAAUUUUUUAUUUUUAAAAAAUAAUAAACGAGUUUUGACCCUGUUUCGGCUAGAUUUUCUUAGGAUUAACUAAAACAUUUAUCAACCCAAGUUUUUUAUUGUAUUACAUUAGAUUAAUUCUCUCUCAAUUAUUUUUGAAACUCGUGCGUUUUAAACCAAAGGUCACAUGGGACACAAUUUCUUUGUGCUUUGUACUGUACAUAAUUUGAAAAACUGUGAUUAACCGACUUACUUGCAAACGAAGCUAAAGAAAAAAAUCAAUUAUUUUUUUUUAAAUUCAAAAAUAAAACAUCAACUAUUUAUAUAAUAGCUAAAUGAAUCUAUUAAAAUAAAUAAAAAAUAACUAGUAAAAUCAAGUAAAUAAUUCAAAAAUAACAAAAAAAAAUAGAGAUAUAUUUUUUAAAAACUUUUAUCUUAUAUGGGUAGGGGUUGCCAUGCAACUUAACCGGGAUCACCAUGAUUGUCGAGUAAAGUAAAUAAAUUACUUAACCGGGAUCACCAGAGGAGUUAUUUGCCAAGAUUGAGUUAUAUAACAGUUUAUAAAUCAUGCUAUCAUCUCCAUCACCAUAUAUAAAGCUAGACAAAAUAGGAUAAGAGGGGAUUAAAUUUAGUUUUAGAAUAUAUUUGAGAAUAUAGUUGAACCAUGUUUUUUAAAAUGUUUUUAAAUUGUUUUAAUAUGCUGAUGUUAAAAAUAAAUUUUAAAAAUUAUUAUUUUAAUAUAUUUAUAAUUAAAAAAUAUUUUAAAAAGUAAUUUUCAUCACAUUCUCAAAUUAGUUAAAGUUUUUCAAAUGAAUAGAUUCAUGUCGAUGACACUCUCUAGUCAGUUUUGAGAAUUUUAAAUCCAAACAAGUGAAUUUAUAUUAUAUAUGGAUCAAACAAGCAUGCUUGUACAAUAAUUUCUCAUACUCAAUAGAAAUUUGGGUUUAUCAUUAGGGUAAGACAAACCGAAUAAUUCUUUUAAUAUUUAAAAAUUAAAAAAUACUGUGUAGCUGUUUUGUAUAAAUUGUAAAAUUGAGUCUUUUGUGCUUGGUAAAAUACGUCACAAUAAAGUCAAUAAAUAAUAACACAAGAAAGGAUCAAAGUUAAUAAAUAAUAGCAUGCUUUAAUAGAUUGUUACAGUAAAAGCACAGAGAGAAGAACGGUUCAAGACAGAACAAUAAAGUUAACGCGUGGACUCAUUUGUUGCAACCAGCACGAAACUCCAGCUCAAUUAUAUGUUAAAAAAUAAUAAAGUAUGUUUUAAUAGCAUGCUUUAAUAGAUUUAAUAAAGUAUGUUAAAAAAUAAUAUAAAUUAUAUUUUAGAGUUUAUUUUAAUAAUUUAAAUUUAUAGAUGAAUAGAUUUUUUACAAAUAAAAGAUAUAGUUUUACGAUAAAAUGCAUUUUUUGAAAUGAAAUUAUAUUAAAUUAAACAUGCUCGAGAUUGUUUGAAUUAUUAAUUAAUUAUAAUAAACUUUAUGUUUUUAGAGGAAACAAAUGGGAAGGACAAAAUUAUCUACCCCAAACGAUAGACCUAGCCCACUUUUCAAACCAAUCCCCUGGUAAAUAGAAUGAUGGUCCCAUAAGUUGCUUUUUUUCUUUCCAGGCCGCCAAGCAGUUUGGUCUCCCUCACUAGACCACUUUAGCACAAGAAUCACACUAGAGGAUUUAAAAGUAGUUUGAAGUAUCAUUAAACCUGAUAAAAAUAAAUAACUGAUAAUAAUAUAGUUGAGAUUUAAAAAACAAUUCAUAAAAAAACUAUAUAAAAAGCAAUUUAAAACCAAUUAAUCUUAAAAGCACCAAAAUGAAACAUGCCAUGAAAAACAAAUAAAAAAUAAAAAAAAUACUUGAAAAAAAUUAAUUCAACCCUUUUUUCAUAUAAAUAAAGUAAUUGGGUAUUAAUUUACGGUAAAAAGAGUAUAUUAAUGCAAAAAAAAAAAGAGUUUGAGGGUAUUGAUUUUAUAUUUUUUAUUAACGUGGGUGUCCGAGUCAGUUUACAUGCACCUCGACUAAUUCUACGGGUCCUGAAGCUAACUACCAUGUAAGUCUCCAGUGGUCCUGAGAUUUAUGAGACUCGAACUGGUAAUCUUUAGGAAGCAAACUCAGGAGCUAGUCAGUUAAGUUACCCUGAGGAUUGGAUCUAGAUUUUAUUAAGAAAAAAACCGGUCGAUCCACCGAGUCAAUCUGGAACCCGGGUGACCCGACAAAACCCGGUAGAAACUUUUUUUUUUCAAAUGUGUUUUUUCUUCUAGCUAGAGAUUCAUCUUUUUUCAUACAUGAAAAUAAAAAAAAAUAAAAAUUUAAAACAAUAAAAAUUUUAAAAUAUUUUAAAAAUAUAAUUUUAUUGCAAUCCAAAACACACCCAUGCUCCCUCAGCAACCACCACGAAAUUACCACCCUAAAUUCGGGCUCAAUAAUUUAUUCCUUAGCAAUUAUUGCUUGCUCUUUGAAAAUUAUUGCUUGGCUAAUAAUUUGCAAAAAACAAUUGCUUUUUUUCUUUCCAGCCAGCCAAGCAGUUUGGUCUCCCUCACUGGACCACUUUAGCACAAGAGAUGUCGUUAAAAGAGUACCAUAAUGCAAAAAAAAAAAACAAAAAAAGGAGUUUGAGGGUAUUGAUUUUAUUAUUUGUUAGGUAACGAUGUAAUCUAAUGUGUUGAUGUGGAAAAUAGCACAAAGUUUUUGGCAUGGCCAUUGAUGAGAAGCAAAAGCAGUAGCAGUCCAUCAGGACUAUCACCAUCCUAUCGCUGACAUUCCAUGUGUGAAAGUGUAUUGUUGUCAUAAAGUUUUUCAAACUUCCAAUAUAGAGAGAGAAAUAAAUAAAUAAAUAAAUAGAAAGCGCAAAGAAAACAAUACGAUAAAUUUAAACUAUACUAAAGGUCAGUUUUUCACUCUGUGUGAAUCUACAGUGAAAGCUUGAUUUUGCACAUGGUAGAUAAAUUUAGGUUUAGGAGUAUAAUUUUUUUUUUUAUAUAAUUACACUAAAGAAGAAUAUUAAUUGGUAAUUUUACAUUUUUUUAUAAUAUAAUUAUCAAAUAACCCUUAAAAAAAUUCCUUUUAGUUUAGGGUUUUUUUUUUCAUCUCAAUUACUUAACUGUCCCUAAAAAAUAAACUCCUUUACUAUGGAUGUAAGGUCAUUUUAGAUUUUUGGCUAUAUUUUUUUUAUUAACGUGAGUGUCUGGAUAGUUUAUACACACCUCGACUAAUCUCAUGGGCCCUGAAGUUAACGAUCAUGUAAGCUUCUAGUGACCCUGAGGUUUGUGGAACUCGAACCAGUGAUCUUGAGGCAACAAACUCAAGGUCUAACCAGUUGAGUUAUACCCCUGAGAAUUGGGUCUAGAUUUUAUUAUUUGUGAGGUAACUAUGUAAUCUAAUCUGUUGAUAUGGAAAAUAGCACAAAGUUUUUGGCAGUCCAUAGUCUUACAGCUAGUACUAAAGUUUUUUUUUUUCUAAAUUAAAGAUGAAUAUUUUUUGUUGGCAUCAAAUAAUUUAAAAUGAGAAUUACAGAGCACAGGGUUUAAUCAAAUAUUAAAAGAGAAGAUUUUGUGGAAUUAUUAGAUAAUUAAAAUCAUCACUAAUCUCCUUUUUUCAUUUUUUUUUAAUUAUUAUUAUCCCUGGCAUGCACGAAACAUUGAAAACCGCAAUUUUUCAUGAUAAAAUCCAAAGGAUUGGUACUUUGGUGUUUGUGGGGCUGGUAAAUGGAAGAACACGUGUUUGUGGGGCUGUUAUUUCAUUCAAGGUGCGUACUUUGGUGUGUAUCACGUGUUUGUUGCAUUGACUGAAUAUGAUAGUGGGAACUUAUUUAUCAAGAAUUAAAGCAGUAGUUGCUUAUGGAUAAUUAGCUCUUCCAUCCAGCAUUAAUUCUAUUAUCAAUUAUAGUUCAGUCAUAAAGUUUUUCAAAGAGAGAAAUAAAAAGGAAAAGGAAAAGGAAACAACCCCCACUCCAUCUUUCCCUUCUUUCCAUGAAAAAAGGAAACACCCCAUAUGAUUUUGAUUUUCAAUCAGUGUGAGUGAGAAAGAAAGAGAGGAUUAAAUUUGAUUUUGAUUUCGAAGAGAGAAUUAAUUAAAUUUAGAAUUAAUUCUAUUAUGUAUUUAAAUGUGUUUAGUUACCUUGUAAACCGUAUGGUAGAGUCCCUCAAAUAUUCUGGCCACAGCAAUAUUUUAGGUGGAUUGUAUGGGGCUUGCAACCACUCUAUUAUGCCAAGCAAUAUUUUGUCAUAGAACCCUUUGGCCCUCUAAAUUACCCAAAAAGGACAAUAAUUGAGCACAAGUGGUACAGGUCAGGGUUAAACUCAGCUUGCUAGAGCCAGUUCUCAAUUUUAGGCACCAGUUCUCAAUUGAAUUUUAGCAAAAUCAAGGAUUCAAGAAUUGGCCUCUGUAACAUGGUUUGUAUUCUGAGCCAAUCUGGGCUAGGAUUUGAAACAAAUGUAGCUAUUUUUUCUCCUUUUAUUAUUAAAAAAUAUAUUCAUGGAUUAAUUUUCGUAUAAUUUAAGAAAGUAAGUCCUUUAAUCAAAUUUUAGAUGUGGCCAUCCUCAAUGUGUUAAAAGUAAAUGUUAAUUACCAAGUUGUUGCAAAAAGACAUUCCCUUUCUUGUCAUAAAGUUUUAAAGAGCUAUCAAAAACGUACUUCGUGUAUUAUUGUCGUAAAGUUUUUCAAGCUUCCAAUAUAGAAAGAGAAAUAAAAAGGAAAAGGAAAAGGAAAAGGAAACAACAAGGAAUCUUUCUUGUGCGCUUUCCCUUCUUCACAUGGCUUCCUCGAUCGAUGUAAAAAAGCAAACGCCCCAUUUGAUUUUCAAUCAGUAUGAGUGAGAAAGAAUGAGAGUCCUCUCUUUCCUUGCUUUUUUUAACGCGUGGACCCAGCAGUGGUUGCCACCAAAAUCCUUCCUCAAUAUUUACCAGUACUACACGCUUGAGAAAUUUCCUUGCUUUUUUUCCUCUACGUACUGUUACCUUUUACCAGAUUUCCCAGAAUAGCCCCUUCGUGGGCUACUUUAUUCUUCACGGGUUCUUCUAUUGCCAGAUUCUCUCAUGCAAUUAAGUUUUUCUUUCCGUUUCCAAAUUUGAUAGCCCCAAAACCUCAUCAUUGAGUAGGUUUUGUUUUAGUUUAAGCGUGAUGGAGACGACACUAAAAAUAACAACAACAAAAAAACAGUUUUGGUGUAAAUAUCAAUGGAAGGUUUGGGUGCAGUCCUGUUUGUUUUUGUAUUUUAAAAAUAUUUUUAAAAAAAUUAAAUUUUUUUUAUUUUUUUACUUCAAAUUCAUAUAUUUUUUAGCCAUUUUAGAUCAUUUUGAUGCGCUAAUAUCAAAAUAAUUUUUAAAAAAUAAAAAAAAUAUUAUUUUAAUAUAUUUUAAAAUAAAAAACACUUUAAAAAUAACUCCAACAAUAAUCUCAAAUAUUCUUUAAAGACACAAUUUAAGUCACCGUAGGGUCAAAUAGGUCAGGCACUGUGCUGCAUGGUUAUUACUACUUUUUAGCCUUUUUUUUUUAUAUAUAUAUAUAUAAACAUCUUUUAUUUUUCUUAUCGGUUUCUCUGUUUCUCAUUAGCUUUAUGACACCAAUUAACAAUAAUCAAAUUUAAAAAAUAAUUAAUUUGUCCUUUUAAAAAAUAAUAUUUAAUCCUUAUGUUUUAAUAUAAAGUUAAACAUGUGGCAGUAGAAAUGAAGAAGAUGCCACACCACUUAAGGGCCCAAAGCCAAAUUUAAAAACAGGACCAUCAAACACGUGUUAACCUCUCAAGAUAAAGGAUGCAAAACUUGGAACAAAAUGAAAAAAGUGCAAUGCUGAUGAGUUCAUCAAACCAUGACCGUUCCAGGUGAAAUACAAAGUUUAGAUCAGUGCUUGUCAGUUGUGUGUUGAACUGAGAAAGAAUAAUUUGAUUGUCAUUUCAGUACAAAAGUAAGAGCAGAAGAGGCUUUUAUAUAUAUAUAUAGCCUAUACAGAGACUAAUAAGGAAAAACUCAUUACACUAAUCUAGUAAAUAAUCAUGGACGAUUUACAAUCAAGUAAGGCUAAUUAGGAAACUAAAUAUUCUAUGAUUCCUAUUCUGUGAUUUCCAUAUUUAUUCUUCACGUUAACACUCCCCCUCAAGUUGGUGCAUAGAUAUCAGCAAUGCCCAUCUUGUCAAGUGAUUUAUGAAAGAUUUUGCCCGAGACAGCCUUUGUAAGUAUAUCUGCUAGCUGAUCUUCUGAUUUUACAAAUGGAAAUUGAAUCACGUUGUCUUCAAGCUUCUGUUUAAUGAAAUGCCGAUCUACCUCAACAUAUUUGGUACGAUCAUGUUGAAUUGGGUUGUGCGCAAUUGCUAUGGCUGCUUUAUUGUCACAAAACAUGUUCAUUGUAUCUUGAGAUGAACAUCCAAUUUCUUCCAUUAAUCUCUUUAACCAAAGUAGCUCACAUAGUCCUUUGGUCAUACCUCUGAAUUCAGCUUCUGCACUUGAUAAAGCAACUACCUUCUGUUUCUUACUUCUCCAAGUGACUAGAUUCCCGCCCACAAAUGUGAAGUAGCCGGAUGUGGAUUUCCUGUCAGUGAUGUUCCCUGCCCAAUCUGCGUCAAUGUAACCAUUGAUGUGCAGAUGUUGAUGUUUCCUGAACAUCAGUCCUCUGCCUGGAGAAGACUUCAGGUAUCGUAAAAUGCGAAUCACAGCACUCAUAUGAUCUUCGCUGGGGUAAUGCAUAAACUGACUUACCAAACUCACGUCAUAUGCAAUGUCUGGUCGAGUAUGAGAUAAGUAUAUUAGUUUUCCCACAAGGCGUUGAUAUCUCUCUUUAUUGGUGGGAGCCUGAUUAGGAAAUUCUCCCAAACCAUGGUUUUGAACUAUUGGUGUAUCAGCUGGUUUGCAGUCAAGCAUUCCUGUUUCAGACAGCAAGUCAAGCACAUAUUUCCUUUGGGAUAGAAAUAUGCCUUGUCUCGAUCGAGCCACUUCAAUCCCCAAAAAAUACUUUAAUCCUCCGAGGUUCUUCAUCUCAAACUCGGUUGCUAACUGCUCUUGUAAUUUUGAGAUUUCUUCUCUGUCGUUUCCUGUAAUUAUCAUAUCAUCAACAUAGAUUAUGAGAGCUGUUACCUUUUCUCGUUGGUGCUUCAAGAAGAGAGUGUGGUCUGAAUUACUUUGCUUGUAACCGUAUCUCCGCAUGGCAAAACUAAAUCGUCCAAACCAUGCUCUCGGGGAUUGUUUUAAGCCAUAUAACACCUUUUGUAGCUUGCAGACCACCUUCCCUUGCAUUAGGGAAGUAAGGUCAGGUGGAACAUCCAUGUACACCUCCUCCUCAAGAUCUCCAUGGAGAAAAGCAUUUUUCACGUUAAAUUGGUGUAGUGGCCAGUCCAAGUUUGCAGCAAGAGAUCAGUACUCUCACAGUAUUUAAUUUCGUUAUCGGUGAGAAGGUUUCUUGAUAAUCUAUCCCAUAUGUCUGAGUAUAUCCCUUUGCCACCAGCCUUGCUUUAUAUCUUUCUACCGAACCAUCUGCUUUGUGUUUGACAGAGAACACUCAUCUACAUCCCACAGUUUUCUUUCCUUCAGGUAGUGGUACGAGGUUCCAAGUAUUAUUUUCCUGCAGUGCUUCCAUUUCUUCAUCUAUUGCUUGAAUCCAUUUAGGAUUAUUCAAAACUUCAUUCACUGUAUUAGGGACAUCUUCUGUAGAUAGUUUAUGCGCCAAUGCCUUGAGGGUUCAGACAGCUUCUGAGUUGAGACAUGGUUGGCAAUUGGGUACUUGGAUUUGCUCAUUCCAUGAUCAGGUGAAUAUCGUUUUGGAGGUUGUCCACAAUUAUGUCUGAAAGGCAAGUUAUAGCCAGCAGAAAUAUUUUGAGAUGAGUUUAGAACUUGUACCUCAUAAAUAUUCUCAGGAGAUUGAACUGAUUGUGGUACUGUCACGGCAUGGAAGGGCUGUUCAUUGGAGACUUCUCCAGUUGCUUCCAUUUGCUCACUAGUUUCUGCACUCUUCUCCACUGUCUCGGUCUCAACGUGCUCAUCAUUUUCUCCUUGUUCCCUCAUUAAUUCUGUCUCUGUAUCAAUAGCAACAUGCGGCUGGAUAAUAUUAUCUGAGAUAUGCUCACUAUCUCCCCCUGCAUUCUUCACUGUACUGUCAGUAAAGCCCGGCCAAUAUUCCCAGGCCUGCUCUGCACUUAGGAGCUCCCCCUGACAAGAGGAGCUAGAAGAUAGGGAAGUGAAUAAAUGCUCAGAUUCAAGGAAGGUAACAUCCAUGGAGGUAUAGAGUCGUUUUGUAGCUGGAUCAUAGCAUUAGUAUCCUUUCUUAUGAGCUGCAUACCCAAGAAAAACACAGCGGACAGCACAAGGGUCGAGCUUGGUUCGUUGGUUUUUGUGUAUAUGAACAUAUACAACACAACCAAAUGUUCUGGGCGGAAGCAUGAGAACUGACGGUAGGAUCACAUGGUGGCCUAGAACUUGAAGCGGGGUCUUAUAGUCCAGAACUCUUAAUGGCAGUCUAUUCAGCAAGUAUACUGCAGUCACCACUGCAUCAGUUCAGAACCGUUUGGGCACAUUAGCAGCUGUCAAGAGAGCUCUAGUGAUCUCCAAGAUAUGUCGGUUUUUACGUUCAGCAACACCAUUCUGUUGUGGCGUUUGUGGACAAGAUGUCUCAUGAUGCAUACCAUGUUCCUGAAAGUAUCGGUGGAAUUGUUUGUUAUCAUAUUCCCCACCAUUAUCGGAUCAUAGAAUCUGUAGUGUUGCAGAAAAUUGUGUUUGAAUCAUAUUAUGGAAUGAGCGAAAUAUGUCAAACACUUUAUAUUUCGUUUUCAUCACAUACAACCAAGUCAUUCGUGUACAAUCGUCAACAAAUGUGACAAACCAGCGAGCUCCAGAAGAGAUAGUAAUCGGGGCAGGGCCCCAAACAUCAGUAUGAACAAUUGCAAAUGGAGUGGCACUCUGAUUUAAACUUAUUGGGUACGAUACACAAUGACUCUUAGCUUUAAUACAAGUUUCACACUGAAAAUCUGCUUCACGAAAUUUCGUGAAUAGUUCUGGAAAUAAACAGCGUAAAUACCGAAAUGAGGGGUGUCCCAACCGAUUAUGCCAUAACCAAAUCUGCUGUUCCUUAUUGUCGACGAUGUGUAUGUUAUUUGCUCGACCACAGCUGAAGUCAUCCAUGUAAUACAACCUUUCCCUCUUAGUACCACGACCAAUAAUCUCCUUGGUGAGAAUAUCCUGAAACAAGCAAAAACUAGGAUACAUUAGUGCACAACAUUGUAAUUCCUCAGUCACUUGUCCUACAGAUAACAACUUAUUGGACAGUGAUGGAACUAGCAGGGUAUGUGGUAAUGAGAAAGAAGGAGAAAGUGCAACUGUUCCAACCCCAGUCACUGGAUAUGUCACUCUAUUAGCAUUAGCAAUGCAUAGCCGUUUUGGUUGAGUGGUGUCAGACAAAUCACAGGGAUCAUACGUCAUGUGGUCUGUUGCUCCAGAGUCAAUAAUCCAGCCAUCAUGAUCAUGUCUUCUCUUCUAAGAGCAAAAAACAUAACCUUGAUUACCUGGGUCAUUCUGAUCAGUCUGUUCUUUAGCCGAGAUAGGAGAUUCUUGUGCAGGUACAAGUGAUAGUGUAGGUUCCAUGCUUAUAAGGGCUGCACGACCAGGAUGUUCACUACGCCUGGCUUCUGGUUUUUUCUUCGCCUUGAGUUCGUGCCACCAAUCUGGAUAACCAUGUAUUUUGAAACAUGUAUCUUUGGUGUGUUUUGUAUUUUCACAGUGUGUGCAACCUGCCCCUUCCCCAUGUGAUUUUGUAACUGGCCUUCCAUUCGCUGGCAUUAGAAAGGAUAAACGAUGUUGAGGUUUCUGUCCUCCCCUUGACAGCAUAGCACCUCCAGAUAUGACUUCUUCAUUUUUCAGCAUCACAGAUUGCCUUAGGUCUUCUCUCCUGACUUGCGCAUAGGCUUGUUCUACUGUUGGAAAUGGCUGCAUCUGGAGCACAUCUGCUCUAAUAUUGUCAAGUCUGUCAUCAAGCCCGUCUAAGAAUAUAUAGACUAUGUCCUCUUGCAAAAGUGAAUUAUAUUUCUGUAUGUCAGUAUUGCACUCCAUAGGGUUUGGAUGCCGGAAAUCAAUUUCUCUCCAUAAUCCCUGCAGAUUGUUGUAAUAUGUUUCAAUAGAUCCUCCUCCCUGUUUCAGCCUAGUAACUCUUUUUUUGAGUGUAUCAGUGCCAUCAAAGUAGGUUGUUGCAAUGUUAUCCCAAACAGCUUUGGCUGUUGAAAAUCUGAUGAAGUUGCUUAUAAGUUUUGGGUUCAUAGAGUUGAUCAGCCAUCCCUUCACCAUUGCAUUUUCAGUUCUCCACUUCCUGAAUGUUGGAUCUGUUUGCAGAGGUUGUGGAAGGUCUCUAUUUAUGUAUCCCAACUUGUCUUUUCUUGAGAUAUACAUGUCAACAAUUUGGACCAUAAUGCAUAAUUGUUGUCAUCUAACUUGAUUCCAAUCGGUGCAGCAGGUUCAUGGCUGGCAAGUUGUGUCAUCCCUGCUGUCAGAUCUGCAAGGAUUGAGUUCUCCCCUUCAUAAGUUUUCACCCCAGCAGAAGGGGUUUCCAUUCUUUUCCAGAAAAAAUUCUAUGGCCCUAGAAUCUCUGUUCUGAUACCAUGUUGAACUGAGAAAGAAUAUAUUUGAUUGUUAUUUCAGUAUAAAAAUAAGAGCAGAAGAGGCUCUUAUAUGUAUAGCCUAUACAGAGACUAAUAAGGAAAAACUCAUUACACUAGUCUAGGAAAUAAUCAUGGACGAUUUACAAUCAAGUAAGGCUAAUUAGAAAACUAAAUAUUCUAUAAUUCCUAUUCUGUGAUUUCCAUAUUUAUUCUUCACGUUAACAUUGUGCGUCCAUGGGAAGAACCUUUCAUUAAGCAGACUUAAAGAUAGAUGCUUCAGUUGUCCAUCACAUUAAUAAUUUAUUUUUUUGUGCUCUAAAACGGACUGGAAUAGAACAGGCAAAAGUUUGUUUCUGAUGAGAAAUAAUUUUUUUAUAUAAUAUCAAAGUUUUAUUAAUUAAGUGAUUAAUUAUAAGUUUAAAUUUUACAAUUUUUAUACUUGUACUAUAUAAUAAAAAUUAAACAUAAAGUAUUGAUGUUACAUGAAAAAAAAGAAGUGAUAAUUGCUUUAUCCGAGGAAUCUUUCAUAGUUGUAUUGCCUAGGCCACAUUGAUUUUUAUCCACAGUCUUACCACUACAUUAUAAUUAUAAACGAAACUAAAUAUAUAUAUAUAUAUAUAUAUAUUAUAGCUCCUUUGUCGCUUUACUGUUCAUGUCACUGCUUAUAGCCAUUGUUGUUUUUCUUGGUCCUUGAAACUUUUACCUAUUUUCGUUUUGGUCACAAAACUAUAUUAUUUUUCUUCAUUUACAUCCUUGCAAGUUCUAUUAACACGGUUCCGUUUGCUGUUAUCUACUUCGAUUUUCAUGUUCUCGCCUGUAUCAUAUAUCUUUAAAUAUUACUACAAUGAAUUAAAAAUCAAUUUUUCUAACCCUCCUACCCAUAAACCGAUCCUUGCCACAGGUUAAUCAUAUAAUCUCAUGCUCUUACCUACAGCUAAGCAUCGGCAGAACCAAAUAGUUGCUAUUAAGGUCAGUUCUCCACGUGCAUGUUCUUCCUUUUCAAGCUAAGCUGUUUUUUAGAAAGCUUCUAAUUUAGUUCAAGUCAAUAAAAGCUUAGCAGGUUGAUACAAAAGUUCAUGGCCAAGUAAAAGAUGUUUAUUUUGGAUGAAAUAAAUAUUCAUAUUGGAACAUAAUAUUCAUCUCUCAAAUCCCUAAUCCAGUUGGUAUAUUCAUGAUAAAAUCCAAAGGAUUGGUACUUUGGUGUUUGUGGGGCUGUUAUUUCAAAUCGCUAGCUUGUAAUUUACUGGAUCUAUUGCAAACAAUUCCCUCAGACGUCUAAAUAUCAAACCAACCAACCACCACCAUGCAUUUACUGAAUAUGAUAGUGGGAACUUAUUUAUCAAGAAUUAAAGCAGUAGUUGCUUAUGGAUAAUUAGCUCUUCCAUACAUUGAAAAACCGCAAUUUUUCAUGAUAAAAUCCAAAGGACUGGUACUUUGGUGUUUGUGGGGCUGGUAAAUGGAAGAACACGUGUUUGUGGGGCUGUUAUUUCAUUCAAGGUGCGUACUUUGGUGUGUAUCACGUGUUUGUUGCAUUGACUGAAUAUGAUAGUGGGAACUUAUUUAUCAAGAAUUAAAGCAGUAGUUGCUUAUGGAUAAUUAGCUCUUCCAUCCAGCAUUAAUUCUAUUAUCAAUUAUAGUUUAGUCAUAAAGUUUUUCGAGGAGAGAAAUAAAAAGGAAAAGGAAAAGGAAACAACCACUCCAUCUUUCCCUUCUUUCCAUGAAAAAAGCAAACACCCCAUUUUGAUUUUGAUUUUCAAUCAGGAUGAGUGAGAAAGAAAGAGAGGACAAGGGGGUAUUCUCUCUCUCUUUCCUUGCUUUUUCUAACGCGUGGACCCAGCAGUUGUUGCCACUUGCCACCAAAUUCCUUCCUCAAUAUUUACCAGUACUACACGCUUGAGAAAUUUCCUUGCUUUUUUUCCUCUUACGUACUGUUACCUUUUACCUUUUAUAAUUAUGAUUAUUGCAUUGCUAAUAAUUUAUUAUUAAUCAUCAAUAUUUAUUCUUGGUCAUCAAUAUUGAAUAAUGGCUUAUUUUCUAUUAUAAACUGUGUUUGAAAUAUAGGUUGAUGUUCUUAAAUAUUUUUUAAUGAUUUUAAUAUGUUGAUAGUAAAAAUAAAAAUAAAAAAACUGGUUUUGUUUUCCAAAAGAAAUUGACAGUCAAUUACUUGUUUACUAUGUUUUUAAGAACCAAAAUAAAUAAAUAAAGUUUUUUCUUUCCGUUUCCAAAUUUGGUAGCCCGAAAACCUCCUCAUCGCUGAGUAGGUUUUGUUUUAGUUUAAACGUGAUGGAGACGAUACUAAAAAUAACAACAAUAUAAAAAAAAUUGGUGUAAAUACCAUUUAUUUUUGCAUUUUAAAAAUAAUUUUUUAAAAAAUUAAAAAUAAAUUUUGUUUUUUAUUUUAAAAUAAUAUUUUUUUAAUAAUUUUAAAUUAUCUUAAUAUACUGAUAUUAAAAAUAAUUUUUAAAAGAUAAAGUUUUUAAAACAUAAAGUUUAGCCUGCAGAUCUUCCGCUGAUCCCAUCUCAUUGUUGUAUGCAUCCAAGCUAAGCCAAUUCAAGAAAGAAGAUUUGAAGAAUACCAGCAGCAGCAGGAGUAAUAAAUUAACAUAACAAACCAUCUAGGUGGUGGCCAGUAAUAAAAGCCUGAGACCAAGAGAUUUGUUUCUUUUGUGGUCUCAGAUUCGAGUUCUGUGAUUGCUCAUAUGAUUAUUACUGGAGGCUUACAUGGUCGUUAACUUCAGGGCCCGUGGGAUUAGUCGAGGUGCGCGCAAGCUGACCCGGACACCCACAUUAAACUAAAAAAAAAAAAUUAACAUAACAACAUUAUGGGAGAAGGAGGGAUGACCUCACUGCAAGGGCGGAGGCAUGUUAAAGGCUUGAGUGCGCUAUAAUUUAGAUCAAAACUUUAUUAAUAUAUUUUGAUUAGUUUUAUGUAAAAAAAUUUGUAAUUCUUGAUUGAAUUAUUAAAAAAAUUUAAAAUUUACCUGUAGCCUUCUAAUAUAAUAUUUUAACUUGGGUUAAAAUUUCAGAAUAUUUUGAGAAAUUCAGAAAUUUGAUGAAAAAUCAUAAUUUAGCCAGUUUUAUGUUAUUGAACGUAAUUUUCAAUCCAAUCAUCAGAUUGAACUGAAAUUUUACGAGGAAUCUUAAAAUAUAUUGAAUAAAAUAUAGUUAAAAUUUUAUGAUGAACAGAGCUUGAUAGUGCUAACAAAAAAAAAACCAUCAAAUAAAAACAAAUCAAGAAUAAAAUGAUUAUUUCCAUUAAAAAGUAAAAUAAAUUAACUCUUCCUUCAUUUUAUACGUUGCCAUCCUUGCAUUAGAGUACACUCCCACAUGCGUUGUGGCAGCGGUUUGCUCUGUUAUUGUUCUCAUUUCUCUUAUUGUUGAAAGAUCCUUGGGAAAGACAUUCCAAGGGUGCAGUGUUUCUUGUUCCCUUUCCCUUCUUUACAUGGCUUCCUCAAUGAAAAAGCAAGCACUAACGCACGUUCUCCACAAACUACCCCCUAUUUCGCCACUAUAUAAAUAUAUUAUGGAAAACAAGAUAAAAAGAAAUCUUUUGGUACAUAUAUAAAUAUAUUAUGGAAAUUAACAUGGUAUCAGAAUAUCUGUGAAGUAUUGCUGGGAAGUCAUAAUUUUUGACACGCCUAAUCACAGACUUUUUUGGGAAAAAAAAAGAAAAAAAGAAGCCAGGCUAUGAAAAUAGGUUUGUGGAAAUUUACAUCAUUUGAUCUUGACAGUAUCAGAUUAGACAAUUGCAUGGAAAUGGUCUUCUUAGUUUGCCGUGUGGAAAAUCAUGUCAUUUACGGGACUGCUGGAGAGAGUGUCUAAUGAUAAUUUUACCUUCUUUUAAAAUCUUUGACACUACUUGCAUUGACUGGAAAUUUCGCUCGAAAAUUUCUAGUAAUUUAUAAAGGAAAUUUCUACUGUAUAUGAAUUGAAAAACUAUUAUUGACUGACUUCUUGCAAAGUAUUCGCAAGAAAGCUAAAGAAUUAAAGUUUUUAAUUUUUAAAAUUAUAAUUUAAAAUUGUAAGAAAAAAAUCAAUUGUUUUAAAAAUAAAAAAUCAACUAUUUAUAUAAUAGCUAAAUCUAUUAAGAUAAAUCGAAAAUAACUAGUAAAAUCAAUGACUUGUAUUGACGAGUGUGUCUAUAUAUACAUAUAGGAACUGCUGAUUCGAUUUGAAUAUGUUAUUUGAUUAGUCUAAUUCAUGAUUUGCAUUGACUCAAAAUUACCACUAGAAAUUCCUAGUUUCGUGGUGCUUUCUCAGCCUGCAAAUGAAUAUAAAGCAUAUCCUUUUAUCCUAUAUAAAGAAUACAAUGAACCUUUUUAUCUUUUAUAAUUAUAAUUAUUGCAUUGCUAAUAAUUUGCACGAAAGAAUAUUCUUUCUCUGAAAAGGCCUUGAGAAAACCCUAAGCAUAGUAUAUAAUCUCUUAUAGGAAUCUCUUUAUUAAAUCAUCAAAAUAUCAAAGUCUGUUUCCAAAGACUAUGACUACAGUUUAUAUAUAGAAACAACCAAAUAUAAAAAUUAUUAUUUUUUAAAUAGAAAAACCAGAGAGCUUGAUAAUAUUUAAUAAAAUAAAAUAAAAUAGAAAAAUUAUUCCUUUUUAGGUAGAAAAAAAUUAUAAAGAUUUAAUAAUACUAAAUAAGAAAAAUUAAAAUUUCUACACUAAAUUAAAAAAACAAAAAAAAACUGAGAAAAUAUUUAUUAUCCCAAUAGUUCUUAUAUUAAAAUCUCAUUUAUCAUAUGUUAUAUCUAUCAAAAUAAUAAUAAUAAUAACUUGUGACGUGAACUAAAGCUAUAUGCGAAAACUAGAAAAACCCGGUAGAGACCGGUUCUGUUUUUUCAAAUAUGUUUUUUCUUCUAGCUAGAGACCCCUUUUUUUUAUAUAUUUUUCUAUUGGUUAGUAAACUAUUUCAAAGUUUAUUAUAUAAAUACUAGAAGAAUAUUUUAUUUUUUCAAUAUGGAAUAAAAAAAAUUAUUUUUGUUUAAAUACCUCAAUUUAAAAGAAUUAGAUAAUAUCUUUUUAAUAUGAGAUAAAAAAAACCUUUUAAAAUAAUCUUUUAAACUUUAUUAUAUGCAACAUGUAUAAUCUAUAUUCAUAUGAAUUGUUUCUUUAAUUUUUUUCAUAUGAAAUAUUAAAAAUCAAAUAUUUUUUUUUUAAUUUUUUCGGGUUAAUUUAGAUCAAUCUGUGUAACCCAAGACUCUGUUUUUUAGUCGGGUCAAAUUCAGCUUGGGUUCCAUAACUAUCAGUAAAUUUAUUGAAAAAAACGUAAUUUUUUUGCUUUUAUAAAAAUGAAAGGCAAAGAAUUAAAUUAGGACAUAUAUCACUAAUUAUUUACAUACUCUUAUUACAAACACAAAAUUUUAUGUCACUUCAUGAUAUCCAUGUUUUCAACGCUUUACACUGGUUUAAUAAAUUGUUACAGUAAUAUCACAGAGAGGAACGGUUCAUGAAAAAACAAUAAUGGAGUUGAAGCAGAAUCUCUGUUUGAUUUUUCUUUUUUGUGUUUUCGGUACACUGGUCAACAAUAGCUUGGAAGAGUUUGGAAUCAGUAACACAUGGACCCAGUUAUUGUGGAAACUUUGCAGAGGAUCUGCACUCUGCAGGAAGAAAAUGAUUUUAAUAGAUGUACUGUACAUCAUUUGAAUUUAUUAAAAGUAACGUGUAAUGUAAAGUAUGUACUGUACACCUGCUUUCAACGUUUUACACUGCUUUAGUCGUCCAAAAAAAAAAAAAAACCAUUAGAUGCUAUAAAACAAGAUAUAUACAAUUUAAUUUGAGAGUGUAAUAGAUAUUAUAUUUCAAAAUAUUUUUGAAAUAUAUUAAAAUAUUAAUUUUUAAAAAAAUAAUUUUAAUAUCAUAUAUUAGAACAAUAAAUAAUAAUUAUAAUUUAAAAAAAUAAAAAAUUUUAAAAUCUUUAAAAAAAUAAUAAUUUUACUGGACUCCAAAACACACCCAUGCUCCCUCAGCAACCACCACGAAAUUACCGCUCUAUAUUACAGCUCAAUAAUUUAUUUUAGCAAUUAUUGCUUGCUCAUUCACAAUUAUUGCUUUGCUAAUAAUUUGCAAGAAACUUUCUCAAUUUCCUUCUAUUUUCUUUUUAUUAUGGAAACUUUAAGUCACAUGUGCGCCUACCACGAAAUUACCGAUAAGUAAAUUUCAAUGCGUAAUUGUGUAGGUUUCAAUUAAAAAUGCUUUAAUUUGAAAAAUUAUGUUAACAAUAAUAUAAAUUAAUUUUUCUUCAUAAAAAAAGUAAUUGAGUAUUAAUUUAGGCUAUAAAAAUAAAAUAAUAAUAAAAAAAGAGUUCGAGGGUAUUCAUUUUAUUUCAUUUUACUAUAUAAUCUAAUUUGUUGAUGUGGAAAAUAGCAUAAAGUUUUUGACAUGGCUAUUGGUGAGAAGCAAAAGCAGUAGCAGUCCAUCGUUAUACUAAAGGUCAGUUUUUCACUCUGUGUGAAUUUACAGUAAAAGCUUGAUUUUGAAAGUGAGAUGAAAUUGGAAUAUUUUGAUUGAAAUUUAAUUAAAAAUUCAGAACAGAGUGAGAUUUGAAAUGAGACAAAAAAUCAUUCUGUUUUUUAAAUUUAUAUGAAAUUUUUUAGCUAUUCCAGACAGACAAAAUGGAAUGGAAUUGAGAACCUUGGAUGCAAUAUGCUUUUUAAUUAAAGAUAUAUUUAAAUAAUAAUUUUUAAAAAAAAUUAUUUUUUUUAUUUUAGUACAUUAAAAAUAAAAAAUAUUUAAAAAUAGUAAUUUAAUAUUUUCUUAAAAAAAUAUUUAAAAAACACUUUUAAAUUUUUUUGAACUGUACUAUUCCUUGAAAAAACUCAAACUCUAAAUAACAUCUACUAUUUUCAGAAUAUCUGUAAGAGAUUGCUGGGAAGACAUAACGUUUUGCCUAAUCAGUCUCUUUUGGAAAUUUAUACCAUUUGAUUUUGACAGUAUCAGAUUAGACAAUUGCAUGGAAAUGGUCUUCUUAGUUUACCGUGUGAAAAAUCAAUAUUAUUGUCCGGGAGGGAAGUAAGGUUUUUUUUUUAAAAAAAAUUAUUUAAAAAUAUAUUAAAAUAAUUUUUAAAAUCAAAAUGAUUUAAAAAUACUUAAAAAAAAUCUAAGACUAAAAAUUAAUCUAAAUGUUUUUGAAAAAUAAUUCAACCAAAGUGCCAAAUAUGAUCAAUAUCGAUUAUCUUUUAUGUAAGAUUAUCUUUUAUCUUUGACAAUUAUUGCAUUGCUAAUAAUUUGCAAGAAAACAUACUUUCUCAAUUUCCUUUUUUAUUAUGUUAGUAGAUGCUAGAUGCUGUUUAUUUUUGUGUUUUAAAAAUAUUUUUAAAAAAAUUUAAGAUUUUAAAUUAAUAUUUUUAGAUAUUUUAAGGUGCUGAUUUUAAAAAUAAUUUAAUUAUUUUUUUUAAAAAAAAAUCAUGACACGGGUAUAAAAAAAAAAUUAUGGUAGAUAUAGCCUCAUCUUCUCUGCUUGUAAAAUUGGAGCAGAUUAUGGACUUAAGCGAGCAAUUACCGCUCGAAAUUCCUAGUAAUUUACGAAGGAAUUUUCCUUGUUGUUUCUCUGUACAGUAUUAGAAAAAUUGUCAUUGACUGAUUUAAUUGCAAAGUCUCUGUAAGAAAGCUUAAAGAAUUAGAGCUUUUUAAAAUAAAAAAUAUAGAGAGAGAAAUAAAAAAUAAAAAUAAAAAAAGGAGCAAAAGGAAACAACCCCCAUCUUUCUUGUUCCCUUUCCCUUCUUUACAUGGCGUCCUCGAUGAAAAUAGCAAACGCCCCAUUUGAAUAUAUAAUUAAAGAAAGAAAGAAAGAGAGGAAAAUUUUUUUAGUGAAUUCAAAAGCCCUUCGCCCCGGAAAGAAAGUUUCUUUUAACAAAAUAAGGUUGUUGAGGCUUUUCUUGGAACCUCGCUCAGGGAUUAAUUAACAAGAAUUAAAAAAUCCCCUGCAAAUUACACAAAAUUUAUUAUUGAUCAUCAAUAUUGAAUAAUGGCUUAUUUUCUAGCAUAAACAAAAAUUGAUAAAAGAUAUUUAUUAUUGAUCAUCAAAUUGUGGUAGCUGUUGUGGUUGUGGAAAAAAUUAUUUUAUAAAAAAUAUUUUUAGUUGAGGUUGAUUUGAAAAAAUAGGUGUUUGGUUAAAACUGUGGUUGAAAUUGAAGUUGAAGAAAAAAUAGCUUAAUGUGUUUGGUUAAGAAUGCUUUUAAAAUUGAAGUUAUAAAAUAAUUUUUAAAAAAUAUAUUAAUACUGAUGAUUUUUAAUUUAAAUAUUAUGGAUUUAACUAUUGCUAUUAUAUCAUGAAAUAAAUCAUACUUUAUAUAAAAUAUUUUUUUAUUAUUCCAUGAAACCAUUUAUAAUUCCAUUACGUAUACAUCCGACAAAAACUACAGUUUUCAUAAUAUUUUUAGCAUAUAAUAAAAUUAGAUAAAAUAUUAUCAGGUAUAAAAUUCACUAUAAACUAGUUUUUUUAAAAAAAAAUGUUAAAAAAAUAACACACUAAAAAAAAUUAACACACUAAAAAAAAAAAGGUUCACGCAGGCAAAUGAACAUUGCAAGAGAAUUGCACUGUUCACUAUUUUUAAGUGAACAGUGCAAUUGUGUUGCACUGUUCACUUGAAUAGUGUACAUUACGUACUGUUCAUGUUAAUUGCACUGUUCAUUGAACGGUGCAAUUAACAUGAACCGUGAAAAAAAGAGUAAGAAAUGGCUGCUUUUCCUUUCCUGCGUUUCUAACAUAGAAAUUAAGUGAGGCCCAGUGAACAGUAAAUUAAUUUUUUCAUUAACCAAACAGCUGCGAACUGCGUUUUAAAUAAAACGCAGCCGCAGCUACAGAGCCAAACGGGCUCUAUAUUUUGGAGUGACGUAGAUAUUAUGUUUUAAAAUCCUUUUUAUUUAUAAAUGUAUUAACAUUUAUUUUUCAAAAUUUAUUUUUAAUAUUAAUAUAUCAAACUAAUAUAAAAAUAUUAAAAAAAUAAUUUAAAACAAUAAAACAUUCAGCAACCACUCUAAAUUCCAGCUCAAUAAUUUAUUCUUUAGCGAUUAUUGCUUGCUCUUUGACAAUUAUUGCAUUUCUAAUAAUUUGCAAGAAAACAUACUUUCUCAAUUUCCUUGAACUCAUUUGACCCAGCUAUCGAGUUAUUUUUUCCGCUCAUCUUUUUUUCCCACAAACUCACCAAGACAGCACCGGAUUAUUUUAACUCAGUGAUCCUUCCAGGUAGGCCCAGGCCACAUUGAUUGUGUUAAAAAAAAAAUCUAAUUCAGCUUAGUAUCAACUACAUUAUAAUUAUUUAGGAGGAUAGUUGAACCAUACUUUUUAAAAAAAUUAAUUUUUUUUUAUAAUUAUACGCCAUCAGCAACUACCUCGAAAUUACCACUCCAAAUUCCAGCUCAAUAUCGAUCAACAUGCGGCUAAAAUUGAUAAAAGACACAUAAUGAUGGUAUUGUAUAUUUUGAGACUAAAUUGAGGUUUUUUAAUUAUUACUUUAAAAUAUAUCAUGGUUUUAAUAGUUGGACGGUAUAUUAUAUAAAUUAUUAAAAAAUAUUUAUUUUUAUUAUAUAUGUAGUAAUAAUAAAUUAGAUGAUAAUAACAAAAAAUAGAAAUUAUUUUGAAUAAAUAGUACCAGUUCCUAUUAUGAUAUGUAUAGAGAAGAAGUUGGAAGAAUAAAAUGAAGUCAAAUAUUCUUAAUAAAAAAAACACAGAAAUAGUUAAAAUAUGUUUUUAAUAAAUAUAAAAGAUGGAUGAAAAUAUUAGAAAACAUGAAAGAGAUACAUAAUCUCUUUGUAAGAUUUCUAAGAACUUAAUUACAAUUACAUUAUAAUUUCUUCCUUAAAAUUAUUCAAAAUAUAUAUUAUUCUAGGUUUUAAUGUAAUUAAAAAGGAAGUAUUUGUAAGUGUAAGAAUUUUUGACACGCCUAAUCACAGUUUUUUUUGGAAAAGAAAAGAAGCCAGGCUAUGAAAAUAGGUUUGUGGAAAUUUACGUCAUUUGAUUUUGACAAUUGCAUGGAAAUGGUCUUCUUAAUUUGCCGUGUAGAAAAUCAUGUCAUUUACGGGACUGCUGGAGAGAGUGUCUAUUGAUAAUUUUACCUUCUUUUCAAAUCUUUGACACUGCUUGCAUUGACUGGUAAUUUCGCUCGAAAAUUUCUAGUAAUUUAUAAAGGAAAUUUCUACUGUAUAAAUUGAAAAACUAUUAUUGACUGACUUCUUGCAAAGUAUUUGCAAGAAAGCUAAAAAAUUAAAAUUUUUAAAUUUUUAAAUUAUAAUUUAAAAUUGUAAGAAAAAAAUCAAUUGUCUUAAAAAUAAAAAAAUCAACUAUUUAUAUAAUAGCUAAAUCUAUUAAGAUAAAUCGAAAAUAACUAGUAAAAUCAAUGAUUGACGAGUGUGUCUAUAUAUACAUAUAGGAACUGCUGAUUCGAUUUGAAUAUGUUAUUUGAUUAGUCUAAUUCGUGAUUUGCAUUGACUCAAAAUUACCACUAGAAAUUCCUAGUUUCGUGGUGCUUUCUCGGCCUGCAAAUGAAUAUAAAGCAUAUCCUUUUAUCCUAUAUAAAGAAUACAAUUAACCUUUUUAUCUUUUAUAAUUAUAAUUAUUGCAUUGCUAAUAAUUUGCACGAAAGAAUAUUCUUUCUCUGAAAAGGCCUUGAGAAAACCCUAAGCAUAGUAUAUAAUCUCUUAUAGGAAUCUCUUUAUUAAAUCAUCAAAAUAUCAAAGUCUGUUUCCAAAGACUAUGACUACAGUUUAUAUAUAGAAACAACCAAUUAUAAAAAUUAUUAUUUUUUAAAUAGAAAAACCAGAGAGCUUGAUAAUAUUUAAUAAAAAUAAAAAAUAAAAAAUUAUUCCUUUUAAAGUAGAAAAAAUUAUAAAGAUUUUAAUAAUACUAAAUAAGAAAAAUUAAAAUUUCUAAACUAAAUUUAAAAAAACAAAAAAAACUGAGAAAAUAUUUAUUAUCCCAAUAGUUCUUAUAUUAAAAUCUCAUUUAUCAUAUGUUAUACCUAUCAAAAUAAUAAUAAUAAUAAUUUGUGAUGUGAACUAAAGCUAUAUGCGAAACCUAGAAAAACCCGGUAGAGACCCGUUUUGUUUUUUCAAAUAUUUUUUUUCUUCUAGCUAAAGAUCAUUUUUUUUUAUAUAUUUUUCUAUUGGUUACUAACUCAUUUCAAAGUUCACUAUAUAAAUACUAGAAGAAUAUUUUAUUUUUUUGAUGUGGAAUUAAAAAAAAUUCUUUUGAUUUAAAUACUUCAAUUUAAAACAAUAAGAUAAUAUCUUUUUAAUAUGAGAUAAAAAAACCUUUUGAAAUAAUCUUUUAAACUUUAUUAUAUGCAACAUGUAUAACCUAUAUUCAUAUGAAUUGUUUCUUUAAUUUUUUUCAUAUGAAAUAUUAAAAAUCAAAUAUUUUUAUUUUUAUUUUUCUGGGUUGACCUGGAUCAAUUUAUGUAAUCCAAGACUCUAUUUUUUAGUCUGGUCAAUUUUAAGUUGGGUUCGAUAAUAAUGAUUAAAUUUAUUGAAAAAAACAUAAUUUUUUUUUUGUUUCUAUAAAAAUCAAAGGUAAAGAAUUAAAUGAUGACAUAUAUCACUAAUUAUUGACAUACUCUUAUUACGAACACAAUAUGAUACCCAUGUUUUCAACGCUUUACACUGCUUUAAUAAAUUGUUACAGUAAUAGCACAAAGAGGAACGGUUCAAGAAAAAACAAUAAUGGAGUUGAAGCAAAAUCUCUGUUUGAUUUUUUCUUUUUUGUGUUUUCGGUACAUUGGUCAACAAUAGCUUGGAAGAGUUUGGUAUCAGUGACACGUGGACCCAGUUGUGGUGGAAGGAAGAAAAAUGAUUUUAAUAGAUGUACUGUAUAUCAUUUGAAUUUAUUAGAAGUAACAAGAUAUAUACAAUAAGAUGCACUGAGGGUAUUGGCCUGGGAUACGAGGGGCUUGUCUUCUCUUGUUGCUUCUGGAUUCGAGUUUUUAUGUGUAUGUCUGUCAUUUUUACGGUGUCUUAUAUGUUCAUUGAGUUUGCAGGGUGUUCAGUGGGUCGUGGAAUUAGUCGUGGUGCGCGCAAGCUGACUCGGACACCCACGUAAAUAAAAAAAAAAAAAAUAUAUAUACAAUAAGAUGCUAUAUUAAAAUAUUAGAUGCUAUUUUUCGAUCUUAGAAGUAACAUGAUUUUAAUAUACACCUUCUUUCAACGUUUUACACUGCUUUAGUCGUCAAAAAAAAAAAAAAGACUAUUAGAUGCUAUAAAACAAGAUAUAUACAAUUUAGUUUGAGAGUCUAAUAGAUAUUAUAUUUCAAAAUAUUUUAGAAAUAUAUUAAAAUAUUAGUUUUUUUAAAAAAAUUAUUUAAUAUCAUAUAUUAGAACAAUAAAAAAUAAUAAUAAUUUAAAACAAUAAAAAAUUUCAAAAUCUUUUAAAAAUAUAAUUUUACUGGACUCCAAAACACACCCAUGCUUCCUCAGCAACCACCACGAAAUUACUACUCUAAAUUACAGCUCAAUAAUUUAUUCUAGUUAUUAUUGCUUGCUCUUUGACAAUUAUUGCUUUGCUAAUAAUUUGCAAGAAACUUUCUCAAUUUCCUUCUAUUUUCUUUUUAUCAUGGAAACUUUAAGUCACAUAAUAUAUGGCUGAUUUUAUAUGAAUAUAUUAUUUGAUUAGUGUUGACUCUACUAUUGCUGCAUUGACUGGAAAUUUCAGUAUUCAAUAUCCUAUAUCAUUCUACGUUCAUAACGAUAACUCUUUGUUAUAUUUAACUUACACUGCAGCUAACUUCUCUGUCCCAUUGCAGCCAUUUCAUAGCUAACUCUUUGUUAUAUUUAACUUGCUCUUCUUUGCUUCUUUGCUUCUUGCUCAUAACGAUAACAAGAAAGCCUUACGUUCAGAUAGAUAAUCAUUGACCAGUUCAUCCUAUACCAUUCAAUUUAAUUUAGAAAUGCUGAAAGAAAAACGCAAGCAAUCCAAAGAUGAAGACAACGAUUCAUCCUCGCGAAAGAGAAGAAAAGCUGACCUCAGUAAGCCUGUCAGUUUUGUCUCCACAGGUAAGGCAGAUGCGUGAGUCUAUACAUGUAGGAACUGCUGAUUCGAUUAGAAUAUGUUAUUUGCUUAGUCUGAUCAUAGGAUAGGUUGAGUCUACUACUAUUUCUGCCUUGCUUUGACUCGAAAUUACUGGUGUUUUCUCCUGCAAAUGAAUAGAAAUCACAUCCUUUCUCUUUCUCCUAUACAAAGAAUACAAUUAACCUCAUUUCAAUAUCAUAGCUUUGGAAUUUCAUAGCUAACUCUUUGUUAUGUUGCUCCAUUGGUAAUUGAUUGUGCCUUAAUUUCUGCAGCUACCAGGACAGAGCCAGAGUCUUCUCGAUCUAGACCAGAAGGGGCCUAUGAUGUCUUCUUGAGUUUUAGAGGAGAAGACACUCGCAAGACAUUUACAGAUCAUCUAUAUACUGCCUUAGUCCAAGCAGGAAUCCGCGCUUUUCGAGAUGAUGAUGACCUUCCAAGAGGAGAAGAAAUCUCCGAUCAUCUCCUCAGGGCAAUUCAAGAAUCAAAGAUAUCCAUAGUUGUCUUCUCAAAAGGAUAUGCUUCUUCUAGAUGGUGUCUCAAUGAACUUGUAGAGAUUCUUGAGUGCAAAAAGAGGAAAACCGGUCAGAUUGUUCUUCCUAUAUUCUAUGACAUUGAUCCUUCAGAUGUGAGAAAACAGACUGGCAGUUUUGCAAAGGCAUUUGAUAAGCAUGAAAAGCGUUUUGAAGAGAAGUUGGUGAAGGAGUGGAGAAAAGCUCUUGAGGAUGCCGCAAACCUAUCUGGACGGAGUCUCAAUAAUAUGGCAAAUGGGUAUUCCUUCUCUCUCUAAGAUUCACUUGCACACGUUUAUGGAGUAAUUUUACAUUACAUUUUUCAAUGUGAAGUAAUAAAAUAUUUCUUUUUAGCAUACUUAAUUGAGUCGCUAUCAAUGACUUGCUUUUGUCUAUGAGCAGGCAUGAAGCAAAAUUUAUCAAGAAGAUUAUCAAGGAUGUGUUGAAUAAAUUAGAUCCCAAGUACUUAUAUGUUCCUGAGCACCUAGUAGGUAUGGAUAAACUUGCUCAUGAUAUUUUUGACUUUCUAAGCACUGCAACAGAUGAUGUACGCAUUGCGGGCAUACAUGGGAUGCCAGGAAUAGGAAAGACGACUAUAGCAAAAGUUGUAUUUAAACAACUCUGCGAUAGAUUCGAGGACAGCUGUUUUCUUUCGAAUAUCAAUAUUGAAACACCAAAAAAACUUACAGGUCUUGUUGGUUUUCAAACGCAACUUCUUCGUGAAAUUUUAAAACAAGGUGUUCCAAACUUCGAAUGUGUUGAUAGAGGAAAGGUUUUGAUCAAAGAACGACUUCGUGGCAAAAGAGUUCUUGUUGUUGCUGAUGAUGUGGCUCAUCUGGACCAGCUAAAAGCUUUGAUGGGAGAGCGAAGCUGGUUUGGUCUCGGAAGUAGAGUAAUUAUUACAACAAGAGAUUCAAAUCUUCUUCGUGAAGCAGAUCGAACAUAUCAGAUCGAAGAAUUGAAACCAGACGAGUCCCUUCAGCUUUUCAGCUGGCACGCCUUUAAGGACUCCAAGCCAGCAAAAGAUUAUAUUAAGCUUUCGAAGGAUGCAGUUGAUUACUGUGGAGGACUUCCUUUAGCUCUUGAGGUUAUGGGUGCUUGUCUGUCUGGGAAAAACAGAGAUGGUUGGAAAUGUGUAAUUGAAAAAUUGAGAAGAAUUCCAAACCACGAUAUUCAAGGAAGGCUUAGAAUAAGUUUUGACGCACUGGACGGUGAAGAACUACAAAAUGCAUUCCUUGACAUCGCUUGCUUCUUUAUUGAUAGAAAGAAAGAGUACGUCGCAAAAGUGCUAGGAGCCCGUUGCGGUUACAAUCCAGAAGUUGAUUUGCAAACUCUCCAUGAAAGGUCUCUGAUUAAAGUAUUGGGAGAGACGGUAACCAUGCAUGAUCUAUUACGAGACAUGGGAAGGGAGGUCGUUCGUGAUAAGUUUCCAAAAGAACCUGGAAAGAGGACCAGAAUUUGGAAUCAAGAGGAUGCAUGGAAUGUACUUGAGCAGCAGAAGGUAAGAGCUCAAUGCAUACAUGAAAGCAUAGUCAUUCGUAUUUUCUAGUCAAACUUAUUUCACAUAAUUGAAUGAAAGUUGUAUUGUUUUUUUUUUAGGGUACGGUUGUUGUAGAGGGUCUUGCACUGGAUGUCAGAGCAUCAGAAGCUAAAGCACUUUGCGCAGGAUCAUUUGCAGAAAUGAAACGCUUAAAUUUACUCCAAAUCAAUGGAGUACAUCUCACCGGAUCCUUCAAACUGCUUUCUAAAGAGUUGAUGUGGAUUUGUUGGCAUAGAUGUCCUUUGAAAGAUUUUCCAUCUGAUUUUACCGCAGACUAUCUAGCUGUUCUUGAUAUGCAGUACAGUAACCUCAAAGAACUAUGGAAGGGAAAAAAGGUGCGAAACAU